CGGCCAGUAACAUAAACCUCAACUGCUCACCUAUGAUUGAUCAAAAAGAAAUCUGAUAAAGAGCUGUGAUUGAUCAUGGUAUGGUAGUUGCUAUCCUACAAGGAUGUAGCUUGCACAACAAGCGUGUUCGAAUUAACCAAGGAAUUUCUCAGUGUUGCGUCUUUGCCAGGUGUGAGAGGCUUACAAUGUGGAGCAACAAGAACUGCCAGGUGCUAAGCAAUGAAGGGAUAGACUGAUGUUAAUCAAUAGAAACAAAGACUAAACAAGAAAAACUCUAGGGGUUCAUCUGGGCAAAAUUCGUCAAAAAACAGAGUCUAACAGGCUCGAAACUCUAUCUGAUCAGUGAUUGCGCACGCUGCAGACGCUGGCUUCCCUUCAACUUCUCCUUUGGUGACAGUUUGUCGCUGAUCAGUGUCACCUUCCAGCAAUCAGCUUGGAGGACGAAAACUGACCCAGCUUUCGGCACAACUGCAGGUUUCAAAGUGAUCUUCUUAGAAAGCAAUCACAUCAGGUAUACAGUAGUUAAUACCAGAAUUCAUGACUGCAAACAACAUUUACCCAAGUAAACAUAUCCAUUCAGUGCAGGAUUACACAAUACUGUUAACUGCUCAACUAUGCAGGCAACACAGCCCAAGUCACCUUAACUAAAAUUGAGGCAGUCUCGAGAUUUAGCUGAUGGCUGGCGUGUCCAUUUAACUUAGCUUUGAAGGAACAAUUGCGUUCAAUAUUAUUGUUACGGCCUUGGUGAUCAACCUUGAACUUCAAAUUCAUAAGCGUAUCCCAUGUGACAGCAAUCACAAAGCUUCCUAAGCCACAGGACUCACUAAUAUUUCCACUGAAGAGCUGGAAUUCUUUAUUCAUCUCCAGAAGAGCAAUCGUAGAACUGAGAGAUAAAUCAAAGCCAGUCUGCACUUUUGAUAUGAUAACUUGUACUGUGGCCUCGACUGAAUUAUGAACAAGUGCAAAAGACGUAUCGACUGCACCACAAUUUCCACCAAUGCGAACCUCGUGCGGUCUCCACGACAUGCGUAAACCGUAAAAUUCUGAGAUUCCAUCAAUCAGCUGCAAAUCAUCCUCUUCAUUCUCUCCAUUCUUGAUCCUCAUGUCAAACUCAAGUAGCACAUCAAAUAUCAACAGGAUGGCUCUCUUAGGGCCGUUCAUUUCAAUUAGAGAACCCUGCUGCACGGUGAUGGGAUCAUCCCUGCUACGAUUGAAAACAUAAUUCAGUCUUAGAUCAACUUCAUCAUGUGCUGCUAUAUAUCCGUAUAACUGUAUUGAGCCACUGUUGAUAGGAGCUUUAGCUAACUUCAUUGAAAAGAUCUGCAUCAUGUUACGUGGUAUAUCGUAUGCACGCGCUGGCUCCAACCGAGUCUCUGUACGGUCAGUGAUAUCAAAAAAGUAAUUAUGCUCCCAGUGAGCCGCUCUCUUGUAUAUAGCACCAUCACGGUGGCUGCUCCCUGAAAUUAUCGGCAUGUAACAUAUAUCUUCAGUUAAACUAGUCUUUAACGUCUGGACACUGUCCUCUGCUGCAUUAUUAGUCUUCGUCUCAUUCACGCCAUGUAUGGAGAAUUGGCGCGGCCAAUUCAGUGUACUCUUCUCACGGAAAAGACGAUCAAGAUGUUGAUUUCGACAGGCCCGUACUAAAGCCUGGAGUGGAGCAUCUCCUCGCGCAAGUGCUGGAAACCAGCAGCGAGGCAGAGCAGAGGCAACCCUGCUGACGCUUCAAGUAAUCGAGCGCGAGAGGAUUUGCAUCUCCACCGCCUCCAAUCUCCCCUCUUAUGCCUAUACUUAUCAAAUUCAAAUCGCUACUAUGCAGAGACAAAAUAAUGCACAUACCCCUCCUCCGCCGCAAAAUAGCCGCCGCGCAGUCUCCAAAAUCAGCUUUUGAGAAACUUCCCCCAAACUCAGUUUCCUGCAGAAUCACCCAGAAUCAGUUUCCUGCAGAAUCACCCAGAAUCAGUUUCCUGCAGAAUCACCCAGAAUCAGCUGUCGAGUUCUUUUCUAAGAUUGUGGUCUGAGAUUAUGGGAUGAGUUGUGUGCUAAAAAUGUCUGUAAUGUCCCUGAACUAAAACUGUGUGUUGAAUUGCUAAGACUUACAGUAGUUGUUUUGGACAAUUUCUGUCGAAUAUGAGCAUGAAAACGAGCAUACAUCCAUUCAGCCAUCAAGCAAAUCAUCUACUCCUACCAAACAAACAAACAUCCAUCCAUUUUCCCAUGUACAGAGAAGAACUAGGAACAGAGACGAACAAGAAGGAAUAGAGCUGCACCCAGAACAGAACAGAGAAGCAGAGAGGAGAUGAGAGCUCAGCCUAGGCGACGGCCCGAGCAAACUCCGGCGAGGCGGCGUCGGGUGUCGAGGCCAGCGGCCGGGGCGGAGCAGCGGCUGAGGGCCUCGAGGCGAGCAGGCGGGGCGAAGGAGUGGUCGGGGCGGAGCAACGGCUGCGGGCCUCGAAGCGAGCGUGCGGGGCAGAGCAGCGGCUUCAGGCGAGCGGGAGGGGCGGGCUGUCGGGCGGCGCGGCGGCGGCGGCCCUGUAUCCCUAUCGCGAGCGCGAGUGGGGAGGUGGGGGAUCGAGCGAAGGAGAGUGACGAGUCGUGCGACUCGUUUUUCUGGGCGCGGCAGGCCUCCGCCCAACAGUGGCAGUUCUCUGGUAAUUUGCCUCUCAAACAGGGGUACUACUUUAAGUCGAAACGUUUUGUUUUGUGGGAGCGUCCAAAAUAGCCAGAACCGAGGUCUCAAGACGAUUUUUUUUGGUGAAUACGCUUAGCAGCGUAUCAUUUCAUUGAUAGAUUGGGAAAGAAGUUGAUACAAGUGGCAUCCAUGCAGACAUACACAUGGAGGCGUCUGGAUGGAUGCAGCGAGCAGGGAAGGGAGGGUGCUCAGCCUCGUUACAUAUGAUCAGGUUACAGGAAUAAUAGCGGCUAGUCCCUUGGCACCGGCCUUAGCCCAUAGGCGAGCGUCAUCUUGGAUGGAAAGCACAAGAUCGUCGGUAGAGGGGUGAAGGCCGUCGAAGAUGGCGGCGUUGCGGUGCUUCCAGAUGGCCCAAGCGGUAAGAGCGACGAUGGAGUUGAGCCAUUUGCGCAGGCCGCUCGGCGAGGUGUCGGCCGCGAGUGCCCGCCAUGCGAAGAAGGUCGUCGCGCUAUCCAUGGGUGGGGUGACGAGCCUGCACCAGGCCAGGAUUUCAUGCCAGGUGAUCCGGGCGAAUACACAACCAGCUAAGAGAUGGUCGAUGGAUUCUGUCUCCUGAUGACGUAGGAUUAAACCUGGGCAAAUGUCGGGCCGGGCCGGGCUUGUAAAAGCCCGACCUUCAUUUCUCAAGCCCGAGCCCGGCCCGAAGCCCGAAAUACUCCACAUUUUCAAGCCCGAGCCCGGCCCGAAAUCAAGCCCGAAGCCCGAAAGCCCGGCCCGAAUGUUGUUUUUUAGUACGCGCACGUGCAAGCCCGGCCCGAAGCCCGAAAGCCCGGCCCGAAAUACGGAAAAAUUAAAGCCCGAGCCCGGCCCGAACUAUCUUUCGGGCUAAGAAACAAAGCCCGAGCCCGGCCCGAAUGUCAAGCCCAGCCCGGCCCGGCCCGGGUUUUUCGGGCCGGGUCGUCGGGCCGGGCUGCCCAUGCCCGGGUUUACAUAGGAUGCAAACGACGUAGUGCGUGAGGCCGUGCCAUGCACGGCGUUCGGCCAUCCAGCACCAGUCCAGGGAGGCAAGCCAGAGAAAGAACUUGCAGUUGGUGGGCGCCUAGCAUUUCCAAAGAAGCUUCCAUGAGGGCGGCGUAGUGGAUCCGUGGAAGAGAGUAAGAUCGCAAGACUUGGCCGAGUAACUGCCAUUUGUCGUCCAAUGCCAGGAUAUCGUGUCAGGCGUGGUGGUUAGGCUCACGCCUUGCAGCUUUCGCCAAAGGUUGACGUACUCAAUAACCUCCGGGAGUCUUAAGCGUGCCAUGGAUGUCGCGGAUCCAGGCGUGCUGCUCAAGGCCCUCCCGAACCAGGGUUCGCCGUCUGCGUUGAUUUGGCACGAGAGUGAAAAGGCCGGGGGGUCGGAGACGGCCUGGCCGUCGAGCCAGUGGUCACCCCAAAAGAGGCAAGUUCUCCCGUCACCAAGGUGCCAGGUUGUGGAUGCGCGGAAGAAGCUGGACGUCACAUCGUCGACGGGGAGCUGGAGAUGAUGCAAAGGCCGCGAGGGGUCGAUGGCUUUGAGCCAAAGCCAGCGGCAGCGCAGGGAAAUCCUGGUGAGGUGCAAGUCACGCACGCCAAGGCCGCCGAACUCGAGAGGUCAACAGACGCGCGGCCAGCUAACGAGGCAGCUGCCGGAUCUGGCAUCAUGCCUGCCAUGCCACAGAAAGUCGCGGAUGAUCCGCGUGAUCUUCUUGAGAAUAGUCGGGUUGAUGGCGAUGGCCAUGAGGAUGUGCACGGGCAUAGCGGAGAGCACGUGGCGCACGAGCGCAUGGCGUUCGCCACGGGUCGGGAGUGUAGCUUUCCAAGUGGCUAGCUUCCGCAAGAUCUUGUCCACAAGCGGCAUCAAGGACGAGGAGGGUGUCUUGCGCACGGACAGUGGGAGGCCUAGGUAUACCAAGGGGAAGCUAGUGACUGCGCACGCAAGCAUGGAGCUGAUGAUCGGAGCCACCUCCUCAUCGCACCGUAUGGGGGUAGCCGAGCACUUAAGAAAAUUCGUGCAGAGACCCGAGGCCUCGCCGAAGAUCCGAAGCAGCUCGCGGAUGGUAGCAAGCUCCGUGGUGGUCGGGUGGCAGAAGACGACCACAUCGUCGGCGUACAAAGAGAUGCUGGAGGCGGCAUAGCGGUUGGUAAGCCGUUGCAACAUGCCCGCGCGGACCACAUGCUGGAGGAGGGAGUUCAGGGUGUCUAUCACGAUCGCGAAGAGGAGCGGAGAUAUCGAGUCGCCUUGGCGGAGCCCGCAAGCAUGGUCCACCGGAGGGCCUGGGUUGCCGUUGAUGAGAACCCGCGUGGAUGCAGUGGAGACCAGGAUGCAAACCCAUUCGCACCAGCGGUGUCCGAAGCCAAGGUGGUGAAGAGCUUGAAGGAGAAAGGGCCAAGAGACGGUGUCGAAGGCCUUCGCAAUGUCAAGCUUGAGAAGAAUGCGCGGGGCCUUGAGAUUGUGAAGCAGACGCGCCGUUUGCUGGACAAGGAGGAAGUUGUCGUGCACACUCCGGCCGGCAAUGAAUGCGCUCUGGUUGGUGGAGACGAUCUGGCUCAUCCUAGGCGCAGACAAAGGGAGAGGACCUUGGCGAAAAGCUUGGUGACGAUGUGGAUCGAACCGAUAGGCCUAUAGUCAGAGAGCGCGGACGCAUCCGGUUUCUUGGGAAGCAGAACAAGCAAUGCUUCGUUAAGCUUCUGGAAUCCCAUGCCAUUCAUGACGAAAAGCUUGUCGAAGGCUUCGCAGAUGUCGGACUUAAUCGUGGUCCAGCACGCACGCAGGAAUUCUGUCGUGAACCCAUCUGGUCCGGGUGCUUUGCCCGUAGGCAGAUUCUUCACGGCGUUCCAAAUUUCAUCCUCCGUGAAAGGUUGCUCAAGGUCGAGUAGAUCAAAGAGGCGGGGGGGCGAUGCCAUCUAGGUCGAGGGAGUACUCUCUUUGGGCAGAGGAGCCAAGAAUGGAGGUAAAAUGCUCGAAUGCAGCUUGCGCCAUGUCCACAUCGGCGGUGAGGACUUGCGAUCCCACCCGGAUGCCGGCCAUGUAGUUCUUCUGAGCGCGGUGGGCGGCCUGGAUCUUAAGGAACACGACGUUAGUGUCGCCGUCACGGAGCCAGCGGAGGCGAACCCGUUGUCGGUGUCACAACCCUAGCUCAGUCCCUCUUAUCUUUGGUUGAUCAUCAUGUCAUCAUAUUUAAGAUUCAAAUGAAUCUGAAUUGGGGAUGUUCAAACCCUAGCAUUAAAUCAACUCAACUAGGGUGGAUUAAAAUCUUUUUCAAUAAACCCAAAAAGUCCCGAAGAAAAGUUCAUGAUUUCUGGUUAAGGUGGAAACCUCUGCCAAAAAUGAUGAAUAUAUUCUUAGAUCAUUUUUGGAUUUUUGAAUUAAAUCAUAUUGUAUUUGACUUUGGGCAUUUAAACACUAUAAAUAAUUUAAAUGCUCAAAUAAUGCUGGAAUUAUUUAUGGGACACUGAAAUAAUUCAGAAAGUGCUCAUGAAUAUUUUCAGGAUUUAUAAAAUUGAUUUGGUUUUUAAAACUGGAUCAAAAACAAACUACAAAAAUAGAAAAACAGAAUUAAAGGAAAGAGAGAAGGACUUACCUGGCGCUUACCUGUCCCGCUUGGCGGCCCAGCACUGCUGGCCCAGCCCACCACCGCAGCUCCUCCUGUCGUCUUCCUCGUCGGACAAAAGGACGAACGUGUGGCCGCGGCGCGCGCGCGCAUGCGCCGAGCCACCUCCUGCUUGCCGCCCCGCCCUGGAUCGACUAAGGAUGCCACGGCACCCCCCCUGAAUCCCCUCUCUCUCCCUCGAGCAUCCCCCCUCUGGCCUCUCUCUUCCUCGCUUCUCUGCUCCCACCCGGACGCUCCCGCCAGCCACCGCAGCUCGCCCGCGUGGCCACCGUCGACGCAAUGCUGCUCCACCUUUUCCCCAAGCUCCGUAAAGUCUCGCCCGUCCUCUACAUCGAGCCACGCAUCGAGGGAGGCCCUGCAUCGCCGCCUACGCGUCAUCUUCAACCUCCGGAUCUGACGGCCGCCUCCGGUCAAUUUGGCGCCUCAGCGCAUCCCCGACCUCGCUCUCGCGCUCGUCGACCUCACUGUGAGCUCCGCCGUCGAUUACCCCUAACCCCGUUGCGUUUCGCCCGCCGUACCCGUCGUUCUGCUGACGCCCGUAGCAUCGCAACGGUCGAGCCGUGCUUCGGCGCCGCUCCGCUUGACGCCGCCGUUGCCUUAGGCCAUCUCCGGCAGCCCCGCAGCCACCACCCGACGCGCCUCGUCGCGCUGCAGCCUUAGAGCCCAACCCCGCCUCCUCUCAUUGCCGGAGUCGCCGGGACGAGCGACGCCGCCGCAUCUGUGUGUCACCGGCGGUUAACCGCCGACGUGGCCGGCUUAAUUAGUGCCUAACCACAUUGCUAAGUACCAACCACAGUCACUAACACGCGGGACCCACUGGUCAGUUUGACCUGGGGUGCUCCAUUGACUGCUGACAUCAGCAUGAUGUCAUGCUGACGCAGUAAAUCAUUUACUGGAUUUUGUUUAAUUCCAAAUAACCAAAAAAUCCAAAAAAUGAUUUGAACUUCUCAAAAUCAUAGAAAUUCAACCGUAACUCCAAAUGAAAUAAUUUAUAUAUGAAAAAUGAUCAGAAAAAUCCAAUCUAUCCAUCUGUACUGGUUUCAUGCAUGUUAAAGCAACUUAAACCUGCUGUUUAUAUCAAAACAUGAUAAUGCACUAUUUGAAUUCAUAGUUUGAGUUUGAACUUGAACCUUGGGUUCAAAAUAACUCAAACCCAUCUGGUUAUAGUUGCAUUAGGCCAACACACUCAUAUUGCCAUGUCAUGAGCAUGCAUCAUAUUGUGCAUUGCAUUGAUUGUGUUUCCUUCUCUGUUGCCGACAAUUGUCCCCUCUCAGUAGACGUGGUUCCGACGAUGAGAUCGAUGACACCGAUGAAGAGCUAUACUAUCUUCAGAAGUGCCAGGCAAGCAAAACCCCUUGUUCAUUCUGAUACAAUCCCACUCUCUCGCUCAUGCUCUCUUUUACUGCAUUAGGACAACAACGAUUCAACUGUUACAUGCUGCGGUAGAUGAACCCCUUUCCUUUGCAUGACCUGUCAUUUCCACAGUAAAUAGAUGAAACCCACUAGCAUGAGUAGGAGUUGUUUGAGCCCUGGUGUGCCUACUCAUUCAUGCUUGUUUGUCAUGCCUGCUAUUGCUUAGAGUUGUGUCAAGUCUGAUUCAUCGGGGAUGAAUUGGAAUGUUGUGAACAUGUCCUACUGUGUGUGAGCUAAGUGUGUGAACACGGUUUGGUAAAGGUAGCGGUGAGGGGCCAUGUAGGAGUACAUGGUGGGUUGUCUCAUUGAAGCCGUCCUCGGGAACUGAGUUCUAUGUUUGUGAUCCAUGAACAGUUACUACCACACAUUGGGCUCCAGGCUCUCCAAUCUCUCUUGACUUAUUAAUCAACUCGAUCUCUGUCCAGGAGUUGCAACUAGUUUCUAGUGUUUGUAGGCAGUGCUAGUAGUCUACCAAGUGGCACCCGGUAUAGGUGGGCUUGGGACAGACUAGGUGCAGUGGCACGGUGUACCAAGUGACACCCGGAUGGUGGGCUUGGGAACCCUGCUCACAUCGUUUGGGGCUGUGAGCGACACCCCGGCCGGAUCUCCGUGCGGAUGGAACCCGAAUAGGCGAUAAACCUGGACUAGAGACUUGUGUGGUUAGUCAGGUCGUGGCCGACUCCCUCGCCAGGCUUCCGCUUGAAGGUUGCCGAGAUACACGACGUGUACAUGGUGGUAAGUGGCGAGAGCAUGUGUGAAGAAGUACACCCCUGCAAGUUUAACAUCAUCUAUUCGAAUAGCCGUGUCCGCGGAAAAGGACUUCUGGGUUGCUUGUACAAUUCAUAGACAAGUGAAAGUGGAUACUCUAAAAUGCGCAAGAUAAGCGUGAGUGCUAUGGAUGGCGUUCUCGUAGGAAGACCGGAGCAGAUUCAUAGUAGUGUAUUGGUUGGUGAAUAUGUGGACUCGUGUGCGCCACCUCAAAAGAGUUACAUUGCAGUCGUAGUUCAAGAUAGCCACUGAGUCAAAGCUGGCUUGCUGCAGUUAAACCCCACCAUCCCUUUGUUGAUAAUGAUGCAUAUGUAGAUAGCUAUGAUGUAAGUCUUGCUGGGUACAUUUGUACUCACGUUUGCCUAUUUUAUGUUUUUGUAGAGAGACUUCAGUCUCAUUAGUAGUUCCUCGUGGACUUCGACGUUUAGCUUGUUACCUCAGCUACGAUCUUGUGCCCUCGGCAGGAUCUAGUAGAUAGUCAGGCUUCUCAGCCUUUUUCAUUUGUAGAUGUCUAUACUCAAACAUGUUAAGCUUCCGUUUGUGCUUUUGACUUGUAUGCUCUGAAUGUUGGGUCAUGAGGCCCAUGUUUGUAAUAUCUCGCUCCUCGGAGCCUAUUGAAUAAAAUAUUUGAGUUGUAGAGUCAUGUUGUGAUGCCAUGUUGUAUUUGCACAUAUCCAGCAUAUUGUGUGUAUGUUAUUGAAAUGCUUGGUAUGUGUGGGAUCUGACUAUCUAGUUGUUUAUCCUUGGUAGCCUCUCUUACCGGGAAAUGUCUCCUAGUGCUUCCACUAAGCCUUGGUAGCUUGCUACAGCUCCGGAACACUUAGGGUGGCCGGCAUGUGUCCUUCUUCAUUCAUGUGUCUGUCCCUUUGGGGAAAUGUCACGCGGUGUCUACCGGAGUCCUGUUAGCCUGCUACAGCCCGGUUUACCAGAGUCCUGCUAGACCAGUUGCUACAGCCUGGAUUCACUCGCUGAUGACCGACACGUUCGUUGCUGGGUCAUGUAUGCCUGUCCCUGUAAGUUAGUGCCACUUUGGUUCACAACUAGUCAUGUCAGCCCGGGCUCCUUGUCAUAUGGAUGCUAGCGACACUAUCAUAUACGUGUGCCAAAAGGCGCAAACGGUCUCGGGCCUGGUAAGGCGACACCCGUGGGAAUACCGUGCGUGAGGCCGCAAAGUGAUAUGAGGUGUUACAUGCUAGAUCGUUGUGGCAUUGAGUCGGGGUCCUGAUAGUUUUGGUAUCAGAGCUUGACUGCCUGUAGGUCUACCAAGCCAAACUGGUCGAAGUUGAGUCUAGAAAUUCUUUAGUUAUAUAAGGGAAUUGAUUGUGGAUGGGAACACAAGGCUCUUUUUACUCCUUAUACCUUAUGUCCUUCUGAUCUGAUUCAUCUUAUCUUUCCUACGGGGUCAAGGAACUAGGCUUUCUCUUCUUUCUAUCAGGAUCACGUGUUACUAAUUCUGUAGACUUAUAGAAUUGUUGGACUUAAGCCUCGGUUCGGUUCCUACUAUUUUUGUAUGUUAACUGUUGAUCUCGUAACCUUGAUAUUGUGCUUCUGAGUGGUUAUGCCACCAUUUUUGUAGCAUGUCUCAAAUCUUUUUGAGCAUUUACAACCGUUAUUCUGUCCGAGUCAUCUCAGUUCUAAACAGUCAGAUGCAUUUGCAAAUCCCUUCUUACCGUUCCAAUGUUCCUUUGGCCAGGUUAAUCACACUAAUUGCUGAGUUGAGGUACUCUAUUGCCUCGACAUAUAUGUUGGAGUUAUUAUUAUGACCCUAGGUGUCUUAGGGGAUCAUCUAGUAGUCUAGCCAUGUUUUGUGAUCCCAGUGUGAUGAUUCUAGCCAUCAUUCUCGACAGCAUUCCGUGAUGCCAUUUAGUUAGUAGGUAUUCUACUCCUGGGUUUUGAACCCGAGAUUCGCCCUACUUAUUUCAUGUUGAUAGUGUUUGCUAGUUUCUUUAGGAUAUUAGUAACCUUUGCGAUAGUCCUCGAGGUCCAUGGUAUUUCCUUCUUCCAAAUACCAUGAACUGCUUAUGGCAGAAGUUCCUUGAACCAAGAGAUCACAACAAGAGUGCUCUCGAUGAGUUCUCGAUUCUAUGUUGUGACUCUGUCAGUUCUACCUUCUUUGCAUGGGUUAUCCGGAAGAAAUAUGUUGAACUCGUUCGACAUGCUAAUCUAUGCAUCCACAACUCAGAAAAUCAUUUUUUUUGACUUGUCCCUCUUUAGUUGUUUUCUGGCCCUCGUUUAUCAAUUGUAAGUCAGGAGUAGUUCUGCAUUCGUGUUCAUCGAUGUCUACUACUCCUGUGGUCCGUCAAGCCAUUCUAUUCGGAAUGACUAGGAGAAACAAACUCUAGUACCUCAUCCAUAUCCAGGAUUGGGUACAAGUAGUUGUAAUCCACAAAUCAAAAUGCCAAUCUAGCUUUUGAUUUUGUUCUACCCUGAAGUAUUACCCACUUUAUGUCAGGAAUGUCAUGAGGGUUGCACCUUCUCUUAUGGAUUCUCGACGUAGUGAUACUUCUCGCCAUCAUUAUUCAUUCCUCGGUUCCGUGUUGUCACAACCAGAGUGCCGACAAGUGAAUCGUGAUGUGUGAAAUCUAUACUCCUAGCAAUCUUGUUGCUUGGUAGAUAAAGGACAAUAAUUUCAUUCUUAGCGUGUUGGUUCUUGAAUCAUCAUUCUAAGAUAGAUUGUGCUACCUAGUCCUUAUUUUCGGUGUACUCUUCGAUCAAUGAGUUAGGAUUGUGUCAAUCCCUCGCUCUUUUGAUCAUAUCGUCUUGCCCAGAAAAGCAAGAUUAUUCUCGAGCUUAGUAGCAUAUUGGUGGUUCAUGAUUUUCCGAAUAUCUUCUCGGAAGUAUUACCAGGUUGUCCCCUGACCCUUAUGUUGAGUUCAUGAUCAAGUUGGUUUAUUCCUGUAAACCACCCUUUCCCCAAGAAUCCAUGUUGGAUACCCCUGAGCUAGUUGGUUAAGCUAUACGUCAACUUGGAGAGCUGGAAGAUAAAAGCUUGUCCGACUUAGUUCAUGUUAAGGGAUAUCUUGUAUGUAUGUUGAAGAAAGAUGAUAUCUUCAAUGAUUAGUCUUGGUGAUCAGUUGUUGGACCUAUUAUCUUAUCAAAACUUUGAUUCGAGUGUGGGCUAUUCUCAAAUCAAAUCAGAACCAACGAUGUUCGUAAUGUUGUCUUACUCGUGGUUCCUCCUCGAGCAUACUCCAUUAUAUCUUUUGGUCUGACCAAUGCUAUCACCAUGUUCACAUAAUUGUGGAAUUCCAUUUAUAUGGAAACCAGGAUGAAUUGUUGUUGAGCCCAUCGACAACAUCCUUAUCUUCUCCAUAAUCUUGUUGAAUAUUAAGUUAGUAUUGGAAACUUUUGAAAGCAUUUCUUCAUGCUAGCGCAUGGAGUAUAUGUUUGGAUGAAAGAAGUGACUUCCUAUCAUUCAUGUGCAUUCGAUGCAAGUUGCCACCGUGAAUUUGAGAGAGUUAUUUUUGCUUCCUCUGGAAUCAUCCCAAGUCAGUCAUGCAUGUGCAAAGUAUACUAUGGUUUGGUAGAUUAAUUACCUCCACCCCAUAUGUAUUUCCUAGCACCCGAAGCCACCGAUUGAUUUGCUCAAGGAAAAGGAAUUUGUUGUGUUAAUUCUAGAUCAUGCACAAGACUCCGAUAUCCUCGAUGAUGGUUCCCAACCAGAACUCGGUAGUGUUUGUUGUAAGACUACCAUGUGGUCAUGCUUGUCUGGGAUAGCGUGUUCACAUGUGUGUAGCAGAACCAGCUCAUGUUUUGGAGAUUACUACCGCAGUCCAUUUCCCGAGAAUCUCGCAACAUUAUCUCGUCGGUUUGUGUUGCAAGCUCUCAUUUUUCUUCCUAGACUCGAUGAGUCUGGAAUAUUCUGACACCAACCAGAUCUGAAUCUCAGGCAGAUAUGAUGGUCGGAACAUUUCCCAAGAACUAUAAUAUUGGCCUCUCUGUAACCCGGUAAAGUGGAUAUCAUGGCCAACACACCCAGUCGGAAGACCCAUUAUUGCAGUAUCUUGAUUGAGGAAGUUGGCCACCUCCCCAUAAAGAUUUCGUAGGAUUUACUCCCUAGUUGUCCCUUAUGGAUUUUUGUGUUCCCGAAGUCCGACCUUUUACUUGAUGUUCUAGAUAUCAAACCAUAUCUAUGAAUGGGAUACGCUAGCACAUCAAGGAGAAUAUUAGAAGCGGAGUGCUAAAUGUCUCUCCGUCGAUUAUCAAGAUUUUGUGGCCUUGGCAUUGCUAAGGUAAAAUCUUAGAAGGUGUUGUCUUCCUUUGCAUCUGCAUCGUCCAUCACUAUUCAUCAUGGUAGUAUUAUGUGUUGCCAGGAUCCUCGACACGGAUGUUGGUAAGACCCUGAUGAAUAUGGAAAUGCUCAAGUUCUUGAGAGCACGCUCAGACACUAUGUUAUAUCCUUGAUAUCAAUUGGAAUGUGCCUCCCGUUUGCCGAGUUGUUCUAUAACCAUAGUUUCCUUUCCGAUCAGAGUAUGCAAUUUUUUCGAACUCCGUGAAACAAUCAUUUGUGAAAUUGCCUUAGGCUGGUAUAGAGAGUUUCAUUGGUCUUCGUGUCAAAAGUAAUUCUUUUUGCCACUUAAGGGAAUAAUCUAUGAGUCACCUUCUCCAAGAUGCCAUGUUUGUUAUGAAGGGAAAUCAACUCCUUGCUACGUUGACACCCGUUCACCACCUUCUUAAGUGUGGAAUUUUUGCCUACGCAACUGAACCCUUGUCAUCUACUUCUUUCCAUUGCACCUAAUGUGUGUUUUGUGUCUCAACUCGAGAGAUGUUAGUAUGUCUCAUCACGUGAGUUGAUCGUGAGUUGCUCGAUCUUCAAGGAGAUCGUUUCCAGUAGAAUCUCUUUUCGUUGUCAUCGAGCUGAAUGAAGAUCUCGAGAGCAAGGAUAUUACUAUCAACAUGAAGUAAGGAACCAGCGUUCCUAUGAAGGGCAAUUGGAUCGAGAAGAUUGUGUUAGCUUUAUGUCCCCUCUGCCUUCUUACCUCACGUCAUGAAUCUCGGGACGAGAUUCUUGUUUUGUGGGGGUGAGUUGUCACAGCCCUAGCUCAGUCCUUGUUUUCUUUGCUUGAUCAUCAUGUCAUCAUAUUUAAGAUUCAAAUGAAUCUGAAUUGGGGAUGUUCAAACCCUAGCAUUAAAUCAACUCAACUAGGGUGGAUUAAAAUCUUUUUCAAUAAACCCAAAAAGUCCCUAAGAAAAGUUCAAGAUUUCUGGUUAAGGUGGAAACCUCUCCCAAAAAUGAUGAAUAUAUUCUUAGAUCAUUUUUGGAUUUUUGAACUAAAUCAUAUUGUAUUUGACUUUGGGCAUUUAAACACUAUAAAUAAUUUAAAUGAUCAAAUAAUGUUGGAAUUAUUUAUGGGACACUGAAAUAAUUUAGAAAGUGCUCAUGAAUAUUUUCAGGAUUUAUAAAAUUGAUUUGGUUUUUAAAACUGGAUCAAAAACAAAGUACACAAAUAGAAAAAUAGAAUUAAAGGAAAGAGAGAGAAGGACUUACCUGGCGCUUACCUGUCCCGCUUGGCGGCCCAGCACUGCUGGCCCAGCCCACCACCGCAGCUCCUCCUGUCGUCUUCCUCGUCGGACAGAAGGACGAGCGUGUGGCCGCGGCGCGUGCGCAUGCGCCGAGCCACCUCCUGCUUGCCUCCCCGCCCUGGAUCGGCUAAGGAUGCGAGGGCACCCCCCUGAAUCCCCUCUCUCUCCCUCGAGCAUCCCCCUCGGGCCUCUCUCUUCCUUGCUUCUCUGCUCCCACCCGGACACUCCCGCCGGCCACCGCAGCUCGCCCGCAUGGCCACCGUCGAUGCAAUGCUGCUCCACCUUUUCCCCGAGCUCCGUAAAGUCUCGCCCGUCCUCUACACCGAGCCACGCAUCGAGGGAGGCCCUGCAUCGCCGCCUACGCGUCGUCUUCAACCUCCGGAUCUGACGGCCGCCUCCGGUCAAUUUGGCGCCUCAGCGCAUCCCCGACCUCGCUCUCGCGCUCGUCGACCUCACUGUGAGCUCCGCCGUCGAUUACCCCUAACCCCGUUGCAUUUCGCCAGUCGUACCUGUCGUUCUGCUGACGCCCGUAGCAUCGCAAUGGUCGAGCCGUGCUUCGGCGCCGCUCCGCUUGACACCGCCGCUGCCUUAGGCCAUCUCCGGCAGCCCCGCAGCCACCACCCGAUGCGCCUCGUCGCGCUGCAGCCUUAGAGCCCAACCCCGCCUCCUCUCAUUGCCGGAGUCGCCGGGACGAGCGACGCCGCCGAAUCUGUGUGUCACCGGCGGUUAACCGCCGACGUGGCCGGCUUAAUUAGUGCCUAACCACAUUGCUAAGUACCAACCACAGUCACUAACACGCGGGACCCACUGGUCAGUUUGACCUGGGGUGCUCCAUUGACUGCUGACAUUAGCAUGAUGUCAUGCUGACGCAGUAAAUCAUUUACUGGAUUUUGUUUAAUUCCAAAUAACCAAAAAAUCCAAAAAAUGAUUUGAACUUCUCAAAAUCAUAGAAAUUCAACCGUAACUCCAAAUGAAAUAAUUUAUAUAUGAAAAAUGAUCAGAAAAAUCCAAUCUAUCCAUCUGUACUGGUUUCAUGCAUGUUAAAGCAACUUAAACCUGCUGUUUAUAUCAAAACAUGAUAAUGCACUAUUUGAAUUCAUAGUUUGAGUUUGAACUUGAACCUUGGGUUCAAAAUAACUCAAACCCAUCUGGUUAUAGUUGCAUUAGGCCAACACACUCAUAUUGCCAUGUCAUGAGCAUGCAUCAUAUUGUGCAUUGCAUUGAUUGUGUUUCCUUCUCUGUUGCCGACAAUUGUCCCCUCUCAGUAGACGUGGUUCCGACGAUGAGAUCGAUGACACCGAUGAAGAGCUAUACUAUCUUCAGAAGUUCCAGGCAAGCAAAACCCCUUGUUCAUUCUGAUACAAUCCCACUCUCUCGCUCAUGCUCUCUUUUACUGCAUUAGGACAACAACGAUUCAACUGUUACAUGCUGCGGUAGAUGAACCCCUUUCCUCUGCAUGACCUGUCAUUUCCACAGUAAAUAGAUGAAACCCACUAGCAUGAGUAGGAGUUGUUUGAGCCCUGGUGUGCCUACUCAUUCAUGCUUGUUUGUCAUGCCUGCUAUUGCUUAGAGUUGUGUUAGGUCUGAUUCAUCGGGGAUGAAUUGGAAUGUUGUGAACAUGUCCUACUGUGUGUAAGCUAAGUGUGUGAACACGGUUUGGUAAAGGUAGCGGUGAGGGGCCAUGUAGGAGUACAUGGUGGGUUGUCUCAUUGAAGCCGUCCUCCGGAACUGAGUUCUGUGUUUGUGAUCCAUGAACAGUUACUACCACACAUUGGGCUCCAGGCUCUCCAAUCUCUCUUGACUUAUUAAUCAACUCGAUCUCUGUCCAGGAGUUGCAACUAGUUUCUAGUGUUUGUAGGCAGUGCUAGUAGUCUACCAAGUGGCACCCGGUAUAGGUGGGCUUGGGACAGACUAGGUGCAGUGGCACGGUGUACCAAGUGACACCCGGAUGGUGGGCUUGGGAACCCUGCUCACAUCGUUUGGGGCUGUGAGCGACACCCUGGCCGGAUCUCCGUGCAGAUGGAACCCGAAUAGGUGAUAAACCUGGACUAGAGACUUGUGUGGUUAGUCAGGUCAUGGCCGACUCCCUCGCCAGGCUUCCGCUUGAAGGUUGCCGAGAUACACGACGUGUACAUGGUGGUAAGUGGCGAGAGCAUGUGUGAAGAAGUACACCCCUGCAAGUUUAACAUCAUCUAUUCGGAUAGCCGUGUCCGCGGAAAAGGACUUCUGGGUUGCCUGUAUAGUUCAUAGACAAGUGAAAGUGGAUACUCUAAAAUGCGCAAGAUAAGCGUGAGUGCUAUGGAUGGCGUUCUCGUAGGAAGACGGGAGCAGAUUCAUAGUAGUGUAUUGGUUGGUGAAUAUGUGGACUCGUGUGCGCCACCUCAAAAGAGUUACAUUGCAGUCGUAGUUCAGGAUAGCCACUGAGUCAAAGCUGGCUUGCUGCAGUUAAACCCCACCAUCCCUUUGUUGAUAAUGAUGCAUAUGUAGAUACCUAUGAUGUAAGUCUUGCUGGGUACAUUUGUACUCACGUUUGCCUAUUUUAUGUUUUUGUAGAGAGACUUCAGUCUCAUUAGUAGUUCCUCGUGGACUUCGACGUUUAGCUUGUUACCUCAGCUACGAUCUUGUGCCCUCGGCAGGAUCUAGUAGAUAGUCAGGCUUCUCAGCCUUUUUCAUUUGUAGAUGUCUAUACUCAAACAUGUUAAGCUUCCGUUUGUGCUUUUUACUUGUAUGCUCUGAAUGUUGGGUCAUGAGGCCCAUGUUUGUAAUAUCUCGCUCCUCGGAGCCUAUUGAAUAAAAUACUUGAGUUGUAGAGUCAUGUUGUGAUGCCAUGUUGUAUUUGCACAUAUCCAGCAUAUUGUGUGUAUGUUAUUGAAAUGCUUGGUAUGUGUGGGAUCUGACUAUCUAGUUGUUUAUCCUUGGUAGCCUCUCUUACCGGGAAAUGUCUCCUAGUGCUUCCACUAAGCCUUGGUAGCUUGCUACAGCUCCGGAACACUUAGGGUGGCCAGCAUGUGUCCUUCUUCAUUCCUGUGUCUGUCCCUUCGGGGAAAUGUCACGCGGUGUCUACCGGAGUCCUGUUAGCCUGCUAUAGCCCGGUUUACCGUAGUCCUGCUAGACCAGUUGCUACAGCCCGGAUUCACUCGCUGAUGACCGACACGUUCGUUGCUGGGUCAUGUAUGCCUGUCCCUGUAAGUUAGUGCCACUUUGGGUUCACGACUAGUCAUGUCAGCCCGGGCUCCUUGUCAUAUGGAUGCUAGCGACACUUCAUAUACGUGUGCCAAAAGGCGCAAACGGUCCCGGGCCUGGUAAGGCGACACCCGUGGGAAUACCGUGCGUGAGGCCGCAAAGUGAUAUGAGGUGUUACGUGCUAGAUCGGUGUGGCAUUGAGUCGGGGUCCUGACAGCUGGAGGAUAGAUCGCUCAAGGGAAGCGAGACUGAGGUAAGCUCGCUUGAGCUCGCGAUGCAACCAUCCCUUAGCCGGCGUGAGGGGGCGGUGAUCUUGGGCCACAUCCAGACGAAAGAUGAGCUCGCGCGCAAUUUGCAACUGAAGGGAGAUGUUGCCAGUAGUGCGCGCCCCCCAGCUUUGCAGUCGACGUGCCAUGGCCUUGAGUCUGGCAAGAUGCGCCGGAAUGGGUUGGGGUCGGGAGGCACGGCGUUCCAGGCCUCAUGCACAGUGUCAUGAAAGCCAUUGAGCUUGGGCCAGAAUCGCUCGAAGUGAAAGCGGCGCUUGCUCGCACCGUGGGGCGCACGAUCGAUGAGCAAUGGGCAGUGAUCCGAGGCGGCCGUAGACAAGCAGCGGAGGAGGUGCUGCGGGUUGAUGGUCUCCAAGGAAGGAGUGCAUAACACACGGUCAUUGCGCACAAGGGUAGGGUUGCUUUGCUCGUUAGACCACGUAUAUUGCCUCCCGUGUAGGUAUAUGUCACGAAGGGCAUGUCAGCAAUGAACCGACGGAAACGGCUCAUGGCGCGAUGAUUGAGAUUGCUGUUGUUUUUGUCCGUGCAAGAGGUGAUCAUAUUGAAGUCGCCACCGAGGAGCCAGGGUCCGGCAAUGAUAUCACGCAAGUCAUGGAGCUCGGCCAUGAAGGCAAUCUUGUCGUCGACGUCUUGCGGUCCAUAAACGCUCGUGAUCCACCAAGGGGGGUAUCGACACCAAUGGAAAUAGUGGCAGAGAUGUGAAAAGAUCCCGCGAUGGGGUUGGCAAGGGUGACGUGGUCGCUGCGCCAGGCCAAGAGAAUUCCCCCACACGUGCCCGAGGCGGGCAAAAAGUAGAAGUCCGAGAAGUAGGGACCCAGGAGCUCAUACACAGUCGACAAUGAGACCAAGCUGAUCUUAGUUUCUGAGAGACACACGAUGCAAGGGUCGAUGGGAGCAAGGACUGAUCGGACGGCGGUGCGCUUGGCACGGCUAUUAAGCCCGCGCACGUUCCAGAAGACGAUCUUGAGGCUAUGAUCCAUGGGAGGGAUGGGGGCGAGGAGAGUGAUGCAAGGCGCAUCAAACCUCGACCAAGCGAGGAGCAGCAGGGGUGACGCCGUCGAGCAGCCCGGGAGGGAUGGUCCAUCCAAAGAAGUCCACGAAAGCCAAAACGAUGUCGCCUGCAAGCGGUCUGGUGAAGAGCUUGUUGUAGCGUGCAAGUGCCUCCUCGGAGAUGGGCUCGUCGUCGCCAAGAAGCCCGAGGCGGUGUAGGAGCACACGCUUGGCCUUGGUUUCCGAAUCCAAGCCUCUGUCACUCUUGGCCAGGCGACCACUGCGCCGUGGAGUGAAGUUGGGUGGCACAACACCUCGCUUGCGGCGCGAGGAAGGAGUCUCAAGAACGAAGGAGGGGCACGUUCUGAUGGAGUUGAUGUAUUGAAGGACGUCUACGGGAACCGUAAAAGACGCAAGGCCGUUGGAAGUGUAGACCGGAGCUUGGACGUGCGUCUGCAUGGCCUCGGGAGGGGGAGCGCAAUCAACGACUGCGCGCGGGCCCGCUGCAUGUGGAGUGGACGUGGCCAUGCACGGCGUAGGUGGGGCGCUGGGGCCAGCCGCAUGCAGAGGGAUCAUGGGGUCGGCCGCAUGCCUCGGGGGUGGGGAGGAGGCAUGCAUGGGGAGGGAGGCGGGUCCCACCUGCAACGACGGGAAGGCAAGCGACAGCGUGCCAGGCAGGGGCGCAGGAUCCGAGGUAGCGGUCCUCGCAGGCACGGGAUCAGGGCGCGGAUCGGGAUGGGGUCCGCCGAAUCAUCCACAGCAGGAGCGUGUCUGUCCCCCGGCGAGGAAUGGCGCAACACACGGGUGAGAUCACACGAUGGCGACGCGGGUGGGGCCUCAAUCCGGAGUUGCUGAUUGGCAGCGGGAGGAUCCGAUGCGGACCGAGGCGGGGAGGGGACGGGUGGCGCAUCCAGAAUGGCCAAAAUUUGAACCGGAGGCGCGCCGGAAUUUUGUCCCCGGGCAGCGGUCAUCCGCGACAGCCCUUGACGAACAGGGGGGCCAGGUUGACGCAGCCAAUGGCUGGAUGGGGCCCCAGGACGCCCUGCCACCCAUGGUACAGUGGGGGCCCACUAUGAUGGCGACGUCGGUUCUUUUGAGCGCUCAAGACGAUUUUUGAUUGCAUUACUGAUUCCAACGAUUUUCAGAUGAUUUUGAAAAAUCAGAUCUAGUUCUUUUGAGCUUUUGAGUUUUUAGACCCAGACUGUUCAGAAUCAAAUGAAAAGAACUGGGUCGCACCAGGAACGGGUGGAUAACUGGCAUGUGCACAUGACCUAUAGAAUUCACACAUCCAGCAUGUUGGAAAUAUGCCCUAGAGGCAAUAAUAAAUUAGUUAUUAUUAUAUUUCCUUGUUCAUGAUAAUCGUUUAUUAUCCAUGCUAUAAUUGUAUUUAUAGGAAACUCAGAUACAUGUGUGGGUACAUAGACAACACCAUAUCCCUAGUAAGCCUCUAGUUGACUAGCUCGUUGAUCAAUAGUUGGUUACGGUUUCCUGACCAUGGACAUUGGAUGUCAUUGAUAAUGGGAUCAUAUCAUUAGGAGAAUGAUGUGAUGGACAAGACCCAAUCCUAAGCCUAGCACAAAGAUCGUGUAGUUCGUAUGCUAAAGCUUUUCUAAUGUCAAGUAUCAUUUCCUUAGACCAUGAGAUUGUGCAACUCCCGGAUACCGUAGGAAUGCUUUGGGUGUACCAAACGUCACAACGUAACUGGGUGGCUAUAAAGGUGCACUACAGGUAUCUCCGAAAGUGUCUGUUGGGUUGGCACGAAUCGAGACUGGGAUUUGUCACUCCGUGUAAACGGAGAGGUAUCUCUGGGCCCACUCGGUAGGACAUCAUAAUAAUGUGCACAAUGUGACCAAGGGGUUGAUCACGGGAUGAUGUGUUACGGAACGAGUAAAGAGACUUGCCGGUAACGAGAUUGAACAAGGUAUCGGUAUACCGACGAUCGAAUCUCGGGCAAGUAUAAUACCGCUAGACAAAGGGAAUUGUAUACAUGAUCGAUUGAGUCCUUGACAUCGUGGUUCAUCCGAUGAGAUCAUCGUGGAACAUGUGGGAGCCAACAUGGGUAUCCAGAUCCCACUGUUGGUUAUUGACCGGAGAACGUCUCGGUCAUGUCUGCAUGGUUCCCGAACCCGUAGGGUCUACACACUUAAGGUUCGGUGACGCUAGGGUUAUAAAGGAAGUUUGUAUGUGGUUACCAAAUGUUGUUCGGAGUCCCAGAUGAGAUCCCGGACGUCACGAGGAGUUCCGGAAUGGUCCGGAGGUAAAGAUUUAUAUAUGGAAAGUUGUUGUUCGGGUUCCGGAAAAAGUUCGGGUUUUUUCGGUAUUGUACCGGGAAGCUUCCAGAAGGUUCCGGAGGAUUCUGGAGGGGUCCGGAGGUCCGGAAACUGUUCCACCACGUCCAAUACAGCAGCAUGGGCUGUAAGGGGGCGCCCUAGCCUUAAUGGGCCAGGGGCACCAGCCCCCCAGGGCCCAUGCGCAUGGGAGGGGGGAAACCCUAAGGGGGAGGGCCUCCACUUGACUUGGGAGGCACUCCUCCCCCCCUUGGCCGCACCCCUUCCUUGGAGGAAGGGGCAAGGCUGCGCCUCCCCCCUCUCCCUUGCCCCUAUAUAUAGUGGAGGGGAGGGAGGGCAGCCAUACCUGAAGCCCUGGCGCCUCCCUCCCUCCCGUGACACCUCCUCCUCUCCCGCAGGUGCUUGGCGAAGCCCUGCAGGAUUGCCACGCUCCUCCACCACCACUACGCGUCGUGCUGCUGCUGGAUGGAGUCUUCCUCAACCUCUCCCUCUCUCCUUGCUGGAUCAAGGCGUGGGAGACGUCACCGGGCUGUACGUGUGUUGAACGCGGAGGUGCCGUCCGUUCGGCACUAGGAUCUCCGGUGAUUUGGAUCACGACGAGUACGACUCCUUCAACCCCCGUUCUCUUGAACGCUUCCGCUUAACGAUCUACAAGGGUAUGUAGAUGCACUCUCCUUCCCCUCGUUGAUGGUUUCUCCAUAGAUAGAUCUUGGUGACACGUAGGAAAAUUUUGAAUUUCUGCAACGUUCCCCAACAGUGGCAUCAUGAGCUAGGUCUAUUGCGUAGAUUCUUUGCACUAGUAGAACACAAAGUAGUUGUGGGCGUUGAUUUUGUUCAAUAUGCUUACCGUUACUAGUCCAAUCUUGUUUCGACGGUAUUGUGGGAUGAAGCGGCCCGGACCGAUCUUACACGUACUCUUACGUGAGACAGGUUCCACCGACUGACAUGCACUUGGUGCAUAAGGUGGCUAGCGGGUGCCAGUCUCUCUCACUUUAGUCGGAACGGAUUCAAUGAAAAGGGUCCUUAUGAAGGGUAAAUAGCAAUUGGCAUAUCACGUUGUGGUUUUGCGUAGGUAAGAAACGUUCUUGCUAGAAACCCAUAGCAGCCACGUAAAACAUGCAAACAACAAUUAGAGGACGUCUAAAUUGUUUUUGCAGGGUAUGCUAUGUGAUGUGAUAUGGCCAAGAAGAAUGUGAUGAAUGAUAUGUGAUGUAUGAGAUUGAUCAUGUUCUUGUAAUAGGAUUCACGACUUCCAUGUCGAUGAGUAUGACAACCGGCAGGAGCCAUAGGAGUUGUCUUAAAUUUAUUGUAUGACCUGCGUGUCAUUAAACAACGCCAUGUAAUUACUUUACUUUAUUGCUAACCGGUAGCCAUAGUAGUAGAAGUAAUAGUUGGCGAGACAACUUCAUGAAGACACGAUGAUGGAGAUCAUGAUGAUGGACAUCAUGGUGUCAUGCCGGUGACGAUGAUGAUCAUGGAGCCCCGAAGAUGGAGAUCAAUGGAGCUAUAUGAUAUUGGCCAUAUCAUGUCACUACUAUAUAAUUGCAUGUGAUGUUUAUUAUGUUUAUGCAUCUUGUUUACUUAGAACGACGGUAGUAAAUAAGAUGAUCCCUUACACCAAUUUCAAGAAAUGUUCUCCCCUAACUGUGCACCGUUGCUAAAGUUCGUCGCUUCGAAGCACCACGUGAUGAUCGGGUGUGAUAGAUCCUUACGUUCACAUACAACGGGUGUAAGACAGAUUUACACAUGCAAUACACUUAGGGUUAACUUGACGAGCCUAGCAUGUACAGACAUGGCCUCAGAACACGGAGACCGAAAGGUCGAGCAUGAGUCGUAUAGUACAUACGAUCAACAUGAAGAUGUUCACCGAUGAUGACUAGUCCGUCUCACGUGAUGAUCGGACACGGCCUAGUUGACUCGGAUCAUGUAAUCACUUAGAUGACUAGAGGGAUGUCUAUCUGAGUGGGAGUUCAUAAGAUGAACUUAAUUAUCUGAACAUAGUCAAAAGAUCUUUGCAAAUUAUGUCGUAAGCUCGCGCUUUAGUUCCACUGUUUAGAUAUGUUCCUAGAGAAAAUAUAGUUGAAAGUUGAAAGUAGCGAUUAUGUGGACAGUAGAAAGCUUAUGUCCUUAAUGCACCGCUCAGUGUGCUGAACCCCAAACGUCGUCUGUGGAUGUUGCGAACAUCGGACAUACACGUUUUGAUAACUACGUGAUAGUUCAGUUAAAUGGUUUAGAGUUGAGGCACCAAAGACGUUUUCGAAAUGUCGCGGAACAUAUGAGAUGUUUCGAGGGCUUUAAUUGGGAUUUCAGGCUCGUGCCCACAUCAAGAGGUGUAAGACCUCCGACGAUUUUCUUAACCUGCAAACUAAGGGAGAAAAGCUCAAUCGUUGAGCUUGUGCUCAGAUUGUCUGAGUGCAACAAUCACUUGAAUCGAGUGGGAGUUGAUCUUCCAUAUGAGAUAGUGAUGUUUCUCCAAAGUCAUUGCCACCAAGCUGCUAGAGCUUUCUGAUGAACUAUAACAUAUCAGGGAUAGAUAUGAUGAUCCUUGAGGUAUUCACGAUGUUUGACACCGCGAAAGUAGAAAUCAAGAAGGAGCAUCAAUUGUUGAUGGUUGGUGAAACCACUAGUUUCAAGAAGGGCAAGGGCAAGAAGGGAUACUUCAUGAAACGGCAAAUCAGCUGCUGCUCUAGUGAAGAAACCCAAGGUUGAACCCAUACUCGAGACUAAGUGCUUCUGUUAUAAGGGGAACAACUACUGGAGCAGAAUUACCCUAGAUACUUGGUAGAUGAGAAGGCUGGCAAGGUCGAUAGAAGUAUAUUGGAUAUACAUUAUGUUAAUGUGUACUUUACUAGUACUCCUAGUAGCACCAGGGUAUUAGAUACCGGUUCGGUUGCUAAGUGUUAGUAACUCGAAAUAAAAGCUACGGAAUAAACGGAGACUAGCUAAAGGUGAGCUAACGAUAUGUGUUGGAAGUGUUUCCAAGUUUGAUGUGAUCAAACAUCGCACGCUCCCUCUACCAUCAAGAUUAGUAUUAAACCUGAAUAAUUGUCAUUUGGUGUUUGCGUUGAGCAUAGACAUGAUUGGAUUAUGUCUAUUGCAAUACGAUUAUUCAUUUAAGGAGAAUAAUGGUUACUCUAUUUAUUUGAAUAAUACCUUCAGUGGUCUUGCACCUAAUAGGAAUGGUUUAUUGAAUCUCGAUCGUAGUGAUACACAUUUUCAUGCCAAAAGAUAUAAGAUAGUAAUGAUAGUACCACUUACUUGUGGCACUGCCAUGUAAGUCAUAUUGGUAUAAAACGCAUGAAGAAGCUCCAUGUUGAUGGAUCUUUGGACUCACUCGUUUUUGAAAAGUUUGAGACAUGCGAGCCAUGUCUAUUGGUGUAUACGCAUGAAGAAACUCCAUGCAGAUGGAUCGUUUGGACUCACUUGAUUUUGGAUCACUUGAGAUAUGCAAAUUAUACCACAUGGGCAAGAUGACUAAAAGCCUCGUUUUCAGUAAAAUGGAACAAGAUAGCAACUUGUUGGAAGCAACACAUUUUGAUGUGUGCAGUCCAAUGAGUGCUGAGGCAUGUAGUGAAUAUCAUUAUGUUCUUACUUCACAGAUGAUUUGAGUAGAUACUGAGUAUAUUUACUUGAUGAAACACAAGUCUGAAUUAUUGAAUGGUUCAAGUAAUUUCAGAGUGAAGUUGAAGAUCAUCGUGACAAGAGGAUAAAAUGUCUAUGAUAUGAUCAUAGAGAUGAGUAUCUGAGUUACGAGCUUUGGCACGCAAUUAAGACAUUGUGGAAAUUGUUUCACAAUUAAUACCGCCUGGAACACCAUAGUGUGAUGGUGUGUCCGAACAUCAUAGUUGCACCCUAUUAGAUAUAGUGCGUACCAUGAUGUCUCUUAUCGAAUUACCACUAUUGUUCAUGGGUUAGGCAUUAGAGACAACCACACUCACUUUAAUAGGGUACCACGUAAUUACGUUGAGACGACAACGUUUGAGUUAUGGUUUGGAGAAACCUAAGUCGUCGUUUCUUAAAGGUUUGUGGCUGCGACGCUUAUGUGAAAAAGUUUCAGUUUGAUAAGCUCGAACCCAAAGCGGAUAAAAUGCAUCUUCAUAGGACACCCAAAACAGUUGGGUAUACCUCCUAAUUCAGAUCCAAAAGCAAUAAGGAUUGUUUCUUGAAUUGGGUCCUUUCUCGAGGAAAAGUUUGUCUCGGAAAGUUGAGUGGGAGGAUGGUGGAGACUUGAUGAGGUUAUUAAACCGUCACUUCAACAAGUGUGUAGCAGGGCACAGGAAGUUGUUCCUGUGGCACCUACACCAAUUGAAGUAAAAGCUUAUGAUAGUGAUCAUGAAGUUUCGGAUCAAGUCACUACCGUACCUCGUAGGGUGACAAGGAUACGUACUACUUCAGAGUGGUACAGUAAUCCUGUCUUGAAGGUCAUGUUGCUAGACAACAAUGAACCUACGAGCUAUGGAGAAGCGAUGGUGGGCCCAAAUUCCAACAAAUGGUUAGAAGCCAUGAAAUCCGAGAUAGGAUCCAUGUAUCAGAACAAAGCAUGGACUUUGGUGGACUUGCCCGAUGAUCGGCAAGCCAUUGAGAUAAAUGGAUCUUUAAGAAGAAGACGGACGUGGAUGGUAAUGUCACCAUCUAUGAAGCUCGACUUGUGGCGAAGAGUUUUUUCACAAGUUCAAGGAGUUGACUACGAUGAGAUUUUCUCAUCUGUAGCGAUGCUUAAGUCCGUCGAAAUCAUAUUAGCAUUAGCUGCAUUUAUGAAAUCUGGCAGAUGGAUGUCAAGACGAGUUUCCUUACUAGUUUUCGUAAGGAAAGGUUGUAUGUGAUACAAUCAGAAAGGUUUUGUCGAUCCUAAGGAUGCUAAAAGGUAUGCUAGCACCAGCGAUCCUUCUAAGGACUGGAGUAAGCAUCUCGGAGUUGGAAUAUGCACUUUGAUAAGAUGAUCAAAGAUUUUGGGUUUAUACAAAGUUUAUGAGAAACUUGUAUUUCCAAAGAAGUGAGUGGGAGCACUAUAGAAUUUCUGAUGAGUAUAUGUUGUUGACAUAUUGAUGAUCAGAAAUGAUGUAGAAUUUCUAGAAAGCGUAUAGGGUUAUUUGAAAGGUGUUUUUCAAUAGAAAACCUAGAUUAAGCUACUUGAACAUUGAGCAUCAAGAUCUAUGAGGAUAGAUCAAAACGCUUAAUGGUACUUUCAAAUGAGCAUAUACCUUGACAUGAUCUUGAAGGUGUUCAAGAUGGAUCAGUCAAAGAAGGAGUUCUUGCCUGAGAUGUAAGGUAUGAAGUUAAGACUUAAAGCUCGACCACAGCAGAAAAGAGAGAAAGGACGAAGGCAGUCCCCUAUGCUUCAGACGUAGGCUCUAUAGUAUGCUAUGCUGUGUACCGCACCGGAAGUGUGCCUUGCCAUGAGUCAGUCAAGGGGUACAAGAAUGAUCCAGGAAUGGAUCAUUGGACAGCGGUCAAAAUUAUCCUUAGAGGAAUAAGGAUAUGUUUCUCGAUUAUGGAGGUGAUAAAGAGUUCGACGUAAAGGGUUACGUCGAUGCAAGCUUUAACACCUAUCUGAAUGACUCUGAGUAGCAAACCGGAUACAUAUAGUGGAACAACCAUUUGGAAUAACUCCAAGUGGAGCGUGGAAGCAGCAUUUACAAUAUGACCUAGAGAUUUGCGAAGUGCACACGGAUCUGAAUGUUGCAGACCCGUUGACUAAAACCUCUCUCACAAGCAGAACAUGAUCAAACCCCAGAACUCAUUGAGUCUUAAUCACAUGAUGAUGUGAACUAGUUUAGUGACACUAGUAAACUCUUUGGAUGUUGGUCACAUGGUGAUGUGACCUGUGAGUGUUAAUCACAUGGCGAUGUGAACUAGAUUAUUGACUCUAGUGCAAGUGGGAGACUGUUGGAAAUAUGCCCUAGAGGCAAAAAUAAAUUAGUUAUUAUUAUAUUUCCUUGUUCAUGAUAAUCGUUUAUUAACCAUGCUAUAAUUGUAUUGAUAGGAAACUCAGAUACAUGUGUGGGUACAUAGACAACACCAUAUCCCUAGUAAGCCUCUAGCUGACUAGCUCGUUGAUCAAUAGUUGGUUACAGUUUCCUGACCAUGGACAUUGGAUGUCAUUGAUAACGGGAUCACAUCAUUAGGAGAAUGAUAUGAUGGACAAGACCCAAUCCUAAGCCUAGCACAAAGAUCGUGUAGUUCGUAUGCUAAAGCUUUUCUAAUGUCAAGUAUCAUUUCCUUAGACCAUGAGAUUGUGCAACUCCCGGAUACCGUAGGAAUGCUUUGGGUGUACCAAACGUCACAACGUAACUGGGUGGUUAUAAAGGUGCACUACAGGUAUCUCCGAAAGUGUCUGUUGGGUUGGCACGAAUCGAGACUGGGAUUUGUCACUCCGUGUAAACGGAGAGGUAUCUCUGGGCCCACUCGGUAGGACAUCAUCAUAAUGUGCACAAUGUGACCAAGGGGUUGAUCAUGGGAUGAUGUGUUACAGAACGAGUAAAGAGACUUGCCGGUAACGAGAUUGAACAAGGUAUCGGUAUACCGACGAUCGAAUCUCGGGCAAGUAUAAUACCGCUAGACAAAGGGAAUUGUAUACGGGAUCGAUUGAGUCCUUGACAUCGUGGUUCAUCCGAUGAGAUCAUCGUGGAACAUGUGGGAGCCAACAUGCGUAUCCAGAUCCCGCAGUUGGUUAUUGACCGGAGAACGUCUCGGUCAUGUCUGCAUGGUUCCCGAACCCGUAGGGUCUACACACUUAAGGUUCGAUGACGCUAGGGUUAUAAAGGAAGUUUGUAUGUGGUUACCGAAUGUUGUUCGGAGUCUCGGAUGAGAUCCCGGACGUCACGAGGAGUUCCGGAAUGGUCCGGAGGUAAAGAUUUAUAUAUGGAAAGUUGUUGUUCGGGUUCCGGAAAAAGUUCGGGUUUUUUCGGUAUUGUACCGGGAAGCUUCCAGAAGGUUCCGGAGGAUUCCGGAGGGGUCCGGAGGUCCGGAAACUGUUCCACCACGUCCAAUACAGCAGCAUGGGCUGUAAGGGGGCGCCCUAGCCUUAAUGGGCCAGGGGCACCAGCCCCCCCAGGGCCCAUGCGCAUGGGAGGGGGGAAACCCUAAGGGGGAGGGCCUCCACUUGACUUGGGAGGCACUCCUCCCCCCCUUGGCCGCACCCCUUCCUUGGAGGAAGGGGCAAGGCUGCGCCUCCCCCCUCUCCCUUGCCCCUAUAUAUAGUGGAGGGGAGGGAGGGCAGCCAUACCUGAAGCCCUGGCGCCUCCCUCCCUCCCAUGACACCUCCUCCUCUCCCGCAGGUGCUUGGCGAAGCCCUGCAGGAUUGCCACGCUCCUCCACCACCACCACGCCGUCGUGCUGCUGCUGGAUGGAGUCUUCCUCAACCUCUCUCUCUCUCCUUGCUGGAUCAAGGCGUGGGAGACGUCACCGGGCUUUAUGUGUGUUGAAUGCGGAGGUGCCGUCCGUUCGGCACUAGGAUCUCCGGUGAUUUGGAUCACGACGAGUACGACUCCUUCAACCCCGUUCUCUUGAACGCUUCCGCUUAACGAUCUACAAGGGUAUGUAGAUGCACUCUCCUUCCCCUCGUUGCUGGUUUCUCCAUAGAUAGAUCUUGGUGACACGUAGGAAAAUUUUGAAUUUCUGCUACGUUCCCCAACACAGCAUGCCUCGCCACAUCGUAUACUUACCCUAUACUGUCGGCUGGUUUGCGUAGACGGGAAAAUUUCAGGUGAUACCGAAACUUAGGUGAUACCUUGAUACAGACUUCUCGACAGUUGGAUCUCAGAUUCGACGGGCAUUUAAAGAGCUAUUGUACCUGCGCAUAAUUUUGAGAUUCUCUGAUGGCUUUUCUGCAAAAUGUUCAGUAGCUUACCCCUGGUUCGGCAUGGGUGACACAGACUGCUACGGAAUGCUACACGACGUCGGCGAUUUACGUACCGAAUGAGGGCGUUUAAUAACAGCACCCAAAACCCCCUGCGUAUAUCUAAUACUCUCUUCGUCCCAUAAUAUAAAAAGAGUUUUUGGCACUACACUAGUGUAAAAACGUUGUUAUAUUAUAGGACAAAGGGAGUAUAUAACUAAACAUAGCGCAUCUUCUUCUUCCACGCCGGAGUCCUUCCCAUGGCAAGGGAUCCGCCGUGACUAGCUUCAUCCCGUGCCGGUGCUACCGCUUCAGCCACAGCUCACAGGUUAUGGUUUCCUCGGCGCGGCAAGACGACACGCCUGCUUUUUGGGCUCGCGAGCAAGGCAAUAUGGUUCAAAUCCUGGUGCUCACAUUUAUUCCUGAAUUUAUUUCAGGAUUUCCGGCGAUAAGCAUUCAGUGGGAGGAGACGUUCCCGUCGACGACAAGGUUCCUACGAUGACAUCGUAAUUCUUUUUAAAAGAUCCAGCAUCGCUGGCAUUUCAUUGAUAAUAGCAAGAAGCAGCGGAAAAACAACAGGGUGGUGAAGGUCCUAGGACCAGAUCCGAAGAUCAAAGAAAGAGAAAAGAAAAAACAACAACCCUAAAAGCUGCAGCCCAACACUUCAUACAAUCCAUACUAAGGCAGCGCAGCUCCGACUCCGAUGGUGAACUACUAAGAAGACUGGGCAGGGAUGGCAUCACAGAGGAUCACCAAACGAGCCAUCUGUCACAUGUCAUCGUAUACCACCGGCCCCCCACCGCGGCUUCGACUUCACAGCAACAGGCAGUCGAGGCACACCCACGGACACGCCGGAGAAGAAGAGCCGACUACCACGACUAAGGCCACGCUUCCGACAUUGCUCAUCGCCGGCAUCGUUGCCACAGAAACCACCGUGCACGUCCAAUUGUAGGAAGCACCAAAAGGAUCAAAGUCUUCAAGACGGUGCCCUAAAGAGGAGAACGACAUUGAAGACGACGCCACCGCCUGACCCUGUAGCAGGAUCUGGGUUUUCACCCGAAGGACUUGAUCCGGGAGAUCUGGCUGUGAUAUUCCUGACGGCGCCCCCAAGGAGGAUAGCGACGCCCACAGGCGCCGUCGCCGCCGACCGGCCAGAACAGGCCAGGCUUUCACCCGGGGCAGCCACUCCCAUGCAACAGGCCGAGGACGACCCAUGCCUCCAUUGAACCGCGCACCCCCACACAGCAAGUGUGCCACCGCUGUGCAGGGCCACCACCAAUCCUCCUCGACGACGGGCCUGCAGAGACCAGAUCAGGUCCUGCACCCCGCAUCCGACCACGGCUGGAGCCUGUCUGCUCCAGCACCGCCUACCGCCACAUGUAGCCACCCUUCCAUGCAGCCUCGGGACCCCUGCUGGCUGCACAUCUCAUAGGAGACUAGAUCCGCGCUGCCCAAGCCCCUCGCACGCCAGGCCCCUUGCACGCGGGGGACCAGAACCGCCCCGCGAGAUCCAGGACAGGAAGCACCGGCGCUGCCCCCACUCGCCAUUUUGCGUGCCGAGCCACACACCACGCACCUCGUGAUGUGCGGACCCAAACCUCCACCGCGUGCCGGCUACCUCCGCGCCUGCUGGCCACGCACCGUCCACCGCCGCAGGCCCCGUCAUGCCGCUCGUGCCAGCUCCACGCCUGAUGACCCGCGAUCGCGCGCCCCGGGAGCCCGUGCUAGAUCGCCUCUGUGCUCCCUGUAGGAUCCAAAGUAUGUCUAGAGGGGGGUGAUUAGACUACUUGACCAAAUAAAAAUCUAGCCUUUUCCCAAUUUUAAUUCUUGGCAGAUUUUAGCAACUUAGCACAAGUCAAGCAAUCAACCUACACAUGCAAUUCUAAGAGUAUAGCAGCGGAAUGUAAAUCAUUGCAUAUGAAGGUAAAUGGGAGGAGUUUGGAGGGAGCAAACUCAAUGUUGACACGGAGAUUUUUGGCGUGGUUCCGAUAGGUGGUGCUAUCGUACAUCCACGUUGAUGAAGACUUCAACUCACGAAGGGUAACGGCUGCGCGAGUCCAUGGAGGGCUCCACCCACUAAGGGUCCACGAAGAAGCAACCUUGUCUAUCCCACCAUGGCCAUCGCCCAUGAAGGACUUGCCUCACUAGGGUAUAUCUUCACGAAGUAGGCAAUUUCCUUGCCCUUACAAACUCAUUGGUUCAACUCCACAAUCUUGACGGAGGCUCCCAAGUGACACCUAACCAAUUAGGAGACACCACUCUCCAAAAGGUAAUAGAUGGUGUGUUGUUGAUGAACUCCUUGCUCUUGUACUUCAAAUGAUAGUCUCCGCAACACUCAACUCUCUCUGAUAGGAUUGGAUUUGGUGGAAAGAUGAUUUGAGUGGAAAGCAACUUGGGCAAGGCUAGAGAUCAAGAUUCAUAUGGUUGGAUUGGAAUAUCUUGGCCUCAACACAUGAGUAGGUGGUUCUCUCUCAAAAAAUGGAUGCUAGAAGUGUAGGCAUGUUCUGAUGGCUUUUCUCACGAAUGAGGAGAGGGUGGAGGGGUAUAUAUAUAGCCUCCACACAAAAUCUAACAGUUACACACAAUUUACCAAACUCGGUGGGACCAAAUCAUAAAACUCAGUCAGACCGAUUUAGUUCAUAAUGUGACCGUUAGGCAUUUCGGUGGGACCGACACGUCAACUCGGUGGGACCAAUUUUGUUAGAGUUAGGGCAUAACGUAAUCUCGGUUGGACCGAUUACACAAACUCGGUGGGACGCUAACCAGAGAGUUGGUUAGGCAAACUCGGUGGGACCGUUUCGCUCAUCUCGGUGGGUCCGAAACGUUACGAAAGGGAAAGCAGGGAGUUUGCAUUGCGAACUCGAUGGAACCGAUCGCUCAUCUCGGUUAGACCGAAACGUUACGAAGGGAAAUAGAGAGUUUGCAAUCCCAUCUCGGUGAGACUGAGAUCCCUAUUGGUGAGACCGAAGUGAUUAGGGUUUCUGGCAGUGGCUAUGUGAUGUCUACUACGCAACCUUCUUCUUGUAGACGUUGUUGGGCCUCCAAGUGUAGAGGUUUGUAGGACAGUAGCAAAUAUCCCUCAAGUGGAUGACCUAAGGUUUAUCAAUCCGUGGGAGGUUUAGGAUGAAGAUGGUCUCUCUCAAACAUACCUGCAAACCAAAUAACAAAGAGUCUCUUGUGUCCCCAACACACCCAAUACAAUGGUAAAUUGUAUAGGUGCACUAGUUCGGCGAAGAGAUGGUGAUACAAGUGCAAUAUGGAUGGUAGAUAUGGGUUUUUGUAAUCUGAAAAUAUAAAAACAGCAAGGUAAAUAAUGAUAAAAGUGAGCGUAAACGGUAUUGCAAUGCUAGGAAACAAGGCCUAGGGUUCAUACUUUCACUAGUGCAAGUUCUCUCAACAAUAAUAACAUAAUUGGAACAUAUAACAACCCCUUAACAUGCAACAAAGAGUCACUCCAAAGUCACUAAUAGCGGAGAACAAAUGAAGAAAUUAUUGUAGGGUACGAAACCACCUCAAGGUUAUUCUUUCUGAUCAAUCUAUUCAAGAGUCCGUAGUAAAAUAACACAAAGCUAUUCUUUCCGUUCGAGCUAUCUUAGAGUUCGUACUAGAAUAACACCUUAAGACACAAAUCAACCAAAACCCUAAUGUCACCUAGAUACUCCAAUGUCACCUCAAGUAUCCGUGGGUAUGAUUAUACGAUAUGCAUCACACAAUCUCAGAUUCAUCUAUUCAACCAACACAAAGAACUUCAAAGAGUGCCCUAAAGUAUCUACCGGAGAGUCAAGACGAAAACGUGUGCCAACCCCUAUGCAUAAGUUCACAAGGUCACCGAACCUGCAAGUUGAUCACCAAAACAUACAUCAAGUAGAUCACGUGAUAUCCCAUUGUCACCACAGAUAACUUCAAAGGAAAACUCAAUCCAUUACAAGAGAGUAGAGGGGGAGAAACAUCAUAAGAUCCAACUAUAAUAACAAAGCUCGCGAUACAUCAAGAUCGUGCCAAAUCAAGAACACGAGAGAGAGAGAGAGAUAUCAAACACAUAGCUGUUGGUACAUACCCUCAGUCCCGAGGGUGAACUACUCCCUCCUCGUCAUGGAGAGCGUCAGGAUGAUGAAGAUGGCCACCGGUGAGGGAUCCCCCCUCCGGCAGGGUGCCGGAACAGGGUCCCAAUUGGUUUUUGGUGGUUAUAUAGGCUUGCGGCGGCGGAACUCCCAAUCUAUUGUGCUCCUCGAUGUUUUCGGGGUAUAUGGAUAUAUAUAGGUGAAAGAAGUCGAUCAGGGGAGCCACGAGGGGGCCACGAGGGUGGGGGCGUGCCCUGGACCCUCGUGGCCUCCUGGAAGCUUCCCUGACGUCUAGUCCAAGUCUCCUGGAUUGCGUUCGUUCCAAAAAUAACUUUCCCGAAGGUUUCAUUCCAUUUGGACUCCGUUUGAUAUUCUUUUUCUUCGAAACACUAAAAUAGGCAAGAAAACAACAAUUUGGGUUGGGCCUCCGGUUAAUAGGUUAGUCCCAAAAAUAAUAUAAAAGUGUAUAAUAAAGCCCAUAAAUAUCCAAAACAGAUAAUAUAAUAGCAUGGAACAAUAAAAAAUUAUAGAUACGUUGGAGACGUAUCACUAUGUCAAAUGAACUCGGUGGCGCCGAAUAGAUCAAAUCGGUGGGGCCGAGUUUGAUUUUUAUUUUGGGACAUAUCUGGAUAUGAGAAAGUGAUUGAGGGUUGUUGGAGCAUAUCGCUAAGCAUUUUGAUCAAGCAAGCCAUUAAGCAACACCUCAUCCCUUUUUGGCUUUCCUAUGGACUCAAUGUGAUCUUGGAUCACUAAAAGUAAAAUGUAGAGUCUUGAGCUUUAGAGCUUGAGCCAAUCCUUUGUCCUUAGCAUUUUGAGGGAUCCACAAUCCUAAUCCAUGCCAUGCCAAUUAUUGAACUUUUCUGAAAUAUUCAUCUUGAAAUAGCAUUAGUUCAAUGAGCUAUAUGUUGUUAAUCAUUACCAAAACCACCCAUAGAUAGUUGCACUUUCAAUCUCCCCCUUUUUGGUAAUUGAUGACAAUAUAUAGAUCAAAGUUUUGACAAAUGAUAAUAAGACUAGUGGCUGGGGCGCCACCUGGUGGCGCCUCAAGGCGCCUCUUGAGGCGGGAUUGUAAAACUAUCUCUAGUGAGCUUCAUUUCUAGAACACAAAGCGCCUUAAAGAAUGGCAUCCAUGCUCAUACUAUGAUUUAUUUGGAUAUAAUUGGGCCUUUACAUCAAACUCAUAACAACAGGAACUGCAGUGGAUGUUUGAGAGUUCAAUUAUAGCACCUUCCAAUAAAAUGAAAUUUUCACCCUAUAACAUUGCAUACAUGCGAAUUGGAGAAAACUAAAUUGAUAUCAUUAAAUGGAGAAUGUACAAGGCAAGGGGCAGAAAACAAACAAAAGAGACGCCCAGUAGUAAAAUGCUAAGAAAACCUAUCAACUUUGUAGCAUUACACUUUUCAACUAAUAUGCACAAAUUUGAUGUAAUCACAUAACCAAACUGGAAUACAGUUCAAUCUUCAACCAUAAAUUGACGUCUAACAAGAAACCGUCCAACAAAUACUCCCCGAGUGAUGUGAGUCUACCUUGCAGUCUCCAGCCAUGGUGGCGUCCAAAGCAACGGCCAGAUGCCGGCUCCCUUAGAGAAUGACGAGAUGAUCCUUUUGUUGGCUGUAAAAUAAUUCACAACACAAUUAUAGAAAUAUGUCACUCAUGCCAAGAGAUAAAUUUCGUAUCUUACCUCGUAGUUGUCACAGGAUGAUACACUCAGAAGGAUUUUAGUCUCCAAUGAAGUUUCUUUUCUUCAAAUGUCGAACCUUUGACCAAUUUGCCAGAAAGAUUUUGAUAAGCUUGCCAAAUGCAUGUAAAUAUAAUUUAGAACAUCAUUUCAUAGCUAGUACUCCCUCCGUUUCUAAAUAUAAGUCUUUGUAAAAAUUACACUAUGAACCACGUACGGAUGUAUAUAGAUGCAUUUCAAGUGUAGAUUCAUUCAUUUUGUUCCGUAUGUAGUCCACCUAGUGAAAUCCCUACAAAGACUUAUAUUUAGGAAUGGAGGGAGUACAACUUAAAUUUGGAGCUUUUCAUGUACUGUUUUUUUUUCAUCAACCAACCAAAGGCCAUCACACAAAUAACUGAGCCCUUUCCUUACAGACUUAGGAAGCACAUGUAAAUAGAAAUCAUGUGUGCUAUUAAUCUCACAAGAAAGUUGAGUGCAACAGCCAAUUGUUUCUCUAGAUGCAUGACCUAAAACCAUGAAUCAAAUUUUACAAGCAAUCUCAUCAACACACAGGAUGCUGCAGCCACAAGCCGGACGAAAAACAUCACGAAGCAAUCCCCAUUACCAAAAGCCUGCUCUUAUCGCUCCAUGUCAAACGAACCAGCCAAGCAAAUCCCAAGCAUACAAUUUGAGCGAACUCCCAAAGAUAAUGGAAGGAACAAAGGGGCGGGCGAGUGUCAUCUAUACCAAAAUUCAGAGAAUCAAAUAGGACAUGUGAUUCUUUUCAACUGAAUAAAGAGUAGAGUAUAAUAUAUAGUUAUUAUGCCUUCUCUAUUAGUAUGAAAGGACCUUCAGUAAAAUGGCAAUAAGAAUUAAGCCCAUCAACCAGGUAUCUAUUCAUGUCAGAUGAAGGAAAGUAAGUGCUCGGGAAGAAGGUAUUAAUCUUGAUUUGGCUGUACCAUUAUUUUAUAGAUGUGCCUGGUCCAUGGCGUGUACAGGCGGAUCCUUAAAUAAUCGGCGAGAGCCCCUCAACUAAAAAAAGGAUUAAUCUUGCUGAAAACCCUUAGAUAAUAAUAAAAAGGAACAAAGGGGCAGGUGAGUGUUAUCUAUAGAAUUCAGAGAAUCAAAUAGGAGAUGAUUCUUUUCAACAGAGUAAAAAGUAGACUAUAUAAUAUAGUCCCUCCGUCCCAUAAUAUAAGAGCAUUUUUGACACUACACUAGUGUCAAAAACACUCUUCUAUUGUGGGACGGAGGGAGUGCUUAUUAUGCAUUCUCUAUAAGAAUCCUCCACUUAUCUCAUGUAUGUACAAAUACAAAAUUUAGAUCGGGGAUAGAGAAGAAAAUAAGAUAUCGAAGUAUACCUUUAAUCAAAUGCUUUAAGGAGCUUCUGGACCGGCAGUUGCCGUCACCCAACUCGGUGACCAUGGUGGCGGAGCCCUUGAGCGUGAUCACAUCCUUGGACAUCGUCCUCGACGCCGUCUCUCAUUGGCAUCGUGCUCACCAUGGGAACCCGUCAACAUGCCUCUGCCGCACGUGGAGAUUGUCAAGGCGACGCCGAUGAAAAGGCCGCCACAAUGAUCCCACCCCAAGAAUAGCUAAUGGCUUCUAAUAGCAAAAUGGUAACAGCUAGUUAGAAAAUGAAAUAUUGAUUAACAACACAACAUGGAGCACAGAAAUAGAGGUGUCAGUACAAGAAUGCCCUUCAGAACUUACCUGGGUGAACUGGAAAAUGUUGCCCAUAAACAGAAGCACAUAUUGCCCUUUGGCUGUCCUUUGGCUGUCCUUUGCCGUCGUAGAAGUGUGGAUGGGUUGGAGCCGCCGGUACACCUGUGGAUGGGUUGGAGAUGAAGUUGGUGACAAGAACUACCAGCUAUCUUGACGAGGAUGCGCAGCUGGGAUCUGAGCGACCACCACGAGCACACUCGUUGGGGUCGCGUCUGCCGAUGGCUGCUCCCUCGCAGCCGCACCCCCUCCAUACAAAAUCCCUCCAGUCAUCUACAGCGCACCAGCACCACCGCCCCGCCAUGCGCCCCCGCCGAAGACGCCGCCCCCGUCCCUCUUCCUGUUCACCCACCAACUCCUCACUGUCGUCUUCGUGCUCGUUCUCGGCCUCCUCGGCCCCAACCCGUCCCCCGACGCCCGCAAGCGCAGGCGGAGCGACCGCGAGGGCCUUCCUUCUCACCCACCAACUCUCACUAUUGUCUCCGUGCUCGUCCUAGACCUCUACCCCGACACCCGCAAGCGCAGGCGAAGCGACCAGGAGGGUGACGGCGACGCCGCUGAAGGCGGGCCCGUGACCCUGUCCGUGGCCUCUCACGCUCGUUUUUCCCCUCCCGGUGGCUCCCCAGAUCUGGCGAUGUUGAGAAAAACGAGCAGAAGUGGCAGCGGCUGCGAUGGCGAGCUGCAGGAGAGGAGGUCGCGUGCGUGGGGAAGGGUGCGAGAGGCGGCUAAAUUUCGUGUUUUGAACCUUUUUGGAAAGUAUUUCAGGAUCUGACCCCUGUUUGAAUUUUUUUCGAGAUUUGACCCUUUUGCCUACCGCCAGGGCCUCUGGCGGUAGGGUUAGAUAGCCUACCGCCACGGCCCAUGGCGGUAGGAAACUUAUCCACGUCAGCGCGCGGAGACGGCGCCAUCCCCCUCCGUCGCACCCUACCGCCAGGGGCCCUGGCGGUAGACUGUCUAACCAUACCGCCAGGGCCCCUGGCGGUAGGGUCCGGGCAGUUAUUUGCCCCGGAGCCCCCGCGCCCCUUCCCUUCUCCCCACCCCUCCCCCUCCCCCCGUCGGCAGUUCUUGUUUUUCUCNNNNNNNNNNNNNNNNNNNNNNNNNNNNNNNNNNNNNNNNNNNNNNNNNNNNNNNNNNNNNNNNNNNNNNNNNNNNNNNNNNNNNNNNNNNNNNNNNNNNNNNNNNNNNNNNNNNNNNNNNNNNNNNNNNNNNNNNNNNNNNNNNNNNNNNNNNNNNNNNNNNNNNNNNNNNNNNNNNNNNNNNNNNNNNNNNNNNNNNNNNNNNNNNNNNNNNNNNNNNNNNNNNNNNNNNNNNNNNNNNNNNNNNNNNNNNNNNNNNNNNNNNNNNNNNNNNNNNNNNNNNNNNNNNNNNNNNNNNNNNNNNNNNNNNNNNNNNNNNNNNNNNNNNNNNNNNNNNNNNNNNNNNNNNNNNNNNNNNNNNNNNNNNNNNNNNNNNNNNNNNNNNNNNNNNNNNNNNNNNNNNNNNNNNNNNNNNNCCAAGUCGCCCCUCUCUCCCUCUCUCAUCUCCUCCACUCCCCCUUGGAUCUUCACCGAUUCUUCACCAUUUUGGCGGAUCGAGAUGGCCCCGAGGAGAGAACCGUAAGCUCCUCCGAUCCCUCCAAUUAGUUUUUGCAAACUUGCUACCGAUUCAACGCAUUAUUUGCUUGAAAUUCCUCAUGUUUUUGAACUAAGAUUGAUUUUUUUUCACCUAAGAUUGAUUGUAGUUGUAGUUCUUAGUUCUUUAGUAAGUAGUGGUAUUGGAUAUGUACUCUAAUCAAUAGUUCAUAUGUUAGUGUGAAGAUGAACCCUAGUUCAUAAUUUUUUUUGUUAAAAAAAUUAUGAUGUAAUGUUGAUAAAGGGAUGAACCCUAGUUUGAUGAUGCAUGUGAUAUGAUGAUAUGAUCUAGUGUGAAGAUGAACCCUAGUUUGAUGAUGCAUGUUGAUAUGAUGAUAUGAAGAUGUUGUUUGGAAAAUUUUGUUUAAAAAUAUGAAGCUAUGAUGUAUGUUGGAGGGUUUUUUUGAUAUGAUGCAUGUUGAUAUGAUUUGAUCCAUCAUGUGUAGUAGAUGUUGUUGGAGGAAUAUGCUUAAAAUUUUAUCUUGAUAUGAUUUGAGUUCAUUGUUUGUUUAUGUAUGCUUAUGCUUAUGGUGCUUUUGUUUAUGAAACUCUAUUAAGGCGGCCACCUCUUGCGGACAACAUCGGCCCACGGUACUGCAUGCUGGACUGGGCAUUCGACAAGGGUCAUCAUGCCCGUUUCAUAGAGAACGGAGAGGUAAGUGAUAUGAAAGAAAUUUUGAUCAAAGUUCUCGGAUUGAUGAAAAUGAUUUCCUAACUUUUUGGCGUUCACUUUUUGAUCGUGCCCGUACCUCCAAGAGGGGAAGGAGCAACUGAUUAUGCUCUUCGAUAGUUGGCUCUUUUAGUUUGGUUGAACUUCGUUUGAUUGAACUUUUCUAGUGGUUAUGAAGCUACGUGGAACUAUGUGUUUGCUAUUUGUGGAUCUAUGUGUUUGCUAUUUGUGAAACUAUGUGAAACUCCGUUUACUAAUUAGUUGAAGUUCGUUUGAAAUGUUCUAUGCACUUCAAAUUUGUUAAUAUGUAUGUGAUGCCCAAGUUUAAUUGUUUGAGAUCUGUGAUAUUGUUGUCAUAUUUGUGAAACUUGCUAUAAUAUUAUUGUCAUAUUGAAUUUGAAAAGAAGCAAGCAAUUGAACUUAAAUUCAUAAAACACAGGACCCUACCGCCAAGGACCCUGGCGGUAGGGUCAGACAGCCUACCGCCAGGGCACUUCAAUUCUUCAUUACAGAAUCAUUACACUGAAAAAACAAGACCCUACCGCCAUGGGCUCUGGCGGUAGGGUCGCACAGCCUACCGCCAGGGCCCUUCAAUUCUUCGUUACAGAAACAUUACACUGAAACAGGACCCUACCGCCAUGGGCUCUGGCGGUAGGGUCGCACAGCUAGCCCUGGCGGUAGGUGCUUAACCACGUUCAGCGCAGUCAAACGACCGCCGUCCCCCUCCGUAGGCCCUGGCGGUACCAAAAGGGUCAAAUCUUGAAAAAAAUUCAAACAGGGGUCAGAUCCUGAAAUACUAUCCAAAAAGGGUCAAAACACGAAAUUCAGCCGCGAGAGGCAACGAGAGCGAUUUUUUUGUCUCUAUCUUUUCUACCCAGCCAAUCGCUAACACGUUAUUUUUUUUCCUGUGAUGACGUGGACAACAGGAGGAGGCGCCCUUACCGCGACUAUUAAUGGGUUUUCCUAUGAUGAUGUGGACAGCAGGAGGAGACGCCCUUACCGCGACUGUUAAUGUGUUUAAUUGAAAUACAUCGUCGCUUUGAGAAGUAUGUGAUAAGCAAGAGCUCCCCCUAAAUUUGUGCAUUAUUUAAGUUUUUCUUUUGAAUGCAAGUGCACAAUAGAUUAGUAUCAUGGGUUACUCUUCCAUGUCACAUACAUCUUGGUGGAGUGCUCAAAAUGAUAUCAAUUAAAAGCAUGCACUCAUCACCAAGCAAAGUGAAUGAUCAUAUAGGGAUAUAAGAGAUAGUAUCAUUCAAGCACACAUUAAAGUAGCAUAUGAUCAAAGACAUGAUCAUCCAAGUAUCUCACACAAGGACAUAAUGUAUCAAGCAAACACACAAUAAAGUUCAAUCAAAUAAAGUGCAAGAGAGACAAAAAGCAACACUCUCUCUCUCGAAGACUAUGAUCUAUACAUAUUUUUCCCCUUUGGCAACAAGUUACCAAAAAGUUCAAAUAUGCAUAGUGCUAUGCAUCUCUCAGGCUUGGUCUCCAUGAGGUGAUGUAGUGAUGACUCCAAGGAGAAGGCUUCUGUCGAUGUAGCUGGAGCUGGUGAAGUGGCUGCUAGAGGUGGCACUGAAGUUGUGGCUGCUGGUGCAGAUGUAGUAGCUUGUGUAUCUGGAACUGGCACUGCAGCUGACCUCUGACCUCUUGGCACAUACUGAAAAGCUUCUGUAGUUGCCUUGCCUUUCUUCUCCUCUGCUUCCUCCUAGAGCUGUUCAACUACUGUCUGUAUCUCAGUGACAUUCAGAUCAAGAUCAUAGAAUUUUUGUUCAAUGAUCCUCUCCAAACUCUCAUGAUUCUGAGUCAAGGUGGCCAAGCCCUUCUCAAUCCUCAAGGUUGAUUGGAUCAGAAAUCCAAGUUGGUCUUGUUUGCUCUUCAAGAACACCUAAGAUACCUCUUCAGCACUUGGCAUCUUUGCAGCUUUCUCUGUCCUUGCCUUUGCUCUCUUCUCAUGUGCUUGCACUGAUGAAGGGUCAUUCUCAUCUAUCACAACUGUGUUGUCUUCAAAUUCUGGCUUGAGAGGUAAGUGCUCCUUGUCCAACAAGUAAGUGCGUGUGGCCAUCUUUGAGUUGAUGUGCACCUGAAUUUGUGGAGCAUACCCACAAGACCUUUUCUGAUCAGCAGCUGUCCUCUUGAUUGUCUCUACAAUCAAACUCAUGACCUUGAAUUUUUGAGGGACAUAAAAAAUGUGCAGCAAGUUGAUUGAAUGUCCUCUCAUCAUCCUAUGAUCUCCAGACUUGGGCAAAAUAGUAUGCCUUAGGAUGGUGUUGAUAGUAGGAAGACCAGACAACAGAUACUUCACAGAGCUCAACUUAUGAGUUUCCAGGGCUUUGUUGAAGCAGCAGUGCCAUACUCCUUCAUCACUUUCUUCUUUGAGGUGGCCUCAUCCUAACUGCAACAUAAUCCUCAUCUUUGGAGUCUGAGGUUCUCUUCUUCCUUGCUGUAGUGGAUGCCUUGGGCAGGUUACUUGGUGUGCUCCUGCUGCCCUCAUCAUAGCUGCUUGAGGUACUAGUGCCCUCACUCAUUUGCACUUGCUCUUCAGACUUACUCUAGCUAUCACUUUGGUCAGACAUCUUGGCAGGCAAACUGACAGCAAACCCUGUGAAUAGAUUAUAGAUGAGGUAGAGUAGAGGAGCAUCACAAAGUGCAGAGAUUUUGCAAAACAAAUGAGACAAAACUUAGUUUUAGUUCUCAACUGAAAUGAUAUUGGAGCUACCGAAUUGAUAAACUCGGUGAUACCGAAGCAACAUUUGGAACCUAAACUAGUGAACUCGGUCAGACCGAGUCACAGUUCGGUGGCACCGAGAUUGCUAGGGUUUCACAGAGAUUGAACACGGUCACACCAAUUUGCAGUUUUCGGUCAGAACAAAAAGCGCAUGUGCAAUGGCCUAAGCCAAAUCGGUCAGGCCGAUUUCUACGAUUCAGUCGGUCCGAGAUGAGUUCUGCGGAGAGCUAACCCUAAAUUUUUUGAAUCAAACUAAGCCUAAGGAAGUUUUCGCUGGAUAGAUUCAUUUCAUUUGUGCCAAGAAUCAUGGCAUUGUCCUCGUGCUUAGAAUCAGAGGAGAAUAGAGAGCACAAGGGGUCGAACACAUACCCUAGUUUGGCGGGUGUUCGCUACGGCGGCGAUGGCGGAGCAGAUUCCGUCGACGGCGGCAGAAACCACUGGCGGGAGGUCGCUGGCGGCGAGGCGUUGAUCCGGAGACCCGAGGAGGCACAGCAGGACACGCGCGGGCUGAGGGGUUUUGAAGAAAUUUCCAAAAUCUCACCCGUGGGUAUAAAUAUAUGUGACGCCCGAAUAAUUAAGCUACAGUUAACCUCUGCUAAUGAUGUCGGGUCACCUCAAUUACUGUUGCUAAUCUCGCAUUAGUUCGAAACCGGUUCGAAUUCAAAUUCAAGCAAACAAUAAAAGAUUUCAAAUAUCAUAACUAAAAUGUUCGAAGAGAGCCAAAUAAUGCAUAGGUAAUUAUAGUGGAGAAACCACAAUUUUAUAAAAAGUUUAAAUACUCUAAGAGGAAUAAAACUAUAGCAAAACUGUUAUUUAAAUACUUUUAAAUAAUAAAUAAUUAUGAAACUAUUUUAAUUAGGUGCCAAAGUUAUUGUGGCGGAGGUAUAUUCAAUAAUGCAAAUUUGUGUGUUAAUUAUAUAUUUUACAAACAAAAAUAACUUGGGAAAUAAGAUAAAAAUAGUAAAAGAAAAAUAAACUAAAUCAAGAAAAAAAAGGACGCCCCCACUAGGCUAUAGCCCAGCUGGCCCCUGGCCAACCAGGUCGGCCCAACCAGAGCCUCCCUUAUUCCCCCACACACCCCGAACCCUAACCCACUCGCUCUCACUCCCCCCACACGUCGUCACUCCCCCUCCCUGCCCCGAGUGGAUCUGGAUCGGGGCAACCGCGCCACCGACCCACCGCGCCUUCGUCCUCCUCCGUGAAGCCAUCCCGCUAUUGCCGUUCAUCGGAGGAGCCUCGCCGGAGAUCCUCCGCCUCGACUUCCCCGACUCCUCCUCGACCCUGUCGUUGCCGACGCCGUCGACGCACGCCGCCGCGCCCCUGCACCUCGUCACCACGUCGCCUCGUCUCCGACUUCCUUCUCGACCCCCACUACCCCGUGCCCUGCAACCCCUCGUGAGCCUCACUCCUCCUCUGCCACGAUAACGGCUGCGGCCUCGUUCCACGCACGCGCGCGCCCGUGCUGUCCUGCACGCCCAUUGCCGCCCUGUGCCGCGCAUCACGCGCCCCUAUCAUGCUACUCCUCCUCCUGCCGCCCGCACGUUCGCACCCCUGGCCACGCCCUACACGUGCCCUGCUCCUCUCACCCGUGCCCCGCUCGUUUCCCCGCCUUCGCCGCCUGCUGCUGCGUGCUGCUGUCGCCGUCCGGCUGCGGGCGCCGCUCGACGCGCACACGCAGCCGCCCGCUCACCGGCCCGACCAUGCUGCCGCUUCUCGCUUCGCCUUUGGCUCCUGCCGUUGCGGUGCCCUGGCCACCGGCCCGCGCCACUCCUCACCCCGCCACUCCCUGACCGCGCUCACCGGCUUGCAGCGCCGCGCUCGUGCAUCCCGCGGCCCCCCUGCUCAUUGUUGCGCCCCCGCGCGCUCAACCGGCCCGGCCCUCCGCUGCCGUGCCGACCAUCCCCGACCGCGCCACCAUGCCGCCUUGGCCGCUGAGGCUGCGGCUGCGGCUGCCGGCUGGUCGAGCCCGCCAAGACCGCCGCCGCCGGGUUCCCCUGGCUCCACCAGCGCCUGUAACCCGCUGGCUGCUCCGCCCUGCUAUGGCCCCUCUCGGCCACUGCCUAACGGGGCCCCACGCCCAGAACAUAAUUAAAAUAAAUAAAUAAAUAUUAGAAUUAAUUAAGUAAAUUAAUUAACUUAAUUAACUCUGUUUAAUUAACCCAAUCAACAUAAUUAAAUUAACUAAUACUAUUUAGUUAACCUAGUCAUCAUGACGUCAUUAAUAGAUAUUCGAUUUAAUUAAUUCUGUUAAUUCUAAAAUUGAAGUAAAAGCUUUAAAAAUUAAUAUAAAAUAAUUUGUAGCUCGAAUGAGAAUACUUUGUACAUGAAAGUUGCUCAGAACGAUGAGACGAAUCAGAAUACGCAGCCCGUUCAUCAGCCACGCAUCCCUAGCAUAGUGAACAUGCAACAAUCCCCCUCUGAUCCGUUUGUCCAAAAGCGCGAAGCACCGGGAAUACUUUCCCGGAUGUUUCCCCCCUUCACCAGUAUCACAUUCUAUCGCGUUAGAGCACACCUAGCAUCACUCAUUGUCAUGUCAUACAUCGUCAUGCUUAUGUUUGCAUUGUAUUUAUUGUUUCUUCCCCCUCUUCUCUCCGGUAGACUAUGAGACCGACACGUUACUGCCCUGUUCAACUACGGAGAUGACGACCCCUCCUUGCCAAAGCAACCAGGCGAGCCCCCCCCCUUGAUCACCAGAUAUCGCCUAUUCUACCCUUUACUGGUUGCAUUAGAUUAGUGUAGCAUGUUACUGUUUCCGUUAAUCCUAUUCUGUUGCAUAUCCUGUCAUUGUUGCUACAUUUGUUGACACCUUACCUGCAAUCCUAAAUGCUUAGUAUAGGAUGCUAGUUUACCAUCUGUGGCCCUACAUUCUUGUCCGUCUGCCUUGCUAUACUAUCGGGCCGUGAUCACUCGUGAGGUGAUCACGGGUAUAUGCUAUACAUACAUACAUGCUAUACAGAUGGUGACUAAAGUCGGGUCGGCUCGUAGAGUACUCGCAAGUGAUUCCGAUGUGGGGGCUGGAAGGACAGGUGGCUCCAUCCCGAUAGAGGUGGGCCUAGGUUCCCGACGGCCCCCUACUGUUACUUUCUGGCGGAGCGAUAGGGUAGGUUGAGACCACAUAGGCAGAGGUGGGCCUAGCCCUGGUCGGUGUCUACGGUUACUUCAAAAUAACAUGCUUAACAAGAUCUUGGUAUUUGAUCUGAGUCUGGCCGCUGGCCUAUACGCACUAACCAACUAUGCGGGAACAAUUAUGGGCACUCGACGUCGUGGUAUCAGCCGAAGCCUUCUAGACGUCAGCGACUGAGCGGCACGCGCCGGAUUGGACUGGAACGCCUGCUCUUGUAUUUGGGAGGCUAUGUCUGCUUCCGGCCGCCCACACAACAUGCAGGUGUGCAAUGGGCGAUGGGCCCAGACCUCUGCGCGCUUAGGAUUUAGACCGACGUGCUGACCUCUUUGUUAGGCCUAGGUGGGGUUGCGACGUGUUGAUAUUCCAAGGCCGGGCAUGACCCAGGAAAGUGUGUCCGGCCAGAGGGAUCGAGCGUGUUGGGUUAUGUGGUGCACCCCUACAGGGAAGUUUAUCUACUCGAAUAGUCGUGUCCCUCGGUAAAAGGACGACCCGGAGUUGUACCUUGACCUUAUGACAACUAGAACCGGAUACUUAAUAAAACACGUCCAGACAAGUUCCAGAGACAACCCGGUGAUCGCUUUUCCAUAGGGCGACGAGGGGAGGAUCGCCAGGUAGGAUUAUGCUAUGCGAUGCUAGUUGGAGGACUUCAAUCUACUCUCUUCUACAUGCUGCAAGACGGAGGCUGCCAGAAGCGUAGUCUUCGAUAAGACUAGCUACCCCCCUCUUAUUCUGGCAUUCUGCAGUUCAGUCCACUUACAUUGCCUCUUUACACAUAUACCCUUGCAUAUGUAGUGUAGAUCCUUGUUUGCUUGUACUCUGGAUGAGUACUCACGGUUGCUUUGCUCCCACUUUUCCCCCUUUUCCUCUUCUUCCCGGAUGUCGCAACCAGACAUUGGAGCCCAGGAGCCAGACGCCACCGUCGAUGACGACUCCUACUACAGUGGAGGUGCCUACUACUACGUGCAGGCCGCUGACGACGACCAGGAGUAGUUUAGGAGGAUCCCAGGCAGGAGGCAUGCGCCUCUUUCGAUUUGUAUUCCAGUUUGUGCUAGCCAUCUUAUGGCAACUUGUCUAACUUAUGUCUGUACUGAGAUAUUGUUGCUUCUACUGACUCGUUUAUGUUCGAGCACUUGUAUUCGAGCCCUCAAGGCCCCUGGCUUGUAAUAUAAUGCUUGCAUGACUUAUUUUACUUUUAGAGUUGUGUUGUGAUAUCUUCCCGUGAGUCCCUGAUCUUGAUCGUACAGAAUUGCGUGUAUGAUUAGUGUAAGAUUGAAUCGGGGGCGUCACAAGUUGGUAUCAGAGCCGACUGCCUGUAGGAAUCCCCCUUUCCAACUCCUUGGAUGAAGUCGAAGUCUAGUCACUACAAAACUUUUACUAACAUGGUUGUGUGUCUUACGGGCCCACGUCGCCAUUGGGUGGUAUUAGGAUCUUUUACUCCUCGACCUUUACUCUGGGACUCUGAUCUCUCCUCUAUUUGGGUUAAAUGAUUUUACUAACACCGACUCUAGGUUCUCGUAACUACUUCCUCCCGGAGAGCCCUUGCUCCAGAUGAUAGCUCAGUGCACCAAAAGAUUUCGAAGGUACUCUACGAGGUUCUCCCGAGACACUUGUGCCCACCGCCCUUAUAAACUCCCUACCACUGAUAUAUCCUUAUGGAUAACUGUAUAAACCUUCCAUUCUUACAUUCAAUCCCAUUGAUCUUGUUAUUACAAGAUGCCCCGAGCUGCUCUCCGUUGCUCCGAGAAUCCUUUGAGCUUACUGCCUUGCAGUUCUUACCACAUGAAUACACCCUAUGGAUAAUUUCUCGCACUUACCGAGUAUCUGAUCAUCUUUAGUUGAUCCAUGUGUCUCACAAAAUUCUUUGGAAUACUUUUCGAUCUUUCGAAAAUACUCUGCAGCCUGUUACUCUUGAAACUCUUGCCUGCUUGCAUUAUGGUGAAUUCCAUGUGACUAGUAUACCUCGUUGACAUCCCUUGUCUUAGUCAUUUUGAUCCUAUUGAUUCAAUGUAUGUGUACACACGCAGUCACCAAGUUAUCCUUUUUUAAAUUAUCUUUCUGGCUCACGCGUCAUUCCGGACAUGAGCUGGUUCUCAGCAAUUCAAACCUUUAUUGAUUGCCCAACUAAGUGUUCCAACUUAUCCAUCCUUGAUCAGAUCAUCUGCUUCUCAUCCUUCGUUUUGGAAACCAUAAUUUCUUUCUAUUUAAGCAUCAAACUAAUCAGAUGAUUCUUGAAUCUGAUGCCUCUACAUUCUUUCUUCCUCUGAGUGAGUAUCGAUACUCACAUCAGCUCCGUUGUGGAUCGCCCGAUCCAUUGUUGGAUUGUUAUCUGACAGCAUCCUUCAUAUUCAAUCACCUGGUGAGUCCUUCCCCUGAUACAUAAUGCCUCUGGUAAAUUGUAUCCUCUGCUUGGCCGACCAUGCUCUGCUUUCGAGCUUGUGUAUUUACUUUUGAAAUUUGUGGUAUAUGUUACUAAGAAUUCCUGAUGGGUUGAACCUAUGGCUUCCCCUAAUCCGUGAGAACACGAAAGUUUUCACAAGUUAUACUCUUCUGGUGUUCUACCAGAUAAAAUUCCAACACUACAGUUUUAUCAAAGCGAGACGUGAAUGAAAUGAUAUGCAUUAAAGAAGUGGGAGUCGACCUUGAACUUUGUUUCAUGCCCAUGAAAAUGAUGUAGACCGUCUCGGAAGCUUCUUGCAAAAUGAUUAUCCAGCUGUAUGAUUCUUUCGGUAUUCUUGAAAUUGAUUCCUUACCAGUAUGGUUUCGACCAUGCUGUCCUGAUCUAAUAUAUCUCAUGGGAAUUCAUUCCAGUGCCUCGUCUAUUUUUUGCAAGGUUGAAGUAUCUACUGUCAUAGGUCAAUGACCCGGUUCUACUUCUAUCAUGUUCUACCUUCGAGUAUUACCCCCUAGUAUCUCGAAGAUGUCUUGCCAUUGCACAACAUCUUACUAACUUUGUUGAAGUAAUGUAUUUCCUUGUCGUAAUCACUCUACGGGUUCUGGGUUGUUGUCAACCGAGGACACCGACUAGUGAAAUUAUUCCGCACUACAAAUCAAAUACCCCUAGUACUUUUACUAGGAAAUUCUGAACUCAAUCUGGUCAUUCCUAGACUAUCGGCUGCAUCCUGGUCAUGCUAUCUUUGAUUGUGCUACCUCAUCCUUCUCUGGUGCAUGAAUUCUUCAGUGUGUGAGCACGACUUACGUCGAGCUUUCAACAUCAUGUUGCUUGUCUUGAAAGGCAACCUUGGUUCCGAGCUUGCAUCUUAUAUAUUGAUCCUGUAACUUGUCACUUCGUUAUUCCCUUGCUUGUUGCCGUUGUUGUUUGAUUGCAUCCUCUCGAAACCUCCCGGCAAAUGGGUCGGAUCACCUUCAACACUUUGACUUCUUCCAAGAUGUCAACUGUGUUCAUGAUGAGAAAUACCCUCCUUGCCCUCGAUGAUUUUUAUUAUCAUCGACAACACCCUUGACUUCCUUUCACCGUGAACUUGUCCACAUUAUGAAUACAAUUUUCUCUCCAGCUAGUGUUGUGCUCUGCCUUGAAGUAUUACUGUCUUUUCUAUCGAGAAUGUUGGGGGAUUGCUCCACCUCUUAGAAAUUCUCGGUAUGGUGAUACUUCUCACCAUCACCAUUCUUCCUUGGUCUCCAUGUUGUUUUUUAACCAGGAUACCAAUAAGCUAACGAUGUUGUACUUCUGUACUUCUAGCAACCCUAUUGCUUUGAAGUUAAUGACCGACAGUUCGUUCUUAGACCGUUAAUUAUUGAAACGUCACUCAAACAUUGAUCUUGCUGCCUAAGGUCAUAUUUAGGGCACACCUUUCAACUAAUGAUUGAUGGUGUAUGUUUUCCUAGAGCAUACAACAUUAUAUCAUUUGAAUUGACAAGUGUCAUCUUCUUGUUCACAUUAUUGUGGAAAUCCAUCCGUUUGGAAUUCUCGAUGAAUUGACGCUGAGCCCAACAGCCACCUCCUCAUCCUCUCCUUGGUUUAAUGAUGAACUAUUGUUUCAGGAACCCGCUCCCAUAGUUCAUUUCCCUAGAAUCUUGCAAUGUCAUUUCGUCGAUUUGUGUUGCACCUUUUCUUCUCGGACAUCCUGAGUCUGAGGUAUCAUGACACCAAUCAGAUCUGAAUCUCGGUCAGAUAUGAUGUUUGGAACAUAUUUCCAAGAGUUAUAACGUUGGUAUUUAUAUGAGCCGGUAAGGUGAUGUCAUGCUUAGCACACCUGGCCGGAGGACCUAUUGUUAUAGUUUCCAUUUUAGCAAGGUUAGCCAUUCUUCCAUGAGGAAAUUGUAAGACGUAUUCUAUGAGUGUUCCUGACGGAUCCUUUGCGUAUCCACAGUCUGACCUUUACCUGAAGACCAUGUCAAUGCUGUCUUGAAGCAUGUCUGUGGUACUCCGAUUAUCAAUAAAAACAUUUGAAGCACAAUGCUAAGCAUUCUUUGUCCAUUAUCCAAACACCAUUGUAUGGGUAAUGUCAUGAAAUACCUCUCCCCUUACCUAAAUGGUUUCUACUUUCUAUCCGGUAGUGGAUAUCAUACUCUGCUUGUCCUUCGGAAGGAUAUACCUCAAAAUUAGGUGUUAAACACAUUUUCCCUUCCGUUGUUCCAUCUAACCUUUCUUGUGUUAUGUAUGAUCUAAGAAGUUAUAUUCUCCUGCUUAUACAAACACCUUGGUUAUACAACCCUGUCAGUAAGACCCUCUUACUUUUAUGGAUGACAUUCCGGUAACCACCGAUGGACGAUUACUUUGCCUAUUGGUUCGCCUCGUUCAAUGAGCAGGAAAACGGUUCUCUUCGUCCCUCGCCCUUGGUACCGUUGUUGCUGCCAAGAUAACUGACAGGCUAUCCUCUGACAUGCCUUGCUUACAUUAUCGUGCAAGACGUCAUCGCCCUUCCUACUUUUAACCCACAUGGUGGGCCCAUAACCCACAGUUCCACAAGAUAGAAACCUGACUCUCCUACCCUGCUUCCAAAGUUUGUCAUUUAAACUUUACCUCGUAUGUAAUUCCGCGAGCUACCUCCGUCUGAUGUUAUAUUUCAGUAUCAGGCACAAUAUCUACUCUCGUUGCUCUAAACCCCUUUCACAACCUGUUUCAGACAUUGAAUGAUUGUCUAUCCGCUGGAAACUUCUUAUUGUACCUUCAUAUUUGCUCAUGAUGUUUUUCUUAAAGUUCAGUCCGACAGUUACUGUCUACCACAUUCCGUGAACUAUCUACCAGAUAAUCGACCUUGUAGAGGUCCGUUCUCCUGAGGUUACCCCUUAUCCUUUUUGUAAGUACGAUGGAGUUCCCGAAGAAAGGAUGACAACUUCAUCACGUUGACCUGAAGUAGAGGAAUGAAGACAUCAAUGUAAUGGAUUGAUCUCUUCGAGAAGAGAAACCAGGAACAUAAGGACUCGUUAGAAUUUCAUACCCAGAACUUUCCCCCUUACUCCACCUCUUAAAUCUUGGGACGAGAUUUCUUGUAGUGGAGGAGAAUUGUGACGCCCGGAUAAUUAAGCUACAGUGAACCUCUGCUAAUGAUGCCACGUCACCUCAAUUACUGUUGCUAAUCUCGCGUUAGUUCGAAACCGGUUCGAAUUCAAAUUCAAAAUCAAGCAAACAAUAAAAGAUUUCAAAUAUCAUAACUAAAAUGUUCGAAGAGAGCCAAAUAAUGCAUAAGUAAUUAUGGUGGAGAAACCACAAUUUUAUAAAAAGUUUAAAUACUCUAAGAGGAUUAAACUAUAGCAAAAACUGUUAUUUAAAUACUUUUAAAUAAUUAAUAAUUAUGAAACAAUUUUAAUUAGGUGCCAAAGUUAUUGUGGCAAAGGUAUAUUCAAUAAUGCAAAUUUGUGUGUUAAUUAUAUAUUUUACAAACAAAAGUAACUUGGGAAAUAAGAUAAAAAAAGUAAAAUAAAAAUAAACUAAAUCAAAAAAAAAGGAAACUCCCCCCCACUAGGCUAUGGCCCAGCUGGCCUCUGGCCAACCAGGCCGGCCCAACCAGUGCCUCCCUUAUUCCCCCACACCCUCCCAAACCCUAACCCACUCGCUCCCACUNNNNNNNNNNNNNNNNNNNNNNNNNNNNNNNNNNNNNNNNNNNNNNNNNNNNNNNNNNNNNNNNNNNNNNNNNNNNNNNNNNNNNNNNNNNNNNNNNNNNNNNNNNNNNNNNNNNNNNNNNNNNNNNNNNNNNNNNNNNNNNNNNNNNNNNNNNNNNNNNNNNNNNNNNNNNNNNNNNNNNNNNNNNNNNNNNNNNNNNNNNNNNNNNNNNNNNNNNNNNNNNNNNNNNNNNNNNNNNNNNNNNNNNNNNNNNNNNNNNNNNNNNNNNNNNNNNNNNNNNNNNNNNNNNNNNNNNNNNNNNNNNNNNNNNNNNNNNNNNNNNNNNNNNNNNNNNNNNNNNNNNNNNNNNNGCCACCGACCUGCCGCGCCUUCGUCCUCCUCCGCAAAGCCAUCUCGCUAUCGUCGUUCACCAGAGGAGCCUCGCCGGAGCUCCUCCGCCUCGACUUCCCCGACUCCUCCUCGGCCCUGUUGUCGCCGACGCCGUUGACGCACGCCGCCGCGCCCCUGCACCUUGUCACCACGUCGCCGUCGUCUCCGACUUCCUCCUCGACCCCCACUGCCCCGUGCCCUGCAACCCCUCGUGAGCACCCCUCCUCCUCUGCCUCGCUCACGGCCACAGCCUCGUUCCACACACGCGCGUGCCCGCGCCGUCCUGCACGCCCACUGCCGCCCCGUGUCGCACAUUGCGCGCCCCUAUCGUGCUACUCCUCCUCCUGCCGCCCGCACAUCUGCACCCCUGGCCACGCCCUGCACGCACUCUGCUCCUCUCACCCAUGCCCCGCUCGUUUCCCCACCUUCGCCGCCUGCUGUUGUUGUCGUCCGGCUGCGGGCACCGCUCGACGCGCACACGCAGCCGCUCGCUCACCGGCCCGACCAUGCUGCCACUUCUCACUUCGCCUUCGUCUCCUGCCGCUGCAGCGCCUGGCCACCGGCCCGCGCCACUCCUCGCCCUGCCGCACCCGACGGCAUGCAGCGCUGCGCUUGCGCGUCCCGUGGCCCCCCUGCUCGUUGAUGCGCCCUCGCGCACUCAAUCGGCGCCGCCCCUCCGCUGUCGCGCCGACCGUCCCCGACCGCGCCACCACGCCGCCUUGGCUGCUGGGGCUGCGACUGCCGACUGGUUGAGCCCGCCAGGACCGCCGCCGGCCGGGUUCUCCUGGCUUCGCCAGUGCCCAUAACCCACUGGCCGCUCCGCCCCACUAUGGCCCCUCUGGGCCACUACCUAACGGGGCCCCACGCCCAGAACAUAAUUAAAAUAAAUAAAUAAGUAAAUAAAUAUUAAAGUUAAUUAACUUAAUUAACUCUGUUUAAUUAACCUAAUCAACAUAAUUGAAUUAACCAAUGUUGCUUAGUUAACCUAGUCAAUGACAAACGGGACCCGCGCGUCAGUUAGUCUGGUCAACGAUCAUAGUUGACCGCUGACGUCAUGAUGACGUCAUUAAUAGAUUUUCGAUUUAAUUAAUUCUGUUAAUUCUAAAAUUGAAGUAAAAGCUUAAAAAAUUAAUAUAAAAUAAUUUGUAGCUCGAAUGAAAAUACUUUGUACAUGAAAGUUGCUCAGAACAACGAGACUAAUCAGAAUACAUAGCCCGUUCGUCAGCCACGCAUCCCUAGCAUAGUGAACGUGCAACAAUCCCCCUCCGAUCCGUCUGUCCGAAAACGUGAAGCACCGGGAAUACUUUCCUGGAUGUUACCUCCCUUCACCGGUAUCACAUUCUAUCGCGUUAGGGCACACCUAGCACCGCUCAUUGUCAUGUCAUGCAUCGUCUUGCUUAUGUUUGCAUUGUAUUUAUUGUUUCUUCCCCCUCUUCUCUCGGUAGACUACAAGACCGAUGAUGUUGCUGCCCCGUUCAACUACCAAGAUGACAACCCCUCCUUGCCAAAGCAACCAGGCAAGCCCCCCCCCCCCGUGAUCACCAGAUAUCGCCUAUUCUACCCUUUACUGCUUGCAUUAGAGUAGUGUAGCGUGUUACUGUUUUGGUUAAUCCUAUUCUGUUGCAUAGCCUGUCAUUAUUGCUACAUCUGUUCACACCUUACCUGCAAUCCUAAAUGCUUAAUAUAGGAUGCUAGUUUAUCAUUUGUGGCCCUACAUUCUUGUCCGUCUGCCUUGCUAUACUAUUGGGCCGUGAUCACUCGGGAGGUGAUCACGGGUAUAUGCUAUACAUACAUACAUACUAUACAGAUGGUGACUAAAGACGGGUCGGCUUGUAGAGUACCCGCAAGUGAUUCCGAUGUGGAGGCUGGAAGGACAAGUGGCUCCAUCACGGUAGAGGUGGGCCUGGGUUCCCGACGGCCCCCGACUGUUACUUUGUGGCGGAGUGAUAGGGCAGGUUGAGACCACCUAGGCGAGAGGUGGGCCUGGCCCUGGUCGGCGUCCGCGGUUACUUCAAAAUAACACGCUUAACGAGAUCUUGGUAUUUGAUCUGAGUCUGGCCACUGGCCUAUACGCACUAACCAACUACGCAGGAAUAGUUAUGGGCACUCGACGUCGUGGUAUCAGCCGAAGCCUUCUAGACGUCAGCGACUGAGCGGCGCGCGCCGGAUUGGACUGGAACACCUGCUCUUGUAUUAGGGAGGCUAGGUUUGCUUCCGGCCGCCCACGCAAUGUGCAGGUGUGCAACGGGCGAUGGGCCCAGACCCCUGCGCGCUUAGGAUUUAGACCGACGUGCUGACCUCUCUGUUAGGCCUAGGUGGGGUUGCGAUGUGUUGAUCUUCCGAGGCCGGGCAUGACCCAGGAAAGUGUGUCCGGCCAAAGGGAUCGAGCGUGUUGGGUUAUGUGGUGCACCCCUGCAGGGAAGUUUAUCUAUUCGAAUAGCCGUGUCCCUCGGUAAAAGGACGACCCGGAGUUGUACCUUGACCUUAUGACAACUAGAACCGGAUACUUAAUAAAAUACACCCAGCCAAGUUCUAGAGACAACCCGGUGAUCGCUUUUUCACAGGGCGACGAGGGGAGGAUCGCCGGGUAGGAUUAUGCUAUGCGAUGCUACUUGGAGGACUUCAAUCUACUCUCUUCUACAUGCUGCAAGACGGAGGCUGCCAGAAGCGUAGUCUUCGAUAGGACUAGCUAUCCCCUCUUAUUCUUGCACUCUGUAGUUCAGUCCAUUGAUAUUGCCUCUUUACACAUAUACCCAUGCAUAUGUAGUGUAGAUCCUUGCUUGCGAGUACUUUGGAUGAGUACUCAUGGUUGCUUUGCUCCCACUUUUCCCCCUUUUCCUCUUCUUCCCGGAUGUCCCAACUAGACGUUGGAGCCCAGGAGCCAGACGCCACCAUCGACGAUGACUCCUACUACAGUGGAGGUGCCUACUACUACGUGCAGGGCGCUGACGACGACCAGGAGUAGUUUAGGAGGAUCCCAGGCAGGAGACCUGCGCCUCUUUCAAUCUGUAUUCUAGUUUGUGCUAGCCAUCUUAUGGCAACUUGUCUAACUUAUGUCUGUACUCAGAUAUUGUUGCUUCCGCUGACUCGUUUAUGUUCGAGCACUUGUAUUCGAGCCCUCGAGGCCCUGGCUUGUAAUAUGAUGCUUGCAUGACUUAUUUUACUUUUAGAGUUGUGUUGUGAUAUCUUCCCGUGAGUCCCUGAUCUUGAUCAUACACAAUCAUCUGUAUGAUUAGUGUAUGAUUGAAUCGGGGGCGUCACAAUAUCCCGACCCUGUCGGUGUGACCGAGUGGAACAACUCGGUGGCACUGAGAUUGCAGAAUCGCAAGCGGUUACUGCAACUCGGUGUGACCGAAGUGUUCAAAUCGGUUGCACCGAGAUCAAAACCUAGAUCAACUUAGUGAACUCGGUUUGACCAAAAUGGAUGAUGACUCGGUCAGACCAAAAUGCACAAAGAGGUUUUGGAAGUUGAAGUCUAUGACGAAUCGGGGACUCUGAGUGCUCCUCACACAGAGUGGUUCGAAUCUGACUUGAUCAAACUUUUUGAUGUAGCAUGAAUAGAGUUUGAGACGAGAAAAGCAUAGAUAGCUAGAGAAGGUUCUUAGGCAUUCUUGUCCAUCCACUUGGCAAAAGAGAAAGAGCCAAACAAUCAAAAUAACAAGUGGAUGUCCUCGAAUGAGUAAAAUAUGCAACCAACAUGCUCACACAAUAAAAUGGCAAAUGAAAUAUGUGGCAAAGCAUGCACAAACACACUAGCAUCUAUCAAGCAAUUUGCGAUGACUAGGUCAUCUAUAUAUGAGUAUAUUGACUUAGGAGUCAAAUGAGAACAUUUAAUCGUAGGUCAUACUCAUCGUUUAAGAAUAAGUGGGGUUACCACUUUUACAUAAAGCAUUGUUGUGUUCACACCAUUAGAGUUGCUUUAGCUCAAGUCUUAGAGUAAAGCUCCCCCUAGAUGUGAUAUCCCCCCUAAGAGGGAUGCACUAACCUUGGGUUUUGUCGAUGAUGACUUCAUGUAGGUGUUGAAGAUGUGGAUGCUCAAUAUUGAUGUAGAUCAUUCAGAGCUAUCCAUUGGAGUGAGUUGCACUUUCAAUACCUACACGGGUUAGUCCCACAAGGAACAAACAAGGAUAUCCAUAGACAUAGAAUGAUGUACACACAAGAUGAUGUCCACAAAGGCAUUAGGUUACCUUAUCUCUUGUCUUACCAACAAGAAGAUUUGUGACUCCUUGAACUAGUGCAAGUUGUUUGCACUUGUUCUUGCCAAAAUGAUAUGAGUGAAGUGUGUUGGCGGAGUCACCCUCAAGAACUCUCUAGUUCUUCUUCUUCGGGAUCCACAUCAUCUUGAUCGGAAUCCUUGGGGUUGUAGUCGUACUUGAUGAAGUAGAACUUGAUGAAGUCUUGGGAACCCACUUGACCAAGGCCUUGGGAGCUUCUUCAAAUGCAUCAAUCUCCUCUUGAAACUUAUCCUUGCCUUUUUAUUGUGGUCUUGUGGUGGAAGAUCAUCUUGAGCUUGUGUCCCUUGGAAAGAAGUAGGAUCAUACUUCUCUUGUCGAGGAACAAACUUCGUCUUGGGGUAUUGAUCUUCUUCCCACUCAACUCCAUUGGCAUUGAACUUCCAUUCAAUACCAACACCUUGAUUCUUCCAGUGCCUUCCUUGCUUGCGUACAAUUUCCUCAAUUUUCUUACUUUAGGCAAGGCUCUUGUAAACACAUUUCUCUAUAAUUCCUUUCAAUAAGCUAUUUUCUUGCUCAAGUGUAACUUGGCUAAGAGAAUCAUUAGUGAAAUCAAGAGAACUACUAGAAGCAACAACAUUGGAUUUAGCAUGAUUAUUGUUACUACUAGAAGAAGAAUCUUUCUCAUUUUUGUUGCUAGAUUUAACUUGUGGCAUGUAAUUAGACAAGAGUAAACGCUUGGCAAUGUAAGAACUUUUCUUGCGAAGAUCAUCAUUGAUUGCCUUUAAAAACUCAUGCUCUUGCUCUAGGUUGAGCUUUUCAAAGCGUAACUUCUCAUUUAGAUACAUUAUAACCGAGCACUUUCCCUGCCCUCACAGGCCAUCAGUGUUUUGAGCCGUCGGAUCAUCAGUUUAAGGCAUUUCUGGCCGUCAGAUUGGCUCUCAAUCGUGCCUGACCAGGUUUAGUUCGCUGUUAUUGAGCGCGAACCUUUACGGGCUGCUACUCUGGUCGCAUUUUGUCGCGUAUGUGGUAAACUUCGGCUUAAUGGGCCUUUGCACCCUACCUUACAGGCCUGUAUUGUCUCCAUCAGCAAAUUCGCACACCUCCAACCCCUUCGCGUGGCGGCUCUGUCCAGAGGCGACUUGGCCUGGGUCAACGACCGAUGCUGCAGGGCCGGAGCAACGGAGCCACGCCGACCGCGCUGGUUCGGGCCUCGCCGGGCGACGGGGGUACACCUCGAUUUCCUCAAUCCGUUAGGGUUGCAAGGCGUGCCAGGAUGGUCUGUAGCGGCAAACAGGCACAUGUAAGUUCUAUCGCCAAUCCAACGCUGGUUGAUUGAGCCAUUACUAACAGUCGAUGCACCGGAUGCUGAUUAUUGCACGUUAGUUACAAUUGGUGAUUUAUAAUUUUCAUUCAAUUCAAGCACGCCCAUAUAGUCCCAACCUUGCCGCUGCUCCUUACCCACUCUCCUCACUUCGCCAAAUCACUCUACAGCAACGAUGGGUGAUUCUUAGGUUUCGAAUUGUCCCUCCCUCCUGCAUCUCCUCUUCUUGCAAUUCUUCCUCCAUCUUUGUUAUUUGUUUUCUUUAUUGAUGUUGUUCUUCGUGUCUACAAAAAGUGUAGGUUCUGUACAAGGACGAACUGUUGGGUUUCUUACUCUUUUUCACUUGAAUCUGACAGUAUCCAAUGGCUAACGGACAGGUUAGUAUCAGUGUGCUCUUAUGCCUCAGUUACCUAAAUUUAUGCCCCAUCUCACAUGCGGCAGUACUCACAAAUGAUUGCAGCUUCUCUAGGUUGAUGAUUUUUUUUCUUUUUCAUAUUGCUCUAUAUACUCACAAAUUGUCCGAGUUUAUGAUCAGUGUGCUGCCAUGUUAGUUUCAUAUGAAAGGAAGACCAAGUGUGUGUGUGUUGGUUAUAUUUGUGGUGAACUCUCGGUGUGCUGACUGAAGAAAGAGUAGCUGAAUAAACCUGUACUAUAGAGUUUAUUUUUUCUUUUGAGAACAUAUUGUUUUAUAGAGCUGAAAAUCAUGAGAGAAGAAAUAGACUCAAACAUUAAGUGUUCGAAGGGCAUGGCGCUGUGUGACCCAGUCAUAAAAGUAUUGCAUAGUUGAGAUGGUGGAGUAAAUGUUCCAUCAUUUGAAGAGUUAAAUUGUAUGCAAGAGCAGAAGGUGCUAUCCUUUUGAGUUUUGACUUUUGACAGGGAAAAUGUGAAAAAUAGACAAACCUCACAAUGUGUAUCAGGAGAUGGCAAUUCAGAGUUUUGUUUAGUAUUCUGGGUAACCAAAGGUUCCAAAGUGGCAGCCAUUGCACCAUCAGAGAGCAUACUAUUCAGAAAAGAGCACAUUCAUCACUUUGUUUGAUAGAUUCAGUCAAGUAAACAAAAUUAUGAAUCCAAGAAAGACAACAUACCUGCUACCGUCCUUCUCAAGACUUAUUUAUCUUCCAAGAAGAAACUAUCUAUAACAUAGGGGUGUGUUUGCUCUCAGCAGCGUAUAUGGCCUUACAUAAACUUCAAUUACCACAAAACAGAAAACAAAACAACAGUUUCGAUACACACGCAUGGCCUUAAUAAAUGCUUUAGGAUUAAAGCUCCCAUUUAUUAUGUUCUAUACGUCGAUUCUCACUUUCAGAUUCGUGUGGCAGAAUCUGAUUUUGGAAGUCGUUGGCACCCGUCAGGUUCUAAAUAUAAUUGGCUAUGUGGUAAUAAGUUAUUAGGAGCAAAAAAAAUUAAUGUUUUUUAGCAAGCGUGCAUUUGAUCAAGCCGAGGACGCAUGAUUACUUUGAUCAACCAAGCAUAUGCAUUACAAGCCUUUUAAUAAAUUGAGAAACGGAACAUUUAAAAUUGGACAAAGUUAGAUAGAAAUAAGCCAACAAAUUGGAAGGUUAGGUGAUCAAAAUUAAGGCCUAGCUGAUGAAGCAUGUGACCUCCUAUACGUAAGGAAGGCAAACAACCUGCAUUGCAAUAGAAGAUUAGGGUGUAUUCCUUUUAUUUAUGACGAUGUAUGUGAUAUCACUUAUAUUCUGAAGUUGUAUACAGAAGAACAAAUAUUGUCUAUACCAGUCCCACAAUCCAUAAAGAUGCCUAACCCCAUGAAAUAGAUUGAACUUUGAAAAAAAGUAUCCUUAGCCUUUCCGGACAGUACCAACCUGACAACUAAUAGAAUAGCCUUAUAGCAGAGUGAUUCGUUUACAUCAUUCAUUUUCGAACUAAGAUUUGAAAAAAAUAAUCAGGGAGAAUGACAUAAAAGAUGGGGAAGAAAUUUGAGUUAGUGAAACUUGGACAACGGAGACCUUCUAGACUAUAGUAUUGUAAAAAUAACUUGCUAAUGUUAGUUAUAAGUUCUAUCAUGUUAGUUGUAAUGCAUAUUGUGAUAUGUGGGUGUUCUUUUUAUGUUAGGGCUCAAGGAAAGUUACUCGAUGCUUUAUUCCCUUUUUAUUUUGUGUAUGCAUAAUUAGGAACAGACCGAUGGACUAAUGGUGAUAGUGAAAAAAUGUCAUUUAAUUCUGAAGUCACAGUGCUAAUUUUUACUGUGAGAAGAGAUGUUAAUUUAGUACGGUUAUGUUCUGCUCUUUGGCAGGCUAUGAUCCAGUGGUCGUGCUUGAAAAUUUCUUCUGAACAACCUUUUACACUUGAAGGGGCUAACUUUCAUUUGUUUUUUAUUUGACUUGCAAACAAGAACCUUAGGUUUCAUUUUUGUGCUAAAGAUAGUGCAUAAGCAGUUAGCUUUCAUGGCAUGAACGUGUGUUAUCUUUGUGGAAGGAAACUCUAGCAUAUCACUUAGAGAUAUGAAUGUGCUUGUUAGCAACUCCUUGUGCUUCUCCCCAAAUAUAUUUCUCAUGAUUCUCGAAGUCUGUGUAGCAGGCAAAUCCUUCUCGCAUUUCCAAACCUUCAUGUACUAUCACAAGACCUGUUGUGUGUGUUGCUUCGGCAACACUCAGUUUGAAUACAAGAUGUUAUCCUUUCUUUUUAUGAAUUAUGUGUGUUGAUUUUUGCAAUCUCAUGGGAUUUUCAUGAACUGUAGCCCAUUCAAGCAUUCGCACAUAUAUAUUCCUAACAUACUUGCGGUUCAUCAGGAUGAAUGUGCACAUUCCAAUAAACACCCACUCAUCCUUACUGCCACACCAUUUUGUGGAAACCAUAUUAAAGUUUUAGUAUAACUUAUCAAUGUGUGCACAACUUAUUGAAAUUUCUUUUUUUUUCAUGUGCCAAACUCUCAAUAUAUUUACAAGAGUUCCUACCAUUCUAUUGUAAAAAUAGAUGGGCGCGGCAACACGCGCCGUCAUGAUCUUAUUAAUGUAUGCACAACUUAAGGAAAUUUCAGUUUUUUUCAUGUGCCAAACUCUCAAUAUAUUUACAAGAGUUCCUACCAUUCUAUUGUAAAAAUGGGCGCGGCAAAACGCGCCGGCAUGAUCUAGUGAGUCUUUAAAAGUUCUCGAUGAUCUUCCAAGGUAGUUUCAUGAGCUAACUUGAGAGUAUUUAGCUCUUUAGUUAGACGCUUAAUCUUCUCCUUAUCAUUGUCAUUCAUUUUAUCUUCAUUAGCAUGAUUAAUUGACGUAUCAUCAUAGUAUUCAUCACUAGUGUUGUCAACAAGUAAAUCAUCAUCACCUAACAAACCAUCUUCAUCAUUAUUGAAGUCAACAUACUUGGGGUGUGAUACCUUUGGGCCUUUAGACAUGAAGCAUCUUCCAAUUCCUUCAUUUGGUGAGUCAAAUAUGUCAUAGGAGUUGGUUGACACAAGUGCUAGACCGGAAACACCUUCAUCUUGAGUAUAUUCGGAGUCGGAGUGAUAACUUCUUCGGAGUGAUGGUCGGAGUCGGAGCCGGAUACCCAUUCACCAACGUGAGCUUGAUGUCUUCGCUUUGUGUAGAUCUUUGAUGAUUUGUCCUUCCUUUCUGAAUCCUUGCUUCUCUGGGAGGUUCUUCGUUCAUAACGAUCAUCUCUACUCCUUCUCUCUCUUGGUGGUGAUUCCUCUCUUCUACUUCUUCUUUUAGGUGAAUCUUCUCUCCUUUUGUAGGGAGCCGUACACUCAUUGGAGUAGUGUCCGGGUCUUCCACAAUUGUAGCAAUUACGUUCACGACUCGAAGAUCUUUUGUCAUUGUAGGACCUUGACUUGGAACUUCUUUCCUUGCUUCUACUCUUGUAGAACUUGUUGAAGUUCUUCACCGUUAGGCUCAAUUCUUCAUUAGGUUUGUUUCUCACUUGAUGAUGUGGGAGCAUCACAUGAGGCUUUGUAAGCACCACUUGACUUGUUGUGAAGUUCCUCUUUAUCUUUGAGUGACAUCUCAUGAGCAACAAUUCUUCCAAUGACUUCCGUUGGCUUGAGAUCUUUGUAAUUGGGCAUCAUUUGGAUCAAUGUGCACACGGUAUCAUAUUUUCCAUCCAAGGCUCUUAGGAUCUUCUUGAUGAUGAAUCUAUUGGUCAUCUCUUCACUUUCUAAGCCGGUAAUCUCAUUUGUGAUGAGAGCAAGCCUAGAGUACAUUUCAGCGACAUCUUCACCAUCCUUCAUUUUGAACUUGUCAAGUUGACUUUGAAGCACAUCCAAUUUGGAUUCCUUGACGGAGUCGGUACCUUCAUGCAUAUCAAUCAAAGUAUCCCAAAUUUCCUUUGCAUUCUCAAGGCGGCUGAUUUUGUUGAAUUCUUUGGGGCACAAUCCGUUGAAGAGGAUAUCACAAGCUUGAGCGUUGUAUUGCAGCAUCUUCAACUCUUCUGCGGUAGCUUCACGGUUCGGUUCUUUCCAAUCGAAGAAUUCACCUUGCAACCAAUACACACAAUAGCCCAAACGGGCGGGGUUAUGUCUAAGAAUACGCAUUUUCAUCUUAUGCUUCCAACUAGCAAAAUUAGUACCAUCAAAGUAAGGACCUCUAUAGUGGUAAUUUCUCUCGCUAGACGCCAUACUCUCAUAGGUUGUUAAACCAAGGCUAUGAUCACCAAAAGCUAUGGAAAUCAAGGUGAUUGGAGACCGUAGCUCUGAUACUACUUGUAGGAUCGAAAGUAUGUCUAGAGGGGGUGAUUAGACUACUUGACCAAAUAAAAAUCUAGCCUUUUCCCAAUCUUAGUUCUUGACAGAUUUUGGCAACUUAGCCCAAGUCAAGCAAUCAACCUACACAUGCAAUUCUAAGAGUAUAUCAACGGAAUGUAAAUCAAUGCAUAUAAAGGUAAAGUGGAGGAGUUUGGAGGGAGCAAACGCAAUGUUGACACGGAGAUUUUUGGCGUGGUUCUGAUAGGUGGUGCUAUCAUACAUCCACGUUGAUGGAGACUUCAACCCACGAAGGGUAAUGGCUGCGUGAGUCCACGGAGGGCUCCACCCACGAAUGGUCCACGAAGAAGCAACCUUGUCUGUCCCACCAUAGCCAUCACCCACGAAGGACUUGUCUCACUAGGGUAGAUCUUCACGAAGUAGGCGAUCUCCUUGCCCUUACAAACUCCUUGGUUCAACUCCAAAAUCUUGACAGAGGCUCCCAAGUGACACCUAACCAAUUUAGGAGACACCACUCUCCAAAAGGUAAUAGAUGGUGUGUUGAUGAUGAACUCCUUGCUCUUGUGCUUCAAAUGAUAGUCUCCCCAACACUCAACUCUCUCUCAUAGGAUUGGAUUUGGUGGAAAAAUGAUUUGAGUGGAAAACAACUUGGUGAAGGCUAGAUAUCAAGAUUCAUAUGGUUGGAUUGGAAUAUCUUGGCAUCAACACAUGAGUAGGUGGUUCUCUCUUAGAAAAUGGAUGCUGGAAGUGUAGGCAUGUUCUGAUGGCUUUCCUUACGAAUGAGGAGAGGAUGGAGGGGUAUAUAUAGCCUCCACACAAAAUCUAGCCGUUACACACAAUUUACCAAACUCGGUGGGACCGAAUCAUAAAACAUGGUUAGACUGAUUUAGUUCAUAAUGUGACCGUUAGGCAUUUCGGUGGGACCAAUACGUCAACUCGGUGGGACCAAUUUUGUUAGGGUUAGGGCAUAACGUAAUCUCGGUUGGACCAAUUACACAAACUCGGUGGGACCGACUUUGGUAAUAAGCUAACCAGAGAGCUGGUCAGGCAAACUCGGUGGGACCGAUUCGCUCAUCUCGGUGGGACCGAAACGUUACGAAAGGGAAACAGGGAGUUUGCAUUGCGAAUUCGGUGGGACCGAUCGCCCAUCUCGGUUAGACCGAAACGUUACGAAGGGAAACAGAAAGUUUGCAAUCCCAUCUCGGUGAGACCGAGAUCCCUAUCGGUGAGACUGAAGUGACUAGGGUUUCUGGCAGUGGCUAUGUCAAAUGAACUCGGUGGCGCCGGAUAGAUCAAAUCGGUGGAGCCGAGUUUGAUUUUUGGUUUGGACAUAUGUGGAUAUGAGAAAGUGGUUGAGGGUUGUUGGAGCAUAUCACUAAGCAUUUUGAGCAAGUAAGCCAUUAAGCAACACCUCAUCCCCUUUUAAUAGUAUUGGCUUUCCUAUGGACUCAAUGUGAUCUUGGAUCACUAAAAGUAAAAUGUAGAGUCUUGAGCUUUAGAGCUUGAGUCAAUCCUUUGUCCUUAGCAUUUUGAGGGGUCCACAAUCCUAAUCCAUGCCAUGCCAAUCACUGAACUUUCCUGAAAUAUUCAUAUUGAAAUAUCAUUAGUUCAAUGAGCUAUAUAUUGUUAAUCAUUACCAAAACCACUCGGGGAUAAUUGCACUUUCACUCCCGCGCCAGAUCCGUGCCCCGCGCCUCCGUGCGCUGCCUCCGUGCGCUGCCUCGCCGGCCAGCUAUGCCGUCCCGAGCGCGCGCAAAUGCUCGAGCUCACGCCGAAUUUCUCCAGCCUGCGCCAGCACCUCCCAACGACAUCGUAAAUUUCAAGAUGAUAUGCCGACUCAGUCUUUCGGAAGUGCUCAUAGGGAUAGGGUGUGCAUGUGUGCGUUCAUAGGGUUAGUGUAUGCGCGUGCAUACGAGCGCUUGUGUAUGUAUGGUAUAAAAAAAGAAAAAAGAAAACAGGACAACGCACCCAAACUUUCACUCAACUGGUCACCUGUGAUUGAUCUUCUUUUUUCCCGAUAAAGACAUGUGAUUGAUCAUGGUAUGGUAGUUGCUAUCCUACAAGGAUGCAGCUUGCACAAGAAGCGUGUUCGAAUUUACUAAGGAAUUUUUCAUCGUCGCCUCUUUGCCGGGAGUGACAGGCGAUUGAUCUUCUUUUUUCCCGAUAAAGACAUGUGAUUGAUCAUGGUAUGGUAGUUGCUAUCCUACAAGGAUGCAGCUUGCAUAAGAAGCGUGUUCGAAUUUACUAAGGAAUUUUUCAUCGUCGCCUCUUUGCCGGGAGUGACAGGCUUACAAUGUGGAGCAACAAGAACUGCCAAGUGCUAAGUGCAUAUACAAUGGUUCUAUUUUAGGCAUGCCACGUAGGAUAAAUGAUGAAAUGAAUGAGAGAGAAAUCAUAAAAAAAGGUUUAUCUUCUCUUAUUUAAGAGAAGACAAGAGAUGAUCUCUUAGUACAAUAUGUCUCACCACGUUUUUAGGAAUAGCUAGUUAUUGAAGAUAAGGCUAAGAGAUGACGCAUUGUAGACAUAUUUUUUUGUCAUCUCUAAAUCACAUGCAAGACUUAAGAUAAGACUAUCUUAUCAACCAUUGUACAUGCCCUAAGCAAUGAAGGGAUAGACUGAUGUUAAUCAACAGAAAGAACGACUAAACAAGAAAAACUGUAGGGGUUCCUCUGGGCCAAAAUUUGUCAGAAAACAAGGUCUAACAGGGUCAAAACUCUAUCUGAUCAGUGAUUGCGCACGCUGCAGACGCUGGCUUUCAUUCAACUUCUCCUUUGGUGACAGUUUGUCGCCGAUCAGUGUCACCUUCCAGCAAUCAGCUUGGAGGACGAAAACUGAUCCAGCUUUCGGUACAACUGCAGGUUUGAAAGUGAGUUUCUUAGAAAGCAAUCCAUCAGGUCUGCAGUAAUUAAUAGUUUAAUACUAAAAUUCAUGACUACAAACAACAUAGUAUAACGGCAAGAACGAGCCUAUGGGGAGAGCAGUUCCGUUGAGCGAGUAAAAUACAACGUUUUGAGCAAGAAGCUGAACAACCCUGUUCGCUUGUACUUCUGCCAUGAAAAAUUCAAGUGUGGACCUCACCAGAAAAACAAGCAUGCGUUUCAUCGCAGUCUCUUAGAGCACGAACCAUAUGGAUGGAGAGUUACACUAAAAUUAUUUAGCACAAUCAACGGGAAAAGGAAGUAUCAUAUUAGCAGUAGAAAGGAAAAUCCAACACAAGAUUGCAACAGCCCUAUAUUCCCAAACAAAAAAAAAAGAUUGUAGAAGACAUGCUCUCAAGCAAACUAUACAUCACUUCAUCCAAGCCUAUUCAAAGUAUUGCAUUACGAAGUGGGAUAGUAGGUACCUCGGAAGCGGUUGUCCUCUGAUAUAAUUCCAAAAGUCUCUGCAGUGUCACGAAUCAUGAUGCCACUUACACCUUCAUAUGAGGCUGCUUUGCAUUGCGCCACUGCGAAUGACCAAAAGAAAACACAAAAACAAUGACAGGAUCAAUACAGGCAGUCUAAUAACCCAGUAUGCAACUAUGUCAAGUAUAUGAAUCACCUAUUAUAAGCGCCCCAUGAAGAUCUGCUGAAAGGAGGUUUUCCGACAAUUGCUUUUUCCUAUAAAGAAAACAGGGAACAUCAAUACCUCAUACAUUGUACUGAAAAGGCAUAAUAGAGGGUUAGCCCAAAUCUGGGAAAGGUUAAACUGAUUACAUUUCUUGAAUUUGAUUGUCCAAAUUUUCAAAUUUAUUAAUCUUCUCAGAACUCUAUUUAGUAUAAUUUUAUACAAUUACAGCUUAAUUAAGCUAUUUUUGAGGCAAUCAGAUGAAUACCAACAAUCUAGUCCCUACAGUCAAUAAGUUUCCAUACAAUUAUCAUUUUUGGGUGGGCUCGGUCUUACUAACAGCAUAAAGCCUGUGAGUUACUGUACUGUGAAUAUUAGUCAAAACAAACUGAUAAUUAAAGAGUAGCACAGCUGUACAAAUAUACCAAUUCAAUAUAUCAGUAGUUGGAUCCUUCAAAAGUAGACACCAACUACAAAAGAUCUAAAAACAAUUAAGUCGUAUAUUUAAAAAUAAGAGACAAAUAACAGCAAAAGAUCCAAAGACCAAAUGCCUUUUCUUUUACAAAUUGCAGUCUGUUAUGACCGGCAUGUUAGGGGCUUAGCCCAGUUAGUUGUGGCCCAGUCUAUCUUAUCGUUAUUAAGGGCUUAGCCCGAUUAUCAUUGUUAGGGGCUUGGGAAUCAAGUAAACCUCUCUAUAUAAGGAGAGGAGAUGUAUCAAUCUAAUCAAGCAAAGAAGCAAUCAUAUUUGCUCGGCUUCCUUAGGGAGUCGGGAGACCUAACCCUAGCCGCCUCCUCCCCUGUGCCAUCUCCCUCUCAGCCGCCGCCUCCUCGCGCACGACGGUGCCCAGCCGCCGCCGGCCGCGAGUUCGUCCACGACCAGCUCCCUCCUUCCCCUACAACCUCCGGCCUAGACCCAGUAGAACCCUAGUUUCUACCAGUUUGGUAUCAGAUAGCUCAGUUCCGAUCAUGUCUUCGCCGUCGCCCACCCUGUCGCUUCCGUUGCCGACCGGCACCACCACGCCGCUGCCCUCCCCGUCCGCGCUGCUGGUCGCAUCCUCCGGCGCCGCCACCGCCCAGAUGCCGGCGCCCUCCACCUCACCACCGGCCGCCGGCCCUACCGUGGUACUCGCCGCAUCCAGGGGCCUCCGCGGCGUCCGCUGGGACACAGCUGCAGCUGCCGCCGCCGCCGCCCGCCGCUGCCCUCCACGUACGCGGACGCGCCUCCAGCGCCCAUGGCCGCCCCGCGCUGCCGUGGUAGCCGCCGGCACCAGGCGGCCUUGGCCGCACUCGCGGGGCCACUGCAGCAGCCGCUGCAGCUACCAUCCAUCGCCACCACCGCCCAGCCCUGGCUGCAGUGGCAGCCGCUCCUGGCGGCCUCCGCCGCGCCCGGCGCAACACCGCAGCAACUGCAGCAGCCACCGCCGGUCAGCUCCGGCCCCGCAUCGACCGCGCCGAUGGGGGUUCCGCUCCACCAAGUCCGGUUCCCGUCCUCGUCGUCCCCGCUACCGGCUUGGUUGACCGAGUCGUCGUCUCAAGCGGUCUACACGAUGGCCUCGGGACCACCGCACGUGACGUCACAGCAGGCGCAGUACGGCGGAUCCUCCAGUUCCGCGGGUCCCUACGUUGGCCUCGACGCGAUGCAGUUCCAUGGGGGGGCCCUAUGAUCACCGACCCAGCACCGCUGCUCCAGCACCGCUGAGCCGUACCCCCACAGCGGUCAUACCAGACGGCGCCGCGCUUCGCCAAGCUCGCCUUCACCACCUACGACGGCGCCGAGGACCCCCUCAACUGGCUUAAUCAGUGUGACCAGUUCUUCCGGGGGCAAUGUACGCUCGCGUCGGACUGCACCUGUCUCGGUUCAUAUCACCUCCGAGGCGCCGCACAGACUUGGUAUUACGCUCUCGAGCAGGACGAGGGCGGCAUGCCUCCAUGGGAGCGUUUUCGCGAGCUCUGCCUCCUUCGCUUCGGGCCGCCGAUACGCGGGAGCCGGCUGGCAGAGUUGGGCCGUCUUCCCUUCACCUCUACGGUGCAGGACUUCACCGACCGCUUUCAGGCCCUGGCAUGCCACGCACCCGGCGUGACGGCUCGCCAGCGGGCUGAGCUCUUCAUCGGUUGUCUGCCGGAUCAUAUCCGCGUGGACGUGGAGCUGCAGGGACCCCAGGACCUCCAGACGGCCAUGUACUACGCCCGCGCGUUCGAGCGCCGCGCGGUGGCUAUCCAGCAGGCGUCACCGUCCCGGGCCGCUGGGCCACCACCCUGGACGGACGUCCCCACGCAGGGUCGGCCUGCUCAGGCUUCCACGGCACCCCUCGCCGCGACCGCGGCGCGCCCGUUCCGCCGGCUCACCCCGGCCGAGCAACUCGAGCGUCGCCGCCAAGGGUUGUGCUUCAACUGCGACGAGCCCUACGUGCCCGGCCACAUCUGCCCGCGACUCUUCUACCUGGAGGCUACGGACUACAUUGAGGAGGAGGAGGACACCGCCGGGCUCGGCGACCUGCCCGCCCCAGCUGCCGCGGAGGUGUUUGGCGACGGUUGAUCACCUCGAGGAGUUCCGCAAGCGCUUCCCCGCCUUCCAGCUCGAGGACGAGCUGUUUGUGCGGGCGGGGAGAAAUGUUAUGACCAGCAUGUUAGGGGCUUAGCCCAGUUAGUUGUGGCCCAGUCUAUCUUGUCGUUAUUAAGGGCUUAGCCAAUUAUCGUUAUUAGGGGCUUGGGAGUCAAGUAAACCUCUCUAUAUAAGGAGAGGAGAUGUAUCAAUCUAAUCAAGCAAAGAAGCAAUCAUAUUUGCUCGGCUUCCUUAGGGAGUUGGGUGACCUAACCCUAGCCGCCUCCUCCCCUGCGCCAUCUCCCUCUCAGCCGCCGCCUCCUCGCGCACGACGGUGCGCAGCCGCUGCCGGCCGCGAGUUCGUCCACGACCGGCUCCCUCCUUCCCCUACAACCUCCGGCCUAGACCCAGUAGAACCCUAGUUUCUACCACGGUCUUUACCUCAUAAUUCAACAGUUGUUGUGCACAUUACCAGAGUUUACAAAUGUUUGCACGUUAUUACUAGAUUACCAAAAAGCUGGGUUUUUACCAGGGCCUUAAUUCUUAUACUGACCCAAUCUGUGAAUUGACAUCUCGGACCCAAUCAUGAGUGCCAGCAUGCCACGUAAGUAUGAGGUGACUUUACAAAUAUGGGUCCACCUAUAGGAGUGACCCAGUUUACUUGUUUUCUGAUGAGACGUAGAAACUAGCACACUGAUCUAAAGACAUGUAACUAACAUUUUUUUUUCAAAAAGGAGGCAAAAGAUUUGCCUCAUAUAUUAAUUAAGGAGAGAAGAGGUUUUACAAAUACCCCACAAACACCACAUGACAAGUACUCUCACGAUACAAUUUUCCCUAGGUGUUUAGCCCCCGCGGUGGACCACAAAUUGGCCUUGUUCAAGAUGCUGGCGAGCAAGAUUGGCGGUGGAGCACUCUUGUGAUGGAAAACACACGCGUUUCUCUCAUUCCAUAUAGUCCAGAAGACAAGCAUGGUGAAGGAGGCCAAGGCCUUUCUAUCAGGGUUGCUCGUGUCGGAUCUCUUCGCCCAAGACAAACAUGUAACUAACAUUCACGGGGUUAAUAACAUCUCAAGCAUGUUAUUUAUGACUAGUCCAGCCUACUUUGCCAUCCUGUACGUCUAUGUUUUUAAGGCGACGCCUUACCGCCUUAGGGAGGGGGGGCGCUUUGGCGCCUAGGCGACGCCUAGGCGGGCGCUUUGGACGCCUAGGCGCCCAAAGCGGUCGAUUUUCCAAAGCGGAGGGGGAGCGCUUCGACGCCUAGGCGUCGCCUAGGCGUCGCCUUACGGACGCCUUUAAAACAUAGCUGUACGUAUUUAUGAGUCAAACAGUUCACAUGUGUAGACAAAGGGACAUGAUCCUGAGUCCACAUAUUUGGCCACGUAGGUAAGGAGCAUUAUUUUUUAAACAUAAUAAUCCGGUACUAUGCACAAACAUUUGCAAAUCCUCCUAAUUUGCACUACAUGCGUUGAAUUAAAUGGUAAAAACAAUGUAUAAAUUGCAAGCCUUUUUAUCUUUCCUAGUAAAAGCAAAUAGUGUGGAGAUGUAAAUGAGGCCUGAAAGUAACAGAAAGAAAAGACAGUGAGGGAUCCAUACGGAGUACUUUUUGUAAGCUCUCGCAUAUACUCUUUCCACAUUUCAUGCAUUGGCUUAUAGAGGUCAAACCUGCAAGAAUAAUAAUCACAUGUAAAAACUGCAUAACUCCAAAGAUACCCCAUGUGGGGAUCUUAGCAAGGAUAUAAAUAUUUCAGUCAUAUCAUGAAAAUGUGAUGAUAGGAGAAGAAAACUUAUACUAAACCUGAACAAGGAUUACCUGCGGAAUGUAUCAUGUAAAUCAAAUGACCCACAUUUCUUAUGUUGCUUCAGUGACAUGUGCCUUUUUGAUCGCUUCGAGUGGAUCAACAAAGAUCGUGAUUGUGCAUCCACUAAUAUAGGACCCCUUUGAACAUAGUUAUCCAAAAGAAUCCCUCUAUCCAACUUUAACUUUUUCGAUCCCUUGGAAAUUUUCCCGGCUUCUCCACCUUUCUGAAUUAUAUCAUAUAUGACAUUUUGAACUACGUCUGUGCUGUCGGGAUCCUACACCAAAGUUCACCCAAAAAAUAUUAAAGGAUAUUUCAAACCAUAUAAAGUUAAAUUUGAGACCAUAACACAUACCAUGGGUACUUACCGCAUAGUCAUCUUGGGACAAAUUUUCAUGAAGAGCAAAUGAAAUCUCAGAGUAUAUAGGGUUGAUUUCUCCACCUAAAAGGUCAAAAAGCUAUCAGUUAAUUUCAGGACAAAGUCACACGCACACACAGAUAUAGGUUUACCUGAGGAGGCAGAAGGCUUUUGUUGAUGACUGGAGUUUCCUUGAGCUGAGAAGCAGCAGCAGCAGCAGUAUAAGACAAAUUGGGGACGUAUAUAAAAUGUGCACUAAUGAAAUGGAGAAUGAUGAACAAAAAUAAAAAUAAAAAUAAAAACCUCUAAAUUUAGGCAGCUGGCCAGAAGUUCGAGGAGUGGAUUCAGGAGUUUUUCCUUUCCUCUGUGCAUCAAACUUGGGCUUGGGGGUACUCUCUUUGGUCUUCGGGCACUUGGGCUGUUCAUCUUGCAGCUUCUUAGCUUUAGCUGCUGCAUACCGUUGUUGAAUAGCUUCUAAGGUCCGUUUCUUCUGAUCAGAAAUAGUUGACAUUGAUCCUACGCCAGAUCUGAGAUUAAAGCAAGCUAAGAGCAGUGGUGGGGACAGGAACAAAUCAUAGGGUGUGCCACCUUAAAAAAAUCGACAUCACACGAGUAAUACGAAAUUGACCAAAUGAGCAAUAUAAAUAGUUUAAUCAUGUCUCACAGCAAUAGAGUUCACUAUAUAUGUUUGAAAUUUGCAACUACCAACUAGCUCUGAAGACUGAACAUUGAAGUAGUGAAAGUCUGAAAGAGUAGUUUCUAAUCACACUAACGGACUAACCAGUGAGCCAGGAUUAAAGCAAACCCCGGGCGAAUUUUUUCCCGUCAACAUGGAAAACUUUGGCACUUAUAACACCCCCAAAAUAUCCCAUAACAUUCCAGAAAAAUACCUAGUGUGAAAAACAUACAAAAUAAAGCUCGAUUUCUCAAUAAAUCUAGAAUUUAACCCCCGGUGCUUAUAACAAUCUAACAAAAAAAGAUAAAACAUGACAAAACUACAGGUCAUCUAGACAUGCGACAAUCAGACAAUGCAUACACCAAUUUCUAUUUCCGCAAAAUGAAUCAAUUCGAGUUCCAUCAACAGAUUACACAUACUCACAUAACACUGUAUUCCAUUUUAAUUUCAGUUCAAAAUUUAAAUCAUCUAUGCACUGUGACAAUCAGACAAUCCAUACAUCAAUUCGCCAAAGACAAAAUUACCAGCGAGAGGAGGGGCGCCGCGGCAGCAGUAGGCACCAGCAGGCCACACAGUCAAGCAACACACAGCUGGCGGCGAAAGAAUCACGGAGCGGGGGCGCAGCGGAGGAGGCCGUCGUCGCCUCGUCGGCUGCUCAGCUCGUUCAGCCGUUCAGGUCUUCAGGGUGUCACUGCUCUCCAGAUGUAAUGGACAAGACGGCAAGACUGCUCGGAGUUCUCACCGGAGGUUGCCAAGUUCGAAGUCAGGCACCGGCGCUCCGCGCUCCGCGGGCCGCCGCCGAGCCGAGGGUGAGGACGGGGGAUGGGGACAGGCGAGCAAGAGCAAGGGGAGGGGUAUCGAGCCGCCGGGACCCGGGGCAGUAGUGGAGGCGAGGCAGCCGGUAGUGAGGACGGGGGGCGAGGCUGGGGAGCAAGGGGAGGUGCGAGGUGGGGCGCCAGUCGUAGAGACGGCGGCGGAGGGAGCGGCGUUCGGCGACUUCGUUCGACAGGGCACGGCCGCACGGUGACGAUCUGACGGGCCUCCAGGGCUAAUAGGAAUCGCCUACAGACGACGACAAACGGGCCGCCCAUUAGUGCCGUUUUUUCGUUGCGCGCUGUACGUUCACUCUGCUCAGUUUUCUUCGGGUUCUUUGAUUUUUCAUCAUCUGUUUUCUUCCGUUUUACUUUUUUAUUUUACUUUUGGUUUUCUUUGUUUUCUCGUUGUUUUUAUUUUGAAAAACGUUUAUUCUAAGCUGACUGAACUUUGCCUGGCUUAAACCGCGCCGCUAGCCGUCCAAUGCACUUUGAUCGCGCGACGCCAGCUGUGGACGUAGUUGGUGUCCACACACCCACGCGUCCCCACGGGUCCCACCAACCGCUCUCUUAUCACCACAUGGUAUGUGUGGUAAGUAAUUUCAUACUUCAGUUCAAAAAAAAAAGUAAUUUCAUACUUGAAAUGAUGUCGUUGAGUUAUGAGGCUUAAUUUAAGUGGUGAUAGAUAGUAGAAAAUAGAAUUAGAUGAAAAAUACAAAAUAAAAAACCCGCUCUCUUAUCUUCUUAUCCUCUAGCGCGACCCCAUGAGCCACCAUUCUCUCCAUUUUUCCCCAAGGGUCCCACCAACCGCUUUUGUCGAAUACCAUCAGUGUUGUGUUGAAGCUGCCGCACGCUGAGUAAUGUUGUGGCCUUGCUACGGUCGUAUAGCCACCAGCACACAAAUCUAACGGUUGGUUAGGCGGAUGACUCAGCCGCCUUUUAUUUUUUUGGUUUUCUUUCUUCAUUAUACUUUGUGUUUUUGUUUCCUUCUUGGGUUUCUUUGCUUUUAUUCCUGUUAAUUUGUCGGUUAUUAUUGUUUUACUCUCUUCGUUUCUAAAUAUUUGUCUUUCUAGACAUUCAAAUGGACUACAACAUACGGAUGUAUGUAGACAUAUUUUAGAAUGUAGAUUCACUCAUUUUAUUUCGUAUGUAGUCGCUUGUUGAAAUCUCUAGAAAGACAAAUAUUUAAAAACGAAGGGAGUAUAUGUUAAUACAUGUCUACUGUUUUCUCAUUACACAAUGUACAUUUUUAGAGCACUUGUUAAAAAAUUGGUACACAUUGGACAUUUUUCAAAUACAUGGUCUACAAUUAUUUAAAAAUACAUCCUUUGAACACUUUUUCAAAUACACAAUACCAUUUUCGAAAUACACAUGGCACAUUUUUGAAAAUCUCAGACAUUUCUUAGAAACACAUGAUUAUUAUUUUAAUAAAAAUGUGACAUACAUUUUUAAUGAAAACAAACAUUUUUUUAACUACAUGAACAUUUUUUUACAUUGUACCAACUCCGCUACAAAAUAAGUGUCGUUGCUUUAGCAUGGGUGGAGUAGUACAUUUAAAAAAAAUGUCAUGAAAGUUUUGUUGAAAUGGCGGAAUAUUUUCAUAAAAUGUCACAUACAAUUUUUGAAUGGUUCGAAACAUUUUUCACAUUAUGCAAACAUUUUUUUUACAUUGUAUACACAUUUUUAUCAAAAAUGCAUAUAUAUUUUUGAAACACGGGGACAUUUUUUCGUUUUCACCAACAUUUUCUUGAAAGUUACCAACAUUUCUUAAAACUGCGCUUAUAAUUAUUGUAUACCAUGUUAAUUGUUUUAAUUCGUCGUUUUUAAAUUCCUUAAGUAAAUUAAGUUCUUGAAAUAUAUGCAUUUAAAUUAUAAGUAAAAGAAAAAAUUGAGUGACGACAGUUUUUGCAGAGCCAUGUCCUACUGGGCUGGCAUCCUGUAGGCGAGGAUAGUAGUCUGACGGGCUAGAAUAGAGCAAUCCUCGUUGGGCUGUAAGCCUGUAUGGGUUUUUCUAGGCUGGCUUUUUAUACAAGUUUUUCUAGGCAAGCUUAUAUUAUAAGACGUUCACCAAUACAGGACAUUUUAUACAGGCUUAUAUUAUAAGACGUUUUUCUAGGCUGGCUUUUAUGUUGAAUCUAAAAUGUCCUAUACUGGCUUUUUAUUUUAAACUCAACAUACAAGUUUCUAAAACGUCUUAUAUUAUGAACAUAUGAAGUAUUUAUCAAAAUAAAAAUCCCCAAAAAUCUGAGUAAAGCCUAUGAAACCCUUUUUCUGAUUAAAGCAAGCUAAAAUACUGGGAGGCGAUUUGUAACGUCGGUGCAGGGACACGCAUCCCCCUUUCCCUUUUGGCUUUUGAUUUUUAAUAUUUCAUGUUUUUGAACAAAAAUUUCAAAUAAAGUUGAAUAUUCAUAUCUUUGUUUCUGAUAACGAUGGUUUUCAAAUGUGGUCCAUUUUGAAUAAUUUUUUAUGAGUUUUAAAAUUUUUGUUAAAAUUUCAAUUUAUGAAGAGAGAAUUACAUCUACAGUAACUGAACUUGACUCUAGGGUUCACUUUGGUCACUGUAUUCACGAAAUCGCAAGUUACGGUCACGGGGCUCGCUGAACCGGGUCAUUAUACGGUAACCCAUACCAUUUCGGCUCGUAUCGGCCCGAUUUGACCAGAAAACCGCUUUGACUCGCCAGCUGGACAUGGCACGUCGAUAGAACUUAAAGAAGCGAGCGGCGACCGAGCUAUUUUGCAUUUCCCCCCCUGUUCGGUCGAGACGCUUCACCUUUUCAUCGACGCCUCCGAGGCAGAGGAGAAGAGAAAGGAAAGGGGAGGCAAUCGCGGUGCUGAUCGGCUAGGGUUUCGUCGCCACCGGCAGAGGCAUCCACCGACGGAGCGACGACGGCCAGAGGGUUCGUCGACGACUUGAACCAUGGCGCCUCGUCGCCGAGUAGAAGGAGACCCACCACCCGUGUAUGGUAAGCCCCUGUUUCCUCCCUGAACCUCCCUAAUCGAUUUGAGGUCGAUUAGGUGGUUGCACGCUCUUAUUUGCCUUGAGAUUUUGACAUUACUGCUAGGGUUUUUGUUCUGCUAUGGAUUUGAGGCAGUUAAUCUAGGGUUUUAUGUAAAUCUGCAGACGAAAUUGACUACUUAUCAAACUUCAGUCUUUGCAUCAAUUUUGGUGGUUAUUUCCUUGGAGUUGGUAAAAAUCGUGCAUAUGUCAAUGGAGAAAACAUGUGGUAUGAUUAUGUUGAGGGGGAUACACUUACUGUGGAGAAGUUAGAAGAUCUGGUAGAAGAAUUAGGCUAUGAAGUGAAGGGAAGAUUGCAAAUGUAUUACUGCAUGCCUGGUAAACCAAUGACUGAAGGUGGUCUUGUGAAGAUAACUUGCAAUGACAACUAUAUUAACAUGAGGGCACAUGUAACAUUUGGGCACAAGUUUUUGCAAAUGUAUCUUGAUCAUGAUGAGAGCUUCAGGCAGUUUGACUGGGAUGAUGUGAUAGAGUUUCCUGUAGCAGACCUGCCUACUGUUGUUAGUCCUAUCAAACCAAUUCAGAUCAUUAAGGAGGAAGCACUAGAGAAAGGCCAAGAAUAGGAGAAUGCAACCAGAGGAGGUAAUAGCAAAGAAAGGAGGAAAAAAGAUUACAAGACAUGGCACAAUUAUUCAUUGCAGCCAUUGCAACAAUCCUGGACAUAAUAAGAAAGGAUGCUCUGCCUUCAAGCAAGGCCUACCUGCAGCAAAACCUAUGCAGAAGCAAAUGAGGAAGAGGCCAAGAGCAACAUUUGAAGAAUAAGAACAUGAACCUACUUUGUCACAGGUAACAUUUCCAAAUAUUUCAGUGCUCGAUACAUCCAUUUUACCUUGUGGUUAAUAUUUCAGUGCUCGAUACACCCAUUUUACCUUGUGGCUAAUAUUUCAGUGCUCGAUACAUCCAUUUUACCUUGUGGCUAAUAUUCCAGUGCUUGAUACACCCAUUUCACCUUGUGGCUAAUAUUUCAGUGCUCGAUACACCCAUUUUACCUUAUGGCUAAUAUUUCAGUGCUCAAUACAUCCAUUUUACCUUGUGGCUAAUAUUUCAGUGCUCGAUACAUCCGUUUUACCUUGUGGCUAAUAUUUCAGUGCUCAAUACAUCCAUUUUACCUUGUUGCAAAUGUGUAGGCUACAACACAAGAACAAGCACCUGGACCAUCAAUGACACAGGCAAGUGAGGAGCCUGUUGUCACACAGGAACAUGACAUGCCUCCAAUUGGAGCUCUUCAUCCACAUUCAAUGAUGGAAAUCAUGAGAAAUGAGGUAUGUCCAUUGAACCUUGUUAAAAAUAGGAUCUUGCUGUGAAACAUUUCUCAUGUUUCACUACUGUUACAGGCUCCUAUACAAAGGAAAAGAAAGAUGCCAGGACCAUUGCCUGAAAGCUCUUUCCUUAAAGAAGCUAGAGAUGCAAUGCCAUCUGUAGGCAGCAUCACUGUAACAAGAUUAGGAAAUCUUGCAGCUAGAGUUGAAGUGAUGAGGGAGGCCAAACAGCAAGCCAAUGAACCUUUCAGUAUUGUAUGCUUUUGAACUACUUAUGUGUGUUAUCAAGGAGCUAUGAAUGACCAGUUUCUGCUACAGUAAAAUGCAUGUUCAGUUCAGUACUGUUCUGUGUUAUCAACUGCACAUUUUCAAAUUUCAGUCUUGUUCCUUCUUGUCAGUGUUCAACAGUCAAAUGCAUGUUAUCAAAUGCAAAAUGUCUGAUCAGUUCAUGCCAUAUAAUAACAUUUUCCACUUCUCUAAUUUGCAACAGCAAAAUUAUCUCCACAAAUAUUACUGGCACAAAGGUUUGUAUUACCACUCACAUCAAACAACACAAAAGUCUACUUCUCACUUAGUGCAACAAUUGCCAACAUUGACAUCACUCACAUCCUAACUAGAACUAACACUAACACAAAGAGAAUUGCAAAUAGCAGUACAACUACUAUCUUCAUUACAACAACCAAGUCUGCAACAUCUCCUGGAAGUGAUUUUAGCAGCAGCAGCAUCUUCAUCAUAUCUUCAGGAUCCACUUCUGUCGUGUUCUUCUUUUUCUUCAUCUCUACUACUUUACUAUCCACAGAUGCACCACUCAGAUGUCCAUGUUCCUUCAAAUAAUCAAUAUAACUAGCUUCCCAGUGCCAAAAGUUGCAAGGUUGCUUCCCUACCUAUUUGACAAAAUCAAGAACAUAUCUCAAAAUCAAAUCAAGAACCAAUCUAAAAAUCAAAUGAAAAGGGAAGCAGAGUUAACAACAACAUCCAGUAAAUGUUCUUGUACUAACCUUAUGAUUCAUACACUUGUACAAGAUCCACCCAGGAUGCUUUUCAGUGGUCGACUCAAACCGCCUAAUCUGGCGAAUCUUGCAAUCGGGGCAUUGGAUCUAAGGGAGCCAACCCGCACCGGCCCCCGAUGAGCUACCCGCGCCGAACAUGGCGGCUGAAACCAAUUUGUCGUCGCAAUUUGACGAGAGGUAAGGGGAGCAGAGGAUGCAGCUGUUGGAUUCGAGCGAGAAGGAAGGAGAUGAGAGAUUGCGCUAGGGAUUUAGCAGGCGGAUGAGGGGAACGAGAGGGGAAUCGGCUGAGAAGAAACCCUUGAGGUGUCCUGUUGAAAGGACCACGAUGUCGCCUAGAGGGGGGGUGAAUAGGCGUUUUAAAAUCUUUUACGGAUUUUGCUAUAUCCUAAUGCAGAAAUAAACUAAGCGGAUACUUUUCAAGCACAAAUCCAAAAUAUACUAGGCUCACUAAGUGUACCAACAACUUAGCAUAAACAAGAUGAGAACAACGAGGAUAUGAGUAAGCAGAAGUAAGUUAUAAGUUACACAAACUUACUCAAUGUACAUCACGAGAGAUGGAAAUGAAUAAUACACUCACCCACAAGUAGGCAAUACAAGCUUACACAAAUUUUAUCACAAUAUAUGGAAUUGAAUGAUACAAGCAAACUCAAGUAAGCACUACAAGCUUACACAAGAUAUGUCACAAGCUAGCAAUUCGCACUAAAUACAAGAUAGAACAAUAGUAGGAAGUAUGAAUUGCGGACUAUAAAGUGUUGGCCUAAAUAAUCUCUACGAUAUGGUAACCAACACAAUAUAAUGAGGACAACAAGAAUAGUGAAUGCACGGUCAAGUGACCAAGGUAAACCACAAGUAAAGAGUUAGGGUUAGGGAUAACCGAAGUCACGGAGACGAUGAUGUAUCCCGAUGUUCACUUCCUUGGAGGGAAGCUAGUCCCCGUUAGAGAGGUGGAUGUUACCACGAAGGCACACUGAUGCCACGAAGGCUCACCCUAUUCUCCUUGAGAUAUCACCACGAAGGCGAUUCCCAACCACUAGUGGUAGACCUUGAGGUGGCCUCCAAACCUUCACAAACUUUCCGGGGGACAAAUCACAAGUUGAUUCCUCACUGGAGCACUCCUACCGCCUAGGAGUCUCCAACCUCCAAGAGUAACAAGAUCAAGGGGGAAAUGCUCAAGACUUGCUCAGAUCAUGAAUUCCUUUGGUCAAGAGAAGGAGAGGAAGUGGAUCUUCACUUGAGUGGAAUCUAUCUCAAGAACUCUCACAAAUCUCUCCGGGAUCUAAGAUUUGAGGUAGGAGAAAGGAGAGGAAGCUUUUCUUCAAGUGUCGGUCAAGAUAGUUGUGUUGCUCAACCCCUCCACGAAGUAGUGAAGGGGUAUUUAUAGUGUGGCCCCAAAUGGCCGUUGGGGCAGAAUUCUGCUCAGGAAAGUGUCGGACGUCCGGUGGCAAAACAGGCACCGGACGUCCGGUGGAACACCGGACGUCCGACGGCUGUAGCAUGCCAUCAGAUGAAUGUAUCAGGAUAUUUGCGAAACAGGUUUGACGGACGUCCAACAUUUUUCGGACGUCCGUUACUUACCGGAUUUCCAUCCGUUUGAUUCUGGAUUGGCGCACCAGAUUUCCAGACGUUACCGGACGUCCGGCCAAAAUAACAGUAGGAACCCCAAAACUAAAACAUGCAUAACUUUCACAUUCGGACUCCGAUUUGGAUGAUCUUGGGCUCGUUUUGAAGCUAUGGAAAAGCUCCAAGUCCUCAGAUAGAGAACCACCCAAAAUAAACCAAAAUGGAGGGUUCAUAUUAUGCAAAGGUUAGAUCAUAUAUUUUGGGAAACUAUUUGGCUUUGGCUUUUCUUUGGUAUAUAGGAUAUGACUGGAAUUGUGUAUUGAAGAUGUUGACUUGAGCAAAUCCAUCACAAACCCCUUUGAUCCUCUCUUAAUAGUGCGGGAUCCCUAUAACUCAAGAAUCAUAAAAAUAGCUACACUACAUAGCUAUCAAGAAUCCUUUCUUCAGUGUAUAUGUUUCUUUGGUGGUCAUCACUCCACAACACUAACGUCAAAGGAACUAAUACCUUUGACAUGAGCCGUUCACUUGAGCUUGAUGUUGAUGUUUCUUCUUGGCUCAAGAUGAAGGCAAGACAUUGGUGAAGUCUUCAAGUCUCUCCCCCAUACACAAUGUGGGGAAGCUUUGCUUUGUAUUCAUCUUCACUUGUCCAUCAUGUGAUCAUCCACAAGCUUCAAGCAUGUAAUCCUUUGGGAUGGUUAUCUUGAACUUGCCCUUGUCAACCAUGAUCACCAACACUUGAUGGAAUCCUCUCAUGGACACUUGAAAUCUCUUUCUCGAUGCGAGCCCAUGAGAAUCACCAAACCCUCAAAAACAUAGACAACACAUAGUAUGGGUUAGUACAUAGAGUGCAAUUGAUAAUAUCUUAUCAUACCACAAGAUCCUAUGUGGUGCAUCAUUUGGCGCUCGUGUGUUGAUCAUUUAGAGUUCGAUCUUUGAGCUUCAUCUUGGUCAACCUAUAUCUCUACUCCAUGUUUAAUCUUGAAGUCUUGAAGGGUAUAUUGAAUUCUUCACUUGAAUAGCUUGCUUGAAUACUUGAUCAAUCAUGACUCAACACAUGAGUCCAUUAUGAUCAUAUCUUUGAGCCACUCCUAGAGUUCAUCAUUCAAAUCAUCCUUUUAAGAUCUUGAUCCAUUAUGGAUCAAACCAUUGCUCUAAGCAUGGCAACCCUUAAGAUACUCCAAUGAACUUCAUUUUGAUCAUCUCAAUGUAAUUGUUGCUUCAAAGGAGUUGUCUUCCAUUAUUAUUCAAUCAUAUUCCUAUGGGACUAACCUUCAAAUGUAUAUCUUAAUGAAAACAUUAGUCCAUAACGAUUGUCAUUAAUUACCAAAACCACACAUGGGGACAACAUGUACUUUCAAUCUCCCCCAUUUUGGUAAUUGAUGACAAUCUCAACAAGAGGGUUCAUAUAAUGAAUUUUUAAACAAGCACGCAAUUUUGGUAGCAUCAAUUAUCCACAAAGAAACUUGAUGAUAUCAAAACCGGUUGUACUAACAUCAAAACACUACACAAGCAUUUGAUGUUAGUAAGACCGCAAUAUAUAGAGUAAGCUCCCCCACAAUAUAUGCAUGUGUGAAUGAACUUUGAAUUUCAUUGCAUAUAUUGGUUGAUAUAAACUAGUUUGAGAUUUCUCUAUAUAUUCAUUCAUGCAACAAGCAUAUAUUGUCACGCUGCGACCCUAUCCAAAAGGAACUCGAAGGUCCCACCAAGGAUAGACCCGCAUAUUGAAACGCUUUUGCAAGGUGGAUAUCAUUACAUCAACAUUACAUAAUAGAUGGGGAUACAUACAAAAGACAUACAAUGCCACACGAAUACAACAUCAUCUUACAAGAGAUCAACAUCCGACUACGGAUGGAACACAAACAGAAACUCAAACGACAUCCACCCUGCUAGACCAGGCUACCGACCUGGAACCUAUCCCCUGAUCGAAGAAGAAGCAGAAGCAGAACUCCAAAACAAGCAAACAUCGCUCUCGCGUCAAGAUCAUCGCGAAACCUGUACCUGCAACUGUUGUUGUAGUAAUCUAUGAGCCACAGGGACUCAGCAAUCCCAUUACCAUGGGUAUCAAGACUAGCAAAGCUUAAUGGGAAAGGAAGGGGUAAAGUGGUGAGGUUGCAGCAGCGGCUAAGCAAAUAUGGUGGCUAACAUAUGCAAAUAAGAGCGAGAAGAGAACAAGCAGAACGGUCGUAAAGCUAGCAAUGAUCAAGAGGUGAUCCUUAACUCCUACUUACGUCAGACAUAACCCAGAAACCGUGUUCACUUCCCGGACUCCGCCGAGAAGAGACCAUCAUGGCUACACACGCGGUUGAUGCAUUUUAAUUCGGAUCUGGUGUCAAGUUAUCUACAACCGGACAUUAACAAAUUCCCAUCUGCCCAUAACCGCGGGCACGGCUUUCGAAAGUUUAAACCCUGCAGGGGUGUCCCAACUUAGCCCAUGAUAAGCUCUCGCGAUCAACGAAGGAUAUACCUUCUCCCAGGAAUACCCGAUCAGUCUCGGAAUCCCGGUUUACAAGACAUUUCGACAAUGGUAAAACAAGACCAGCAAGACCGCCCGCUGUGCCGACAAAUCCCGAUAGGAGCUGCACAUAUCUCGUUCUCAGGGCACACCGGAUGAGCAAGACAUCGGGUUGGCAUAGACCCUGGUUGCCCAGGGGGCGCCGGACAUCGCUCGGUUUGGACCAACACUUAGACAAGCAUUGGCCCGGGGGGGCUAAAAUAAAGAUGACCCUCGAGAGGGUGACUCCCAAGGGAAAAGUAUAGGUGGUGGUGAGGCAAAUGGUAAAACCAAGGUUGGGCCUUGCUGGAGGAGUUUUAUUCAAAGCGAACUGUCAAGGGGGUCCCAUAAAUCACCCAACCGCGUAAGGAACGCAAAAUCCGGGAACAUAACACCGGUAUGACGGAAACUAGGGCAGCAAGAGUGGAACAAAACACCAGCCAUAAGGCCGAGUCUUCCACCCUUUACCAAGUAUAUAGAUGCAUUAAUUAAAAUAAGAGAUAUUGUGAUAUCCCAACAUAAUCCUGUCCACCAUGGAGCAAUCUUCAACUUCACCUGCAACUAGCAAUGCUAUAAGAGGGGUGAGCAAAGCGGUAACAUAGCCAAACAAUGGUUUGCUAGGAAGGGUGUCAAAGGUUAGAGGUUCAUGGCAAGUUGGGAGGCUUGAUGAGAAAAAGAUAGGUAGCGCAGCAAAGCGAUAGAACGAAGCAACUAGCAUAGCAAUGAUAGUAGUGAGAUCCAGGGUAGCGGUCAUCUUGCCUGAAAUCCCGCUAGGAAGAAGAACGAGUCCAUGAAGAAGACGAACGGAUGAAGCCACGAAGACAAACCAAGCGUAGAUGAAUGAAUCCUCACGAUCGCAACGAUACAAGAACUAUCGAAAAGAAGCACACAACAUGGUAAACACACCACACAUGAACAAGGCAUGAUGCACAACAAGCAUGAUGCAUGGCAAAGCUACAUGAAGCUACUCAUGGCAAGAGAUGAUGCAAACAAGAACAACACAUCAAGGCAAGUUUAAAUGAGUCCGGCAACAACAUAUAACUAUUCCGGUAAGUCCUCAUAUGCAAAUUUUCGAAAUUGGUCCAUAUCUGAAUAAACCUUAUGUUCAAGUUGUUAAACAGCAAGUUAAGAUGCACCAAGAUGAUCUACAUGAGAUUCUAGUCAAGUUACAUAUAAAGUUCAUUAGAUUUGGAGCUACGGCCUAGAAGAUAUGAGCAAAACAAGUUAAACAUGGCAUUGAUGCAAAAUGCAUACAAACAUCAAGCAAACACCUCAAAACAAGGAUGCAACAUGAUAAUAUGAAACUACAUGCAAAAUCAAGCAAGUUUCAUAUAGAGCACACUCAAAACGGGGCAACGGUGCAACACAUACGCACUAUACAAGUUAUAGCAACAAUCUGUCCAAAAUAGCAACUAGGCAUAUUGCAAGCAUCAAAACAACAAGCUACAACAUCUCAACGUAAUAACAAAAGGCAUGGGCAUGAAGUACAGGUAAAGCAUAACAAAACAUGAACACUGAGAUAUCUCCAGAAAUCACUAGAAUAUGCUCAAAAUGACAUGGCAAGAUUGCAAAUAAUAACAGUUUCAGACAUAUCAGGAAAUAACAUCAGGUUGUAAUGUUUAGAGCUAUCAAACAACAUGUUACAGGAACUUAUCAUGGCAAACAAAGGCAUGUCAUGAAUCUACUAAUUGCAUAUAACAAAAGUCUCUUACUGACCAAGAGCCAAAAAGGCACAGAAAAUAUGAUGGCACCCAUGUAAACAUGACAAGUUAUAUGACAGAUUCAUACAUGGCAGGAACAACAAUAAGUAGGCAUGUUGGUGAGCUUGAACCACUCAGUACCGAGCAAUAAAUGGCAUGGCAAGGCAACCAACAGGAAGAAGACAUGUUUAUGAAGCAAAGCAUGUCAAGAGCAAGUUCAUAGAGUGCAUGGAUCACUAGGAAAUCACAUGGCAAAACUGAACUUCCUGUUAACAGGCUGACAGCAACAUCAUUUAGCAACUUUGGAGCAAGAUAUGAACAAUGUAAAGCAAGCUAUAAAUGCAACAAGGGGCAUGGAUGGAUAGCUCAUAACCAUAUGUACAAAACAUCCUUAAUGAAGUAUCUCAAAAUAAGCAUGGAUCUCUCUGUAGCAUCAAGUUUACAUGGCAUAAAAAUAACAGCAGAACAGGGACUGAAAUCAGCAACAUCACGAGGCCUAGUUUAUAUGCUUGUGCUAGUCACCACAUUAAUCAAACAAAUACAUGGCAUACACCCCUGGAAAGAUGGCAUGGCAUAUAUCGAAACACAUGUAGACAUCAACCUCAUAGGAUGCACACAUCAAACAUGGCAAAAAUGACAAAUGAGCAUGUUAUAAUAGUUUCAGCAGAUUAACAGCAACAUGCACUCUUGUAACGAUGAUUCAGGCAUCAAGAUGGACUCAAAUGAACAUGAUGCAAUGGAAUGAAAUGAAGUACUCGUCGAGGCGAACAAUUUGAUAUGCUACACGCCCAAAACGGAGUCACAGGUGCAGAGUUAUGACGCGAUGAAAAUGUAACAAAAUGUUACAGAGAAAAAGGACUUAGACGAAAUAUCACCUCCCGAAAAUCAGAUCUAGGGUUUCGGGGCACGGAUCCCGGCGGCGCGAGGAAGAGGAAGACUAGGGUUAGACCGAGAAUUUCGGGGAGGCACACAUAUUUAUAGGUAGAGGGAGCUAGGAGAGUCCAAAUGAGGAGCGGUUUUCGGCCACGCGAUCGUGAUCGAACGACCGAGAGCAUGGAAGAGACUUAGAUGGGUUUUGGGCCACUUUGGAAGGGGUGUUGGGCUGCACACAAAAGAGGCCUUUGCGGUUACCCGGUUAACCGUUGGAGUCUCAAACGACCUCCAAAUGGCACGAUACCUGACAGGCGGUCUACCGGUGCUACACCAAGGCCGCUUGGCAAACCUUGGGCCAUUCCGAGAAAGUUUAACACCCGUACACGCAAAGAGGCAAAAGGGGAACGCCGGAGGACAUAGGAGUGCCGGGUCGCAAAACGGACAACGGGGAAAAUGCUCGGAUGCAUGAGACGAACACGAAUGCAAUGCACAUGAUGACAUGGCAAAAUGCAACACACAAGCACAUGACAUGGCAACGACGGCGAAUAACUGGAAGACACCUGGCGCAUCGAAUCCGGGGCGUUACAUAUAUAACUAGGGUGAAUAGCAUGAAUGACAACAAGAACUUCAAAAGAUAUUUAUUCUAAACCCUCGAAACUUCUCCCCCAUUGGCAACAAAUGCCAAAAUGGAAGACAAAACUUCUAGAAGACCAAUAUAGUAUGAGUUCCUCAUUGAUGUGUGCAUAUCACAAGAUGUGAGUGAACGCAAAUGCACAUAUUCAAUAAUGAACAAUUUGAGGAGGAAUCUAUAGAAUGCAACUAGAUAUGAAGAUAUGAAAACAAGCAUAAGACAUGUGAGGAAAACAGUCAAAACACAUGAGUGCACAAGAUUAUAUGCCAAACAUACAAGCACUCACGUCACAACCUCUUACCUAAGCCACCAUAAGAAUAAGAUGAAACAAACAAAGUGGCCAGUAAGGAAUAAAUGAUAUCAAGGAAAGAUAUGAACUUUCACAUGUAUAAAAAAUUCUGAGUGGCCAAUCAUAAUCAUGAUAUGUAUCUGCAAAGAAACUUUGCAAACACAAAAUAGAUGCAAUUGAUAAGAACAUGAUAUACAGAAGUGAAUCCAUUAUUAUACAACUGAAACCUAGUGAUAAUAGCAAGGCACAUGGUACAAAGCACAUGGCACAAAUUGAUCUCAUUUGCAUAACACAAAGUGAAGCAAGCAAUCAAAUGAUCCAAUGAGCCAAAAGGAUAAAAGAAUAUUAUGAUUUGGGCAAGUGAGUGUUCUAAGUAAAAUAGAGAAGCUCCCCAUGAUUUCUGCACUAUUUAGAAUUUUUGUAUUUGGAUACAAGUGCACAAAAUAGGAUCAUCACUCCCCCAAAAUCAAUAGGAACACAAAACAAUUUCAAGCAGGCAUAGAUAAGAAAAGAAGCCUAGCAUUUGCAACAAACAUAUGGUUGAGCAACAUGUAAAUGAGGCAACCUAAGAAUAGGCACAACCAAAAUGAUGUGUGUGAGUCACGUCAAAGCACUUGAGAAGACUACUAUAAGGAUGAGAAUUAAGCAUCAACAUAGCCUUGAGUAAAUGAGAUACAAGGUGCAAGGCAUGUCCUUCCCCCACACAUGAAGUUAAGAAGGUCACACACACAUCAAGCAAAUGAGUUCACAAGCUCACUAAUAGCAAACUAAAAAUCAAAGUUUGUGACAACCCAUGAUGAAGAUAGGAAAUAAUAGGCUUGUCAAGACAAGCAUGAGGAUAACAAUCUUCACCAAACAUGAGUGCACUAAGAUGCAAAGAGGUAAGACAUGUACUCAUUCAACAAAUGCUUCCAUGGAGCCACCAAAAAGAUAUAAAAAGUGAAUGAAAUGGUGGACAUUAAAGAAUAGGGAUAUCAACUAGGGAUGUAAAUUCUCUCACGUGUAUAAGAUACUAGGUAGAUGAUAUCCACAAAGAAGGAUGGACACAUAAAAUAGUUACAAAAGGAAGGAAUAAGAUAUCCAAAUGGGAGUCAUAAAAUAUACCAAUGAGAUCUUUGCUUGAAAGCAUAGCACAUGCCUUAAUAUAAUCUUAUUGUAUAUUAAAAACUCCAAACACACAACCAUCAAAGACAUCACAACUAGCAACAAGAGAUCAUUGUUGGGAUGCUUUGAGAAAGGAAACAAGUAUCACAGGAACGAGUCAAGAAAUUCAUGCCAUGAUGCAACCUACACAAGGUUGACCCCAUUUCUAUAUAUAUGCAUGAAGUAAAUACUUGUUACCGAGAUAGCAUUGGUAUGAAGUCAUAGAUCAAUAAAAUGUCCAAGCUUGGCUCUAAUUUCCUCAUAGUGCCACCACCUUCAUGAAUAAGCCAAGCACCUAAUGCUUCUCAAAUGUACCUAAAACAUUUUAAGUACAAUAUGGUUCCCAAACUUAUUGGGUCCGAAGUAGUUAGCAUAACUACAACACAUAGGGUAAAACCACUUAAAUAUGUGCCUAUUGAUAUGAAUUUGAAUUUCAUGCACAUCAUAGCUAUUAAGAAUUUGAUGGAUUUAUCAUAUAUAUAUAUAUAUAUAUAUAUAUAUAUAUAUAUAUAUAUAUAUAUAUAUAUUGGAGCAAAUAAGGCAAACAAGGCAUGUGAAUUUACACAUAGUAAAUAUGCAUGCACAAGCCUACCAAAAUCCAGGGAGAUACAAAUUUGACAAACGACCACAUAACCGUUAAUACUUCCAAUAACAUCACUAGUCAUUCAUGUUGUCCAAAAUGAAUCAAAGUGACAAAUCAACAUAUGAUAACACACAAAGUUCAACAUAUGAACCAAGGGAAAAAAACAAUGAGCAUAUAAGAUAUGCAUUGCACACAUACUCAUAGGAAUAUCUCACUCAAGUAGAUAUAGGACACUAUAAACAAUGAGAUAACAAACUCUCAUAUAGAGCAAUAAGAUGAAUUCGAACAAAUGGUAUUUCGGGUUAUCAUUUGGUGUAGAAACCAAAUAAGUACAUGAUCAUCAUGUAAAGAAAUAAUUGGAAUAGCUUUAAUCAAAUGAUUUUCCAAAUAUGAUUUUAAAGAUAACCAUGGGCAAAACCGCACAAAAAUGCCAUACGUAAACAAGACAUUGCAUGCCACGGAGAUAUAAGAUAAUCUCAAAUAUAAAUUCUAAGUGGCAUCCCUCAGUUUUUCAUAUUAACAAGGAUUGUGAUAUGCACAAAGCAUAUCACUCCCCCAUAAUAUGAUGAUCCAUGUAUUAUCCACAAGAAGCAAAUGAAACCCAACUAAGGAUAAUUAAUGGAUGAGAAUUUGAGUUUCAAAUGAGCUUUACAUACCACAUAGUAACUAGAAAAUAUUGUACUAACAAUACUAGGUGGUAUCCCACAUACAUACAUAUUUAAGGUUUGUGAUAUCCGUAAAACAUAGCACUCCCCCAUAAUGUGAUGAUCCAGCCAAGGAAGAUUCAACUAAUGAAGCAAUAAAGGCUUGAAACCACACAUGCACAAAUAUAUGAAGUGCAUUGCGACCUACACAUGCUAGAUAACACAAAUCAAACAUACUAGGAAGCACACCUAUAAAAGCACAUGCUAGGUACAAAACCUAAACAUGCAAGGGACAUAGUAACUUUCAAUGUAAACAAUGCAAGUACAAGUUACUGCAAAGAGGAGCAUUGGAUUGAUAGAUAUGAUGAUAAUCCACUUGACUUGGCAUUAACCACAAAAUAUGGUGAAAAUAGUUUUUCUUCAUGAAGUAGCCAAGUCUCCAAUGCCCUCCACACACCAAUUGAUCAAGUUUGAGCUUGAUGGUCCCCAACCAAGUUGGGUCCUAAGAAGUUAGUAACUAAAUGCUUGGCAACCCAAAUGGUCUUGUCCACUUUCAAACUUCUUUGGGAACCCACAAACUUGGCAAACACAUUGCCAACAAUUUCCUUCCUUAGCGAAUAAUGAUUAUUGACUAUAGGAGGGUUAGAGAUGUUACCGUUGGGACAAGAUGAAGCUAUGUGUCCCUUCUUACGGCAAAUAUAGCAACAUGUGCUUCCCUUUCUCUUCUUCUUUACCUUAUCAACUUGGAGAGCAUUAUCUUGGUUAGGCAUUGGGAAGAGGCCUUUCAUUAUCUUGAUAUUGAACUUGAGGCCACUUCCCUUGAUGCUUCACAUUUGAAGCCUUCUUCUUCAAUGGACAAGAUCUCACAUGGUGUCCAACAUUCUUGCACUUGAAGCAAGCAAUGUUGGCCGAAUUCUUGACUUGAUCUUGUCCCUUAUUCUUGUUCUUGGACUUCUUCUUGUUGGAGAUGAAAUCAAGUCCUAUUUUGUCUUCAGGGUCCUUUUGCACACUCAAGAUAUUAUCACAACAUUUUUCCAAGUCUUUCUUCAAACUAGUGACUUGGGCCUUGAGCUCUUUAUUUUCGUCUACAAGGUUAGUAUUAACAAAAGAACUAGAGGAAGUAGAAGCUUCAUUGUUAGAGCAACAAGGCAUGGUGAGCAAUUCAUUACAAGAUGUACCAAUAUCAUGUAGAAAGGAAUUGCAAGGACUAGCACAUGACAAUAAGGCAUUUCGAGUAGAACAUGUGCUAAUAUCCACAUGAGACUCACAUGUCUUUACCUUGGUGACCAUAGCCUCAUGAGCUAACUUUAACACAUCAUGAGAGAUUAGAAGAUCCUCAUGAGUGCCUGAGAGCUUUUUAUGACUUUCUCCCAAUUUCCCAUAAUUGCUAGUUAGCAAAUCAAGUUGAGUCCUCAGCUUAACAUUUUCUUUUAAUAUCGAUGCUUCACACAAGAUAGAGUUAGUAGCACAAGCAUCACUAUCAAUAUGAGAGGAGCAUGUAGAAGCUAGAGACUCCGCAUGAGUAGCUUGAAGUUCCUCAUGAGACUUAGAGAGUUUGGUGAGCUCUCCUUUGGCCUUCUUGUAGUCAAGGUCAAGGUGCUCAAUUUUUUUUAAGUUUACAAUGAGUAACUUCAAUUUCUUCUUUUAAAGACCUCAAGUCACUAAGACAUUGAUGAGCCAUAGCUAGUUCAUGUUCAAGUUGUUCACUUUUUGCUUGCUCGUAAAGAAAUAAGUCGUUACGUUUUUUAAAGCAAGCAAGAACAUCUUGGAUCCUUUUAUAAGUGUUAUUUUUAGCUCUAUGAAGAGUUUUCCCAAUAUCAUAGAGAUUUUGAGUCAAGACUUCAUCAUCUUCCUCAUUACAACUAUCAUCAUUAUCACUAAGAGAAGAUGAUACCUCGUCAUUACCUCUUGCCAUGAGGCACAUGUGAACACAAGGGGUUGAUGAUGAUUCUUUUAGAGAGGAGGAUUCUUCAUCAAUCAAGCAUGCCUCAUCUUUAUUGAUUUCCUCUACAUGGUUAGUCAUAGAACAACUAGAGGAAACCAAAACAUUUCUAUCAUGGCAACAUGGGAGAUCAAGCAUAUCAUCACAAAUGAGCUUAACACCAUCAUUACAAGAUAUUUCUUCACUCACCAUGUCAUUACCUUGUGGUAUGCCACAUGUUGGUGAAGUGAAAGAUGUUGAGGUAUGCAAGUAAUCGGAGGUGGAAGCAAUAGAGAGCUCUUCAUGAUUUAAAAAUGUGGAGAACUCCUCCAUUAACUCCCCCAAAAGAGUAUUGUCUUCAUGAAGAUUGGACCCACCAUAUAUAUCUUCAAUUUUGGUCCAAGCAUCAUGAGCCAACGAACAAGAGGAAAUUGACUUGAACACCUCGAAGGUUAUAGCUUGGUGAAUGAUACUUAAAGCUUCACUAUCAAGAUGCAUAUCACCAAGUGACGGAGAUUGUCCAUCCUUUAGAUUUGAAUUCCCUACAACCACAAUCUGCAAAGCAUUUGGACCCAUGGCCCGAAAGUGACAAAGCAUGCGUAAUCUCCACAUAAUGUAAUUUGUGCCAUUAAAAAAAUGUGUCAUCGUGCACUAGUCCACUAGUCGACAUCGUUACUCUCUAGGCGGUUAAGCCUAAUAAGGAGAGACCUAGCUCUGAUACCAAUUGAAAGGACCACGAUGUUGCCUAGAGGGGGGUGAAUAGGUGUUUUAAAAUAUUUUACGGAUUUUGCUAUAUCCUAAUGCAGAAAUAAACUAAGUGGAUACUUUUCAAGCACAAAUCCAAAAUAUACUAGGCUCACUAAGUGCACCAACAGCUUAGCAUAAACAAGAUGAGAACAACGAGGAUAUGAGUAAGCACAAGUAAGUUACACAAACUUACUCAAUGUACAUCACGAGAGAUGGAAAUGAAUAAUACACUCACCCACAAGUAGGCAAUACAAGCUUACACAAAUUUUAUCACAAUAUAUGGAAUUGAAUGAUACAAGCAAACUCAAGUAAGCACUACACGCUUACACAAGAUAUGUCACAAGCUAGCAAUUCGCACUAAAUACAAGAUAGAACAAUAGUAGGAAGUAUGAAUUGCGGACUAUAAAGUGUUGGCCUAAAUAAUCUCUACGAUAUGGUAACCAACACAAUAUAAUGGGACAACAAGAAUAGUGAAUGCGCGGUUGAUGACCCACAAGUGUAGGGGAUCUAUCAUAGUCCGUGUCGAACCCAACGAGGAGCAGAAGGAAAUGAUAAGCGGUUUUCAGUAAGGUUUUCUCUGCAAGCACUGAAAUUGUAGGUGAUAGAUAGUUUUGUGAUAAGAUAAAUAGUAACGAGCAAAAAGUAAAUAAAGUGCAGCAAGGUGUACCAAUCCUUUAUGUAGCAAAGGAUAAGCCUGGACAAUUCUAAUAACGAGAAAAAGAGCUCCCGAGGACACAUUGGGAAUUAUCGUCAAGCUAGUUUCAUCACGUUCGUAAGAUUCGCGUUCGGUACUUUGAUAAUUUGAUAUGUGGGUGGACCGGCACUUGGGUACUGCCCUAACUUGGACAAGCAUCCCACUUAUGAUUAACCCCUAUUGCAAGCAUCCGCAACUACAAAAAGGAGUAUUAAGGUAAACCUAACCACAUCAUUAAAUAUAUGGGUCCAUAUCAACCCCUAACGAAGCAACGCAUAAACUAGGGUUUAAGCUUCUGUCACUCUAGCAACCCAUCAUCUACUUAUUACUUCCCUAUGCCUUUCUCUAGGCCCAAAUAAUGGUGAAGUGUCAUGUAGUUGAUGUUCACAUAACACCACUAGAGGAAAGACAACAUACAUCUCAUCAAAAUAUCGAACGAAUACCAAAUUUACAUGACUACUAAUAGCAAGACUUCACCCAUGUCCUCAGGAACAAACGUAACUACUCACAAAGCAUAUUCAUGUUCAUAAUCAGAGGAGUAAUAAUAUGCAUAAAGGAUCUGAACAUAUGAUCUUCCACCAAGUAAACCAAUUAGUAUCAACUACAAGGAGUAAUCAACACUACUGGCAACCCACAUGUACCAAUUUGUGAUUUUGAUACAAGAUUGGAUACAAGAGAUGAACUAGGGUUUUGAGAGGAGAUGGUGCUGGUGAAGAUGUUGAUGGAGAUUGACCCCCUCCCAAUGAGAGGAUCGUUGGUGAUGAUUUCCCCCUCCCGGAGGGAAGUGUCCCGGCAGAACAGCUCCGCCAGAGCCCUAGAUUGAUUCCGCCAAGGUUCCGCCUCGUGGCAGCGAAGUUUCGUCCCGUAAGCUUGUCCACGAUUUUUUCCAGGGGAAGGGUGAUGAUAUAGCAGAAGAUGGACGCGAGAGGCCCACCAGGGGGCCCAGGAGAUAGGGGGUCGCGCCCUAUAGGGGAGGGGGCGCCCCCUGUCUCCUGGACAGAGUGUGGGCCCCCUGGCCUAUUUCUUUCGCUCAUAAAUUCUUAAUUAAUCCAAAAAGUUGUUUUGUGGAGUUUCAGGACUUUUGGAGUUGUGCAGAAUAGGUUUCCAACAUUUGCUCCUUUUCCAGCCAGAAUUUCAGCUGCCGGCAUUCCCCCUCUUAAUGGUAAACCUUGUAAAAUAAGAGAGAAUAGCCAUAAGUAUUGAGAUAUAAUGUGUAACAACAACCCAUAAUGCAAUAAAUAUUGAUAUAAAAGCAUGAUGCAAAAUGGGUGUAUCAACUCCCCCAAGCUUAGACCUCGCUUGUCCUCAAGCGGAAGCCGAAAUCGAAAAAUAUGUCCGCGUGUUUAGAGAUAGAGGUGUCGAUAAAAAUAAAAUACGGACAUGAGGGCAUCAUGAUCAUUCUAAUAACAGCAACAUAUAUAUAUUGUCAUAUGAUUUCCUAUGCUCAGGUAAUAAGCAAUUCACAAUGUCAAGUAUGGUUCAUAAACUUCAUUGGGAACUAACAAACUAUAAUCUCAGUCAUUGAAGCAAUUGCAAUUUAUUGUAACAUCAGAAAGAGUCAAUAAUAGAGCUUUUCAACAAGCUCACAUACUAAACUAUCUCGUAGUCUCCCAUAAUUGCUAACACUCACGCAAUACUUGUGGUUAUAGAGUUUCAGACGGACACUGAGAAAGAUAGGGGCUUAUUGUGUUGCCUCCCAACGUAUUCACCUUUAGGUGAUGUCAACAAUAAUAGCCUAUGCCAACUUACAUCCAAUUGGAUAUAUGUAUCAUGAUCUUUCAAACACGAGGAGCUUGCCAAAGGAUAAAAUUAAAAAGGGGAAGGUGAGGAUCACCUUGACUCAAGCAUAAAGUAAAAACAUAAAGUAAAAGAUAGGCCCUUCGCAGAGGGAAGCAGAGAUUGUCAUGCGCAUUUAGGGUUGAUGCACGAAAUCUUAAUGCAAAAGAACGUCACUUUAUAUUGCCCCUUGUAUGUGGACCUUUAUUAUGCAAUCUGUCGCUUUUAUUACUUCCACAACAAGUUCGUACAAAGCUUAUUUUCUCUGCACUAAUAAGUCAUACAUAUUUAGAGAGCAAUUUUUAUUGCUUGCACCGAUGACAACUUACUUGAAGGAUCUUACUCAAUCCAUAGGUAUGUAUGGUGGACUCUCAUGGCAAAACUAGGUUUGAGGAUAUUUGGAACCACAAGUAGUAUCUCUACUUGGUGCAAGGAAUUUGGCUAGCAAGAGGGGGAAAGGCAAGCUCAACAUGUUUGGAAGGUCAAUGACAAUAUACUUUAACUGAGAUGUCGGAAAACAUAAACCAUUACGUUGUCUUCCUUGUCCAACAUCAACUCUUUUAGCAUGUCAUACUUAAUGAGUGCUUCACAAUCAUAAAAGAUGUCCAAGAUAAUAUAUUUAUAUGUGAACCCCUCUUUCCUUAUCACUUCCUAUUAAUUGCAACAAUGACCAAGGCUACGUUCAUCAACUCUCAACAAUUUUUAUGCCUCAUACUUUCUAUGUGUGAAGUUAUCACUAUCCAUAAGAUCAAUAUAAACUCUUUUUGUUCUUUCUACUUUCUCAAGAUCAUAGCAACAUAGCAAAGCCCUUGACUCAACACUAAUCUUUAUUAUAGAUAGCACACAGACUCGCUUACAUAAAGAGAUCACAAUGCAAAACUCAAAACUACUUGAUAUCAAAACUUCAAUCUACUAGAACAAGAUACUACUAAAAGGAUCGAACUAAAUAAAGCGGUAGAGAUAAGAGUGUGUUGGUGAUACGAUACCGGGGCACCUCCCCCAAGCUGGGCAGUUGCCAAGGGGAGUGCCCAUACCCAUGUGAUUAUUUCUCCUUCUUCACGGUUGGUGUUAUGAUCUUCUUGGCGAUGAUGCCCUUCAGGAUACAGUUCUCCUCUUCGAGCUUAUUUACUUGUUGUUUGAGGUCCAUAAUUUCUUUACGAAGCUUGCCCGUAACGGCCAAAGCUCCUUUUACCCAAGGAUGCUGCAUAGCUUCUAGAGAACACGUAAAACUCUUUUUCAUAUUUUCAUAAGAAAGAAAUCUAGAGUUGGAAGGGAUGACCGAAGCAGGGGCAGCCAGGCUAGGUAGUUCCCCCAUAGUGAAUUCUGCUUGGAGACGAGAGGUAACUUCUUGAUCUUCCUCCAUGGCAUCUAUCCUUUUCAAAUCAGCCUCCAUCUCAUCCUCCGUUAAUGGUCCAAAGUGAUAGGCAUCAUUAUUUUCUCCUGGACCUGGCGUUGGGUGAGACACCCGGCUCUCCCCAACUGAUUCCUGAGAAGACAUCUUGCUUUAUUCUGCAACAGGAACAACUCGAAACGAAAAUAGAAGAUAUUUGCGUGAUACGGUGGUCAAAACCUUCGGGAGUAUAUAUAAUGAAUUUUUACCGACCAAAAUACAUAACAUACAAGAAAAUGGAGUCCGGGAGGCACACGAGGUGCCCACGAGACAGGGGCGCGCCCUACAGGGGGGGUCCUCUCUCGUGGGAGCCUCGUGUCCCUUUCAGAUUACUUCUUUCUUCCUAAAAUUCUUAAAUAAUCCAAAACUGAUAAAAAUUGUCAUUAGAGUUGUUUUGGAGUCGGUUUACUUACCGUACCACGUACCUAUGCCUUUUCGGAGUCUGGAACGUUCUGGAAAGUGUCUCUUAUGUAUUCCUCAGGGGUUAUGGUUUCAAUAAUAUUAGUUUCAACAUUGAUAGGAUUACCUGAAAUAUAAUGUUUAAUUCUUUGACCGUUUACCACCCUCGGAUUCAUGCCUUCGAAGUUGUUGAUUUUUAUAGCACCAGAACGAUAGACCUCCUCGAUAACCUAGGGACCUUCCCAUUUUGAGAGAAGUUUUCCUGCAAAAAAUCUUAAACGAGAGUUGAAUAAUAACACAUAAUCUCCUAUGUUAAACUCACACUUUUGUAUCCUCUUAUCAUGCCAGCGUUUGAAUUUUUCUUUGAAAAGCUUGGCAUUCUCAUAUGCUUGGGUUCUCCAUUCAUCAGUGAGCUAAUAUCAAACAACCUCUUCUCACCGGCAAGUUUGAAGUCAUAACUGAGCUCUUUAAUAGCCCAAUAUGCUUUAUGUUCAAGUUCAAGAGGUAAAUGACAUGCUUUUCCAUAAACCAUCUUAUAUGGAGACAUACCCAUAGGAUUUUUGUAUGCAGUUCUAUAGGCCCAUAAUGCAUCAUCAAGUUUUUUGGACCAAUUCUUUUUAGAUCUAUUCACAGUCUUUUGCAAAAUUAAUUUGAGCUCUCUAUUGCUCAACUCUACUUGACCACUAGACUGCGGGUGAUAAGGAGAUGUGAUUCUAUGAUUGACAUCAUACUUAGCAAGCAUCUUACGGAAAGCACCAUGAAUAAAGUGUGAACCACCAUCAGUCAUAAGAUAUCUAGGGACUCCAAACCUCGGAAAAAUAACUUCUUUAAGCAUUUUAAUAGAAGUGUUAUGAUCAACACUACUAGUUGGAAUAGCUUCUACCCACUUAGUAACGUAAUCAACAGCAACUAAAAUAUGUGUAUAACCAUUGGAGGAAGGAAAAGGUCCCAUAUAAUCAAAGCCCCAAACAUCAAACGGUUCAAUAACAAGAGAAUAAUUCAUAGGAAUUUCUUGACGUCUACUAAUGUUACCUAUUCUUUAACAUUCAUCACAAGAUAAGACAAACUUACGAGCAUCUUUGAAGAGAGUAGGCCAAUAAAAACCAGAUUGUAGUACCUUGUGUGCAGUUCUAUCUUCAGCAUGGUGUCCUCCAUAAGAUUCAGAGUGACACUUGCGUAGGAUUUGUUCCUGUUCAUGCUCAAGCACACAACGUCUAAUAAUACCAUCUACUCCUUCUUUAUAAAGGUGUAGAUCAUCCUAGAAGUAAUGUCUUAAAUCAUAAAAGAAUUUUUCUUUUGUUGGUAUGUGAAACUAGGCGGUAUAAAUUUAGCAACAAUGUAAUUAGCAUAAUCAGCAUACCAAGGAGCAGUACGAGAAGCAUUGACAACCGCUAAUUGUUCAUCAGGAAAACUAUCAUUAAUAGGCAGUGGGUCAUCAAGAACAUUCUCUAACCUAGACAAGUUGUCUGCAACGGGGUUCUCAGCUCCCUUUCUAUCAAUAAUAUGCAAGUCAAAUUCUUGGAGCAAGAGAACCCACCUAAUGAGUCUAGGCUUAGCAUAUUUCUUUUCCAUAAGAUAUUUAAUAGCAGCAUGAUCAGUGUGAAUAGUAACUUUGGAAUCAACAAUAUAAGGUCUAAACUUAUCACAUGCAAACACAACUGCUAAGAACUCUUUUUCAGUAGUAGCAUAAUUUCUCUGGGCAGAAUCAAGAGUCUUACUAGCAUACUGGAUAACAUUCCAUUUCUUAUCGACUCUUUGCCCUAAAACAACACCUACAGCAUAAUCACUAGCAUCACACAUAAUUUCAAAAGGUAAAUUCCAAUCAGGUGGCUGAACAAUAGGUGUUGUGAUCAAAGCUUUCUUAAGUGUUUCAAAUGCUUCUACACAAUCAUCAUCAAAGACAAAAGGAAUAUCUUUUUGCAAUAAAUUAGUAAGAGACCUAGAGAUUUUAGAAAAGUCCUUAAUGAACCUCCUAUAAAAACCGGCAUGACCAAGGAAACUUCUUAUACCUUUUAUGUCCUUGGGACAUGGCAUCUUUUCAAUAGCAUCAACUUUAGCUUUAUCAACUUCAAUACCUCUCUCGGAGAUCUUGUGCCCCAAGACAAUGCCUUCAUUAACCAUAAAGUGACACUUUUCCCAAUUCAGGACGAGACUAGUGUCUUCGCAACUCUGCAAAACUCGAUCAAGGUUGCUCAAACAAUCAUCAAAAGAGGACCCAUAGACGGAGAAGUCAUCCAUGAAUACCUCACAAAUCUUUUCACAAAAAUCAGAGAAUAUAGCCAUCAUGCAUCUUUGAAAGGUAGCAGGUGCAUUAAAUAAACCAAAAGGCAUACAUCUAUAAGCAAAAGUACCAAAAGGGCAAGUAAAAGUAGUUUUAGUUUGAUCCUUUACGGACACAUGUAUUUGAGAGAAGCCAGAAUAACCAUCUAGAAAGCAAAAAUGUGUGUGUUUGGAUAGCCUUUCUAGCAUUUGAUCAAUAAAAGGUAAAGGGUAAUGAUCUUUCUUAGUAGCUUUAUUUAACUUACGGAAAUCAAUUACCAUCCUAUAGCAUGUAAUAAUUCUUUGCGGGAUCAAUUCAUCUUUAUCAUUAGGAACAACGGUAAUACCUCCUUUUUUAGGGACACAAUGGACAGGGCUUACCCAUUCACUAUCAGCAACGGGAUAAAUAAUACCUGCCUCAAGGAGUUUUAGAAUCUCCUUUCUUACCACUUCCUUCAUUUUAGGAUUUAAUCGUCUUUGAGGAUCUCUAACUGGGUUGGCAUCUUUCUCCACUGAAAUUUUGUGUUGACAUAAUGUGGGACUAAUGCCCUUAAGAUCGUCCAGAGUAUAUCCAAUAGCAGCUCGGUGCUUCUUCAGAGUUUUCAAUACUCUUUCUUCUUCUUUCUCUGAAAGGUUAGCACUAAUAAUAACAGGAUAUAUUUCUUUUUCAUCAAGAUAAGCAUACUUGAGAUUAUCAGGUAAGGGUUUGGGUUUGAACACAGGAUUACCCUUGGGUGGAGGGGGAUCCCCAAGAAUUUCAACGGGAAGGUUAUGUUUUAGCAUAGGUUCUUGUUUAAGGAACACUUCAUCUAUUUCUUCCCUUUCCUUCAUAAACAUAUCGUUUUCAUGGUCUAACAAAUAUUGUUCUAAGGAUCAGUUGGAGGAACAGCAAUGGAAGCAAGACCAAUAAUUUCAUCCUUACUAGGUGGUUCCCUUUCACGAGGUUGUCUACUAAACUUAGCGAAAUUAAACUCAUGAGACAUACCAUCUAUGCCAACAGUGACAAUAUUCUUUUCACAAUUAAUCUUAGCACUAGCGGUAUUCAAGAAGGGUCUACCAAAAAUAAUGGGACAAAAAUCAUCUUGUGGGGAACCAAGAACAAGAAAAUUAGCAGGGUAUUUAAUCUUCCCACACAAGACUUCAACAUCUCUAAUAAUCCCAAUAGGUUUAAUGGUGUCCCUAUUAGCAAGCUUAAUAGUAACAUCAAUGUCUUCUAGUUCAACAGGUGCAAUAUCGUGCAUCAUUUCUUUAUAAAGAUCAUAAGGUAUCACAUUAGCACUAGCACCCAUAUCACAUAAUCUAUGAUAACAAUGAUCUCCUAUUUUAACAGAAAUAACAGGCGUGAUAACAGGCGUGCCUACAACAGGUCUACGUGUCUUAGUAUCGGGUCUAGCAAUAUUAGCAGUUUCACCCAAGAAAGAGAUAACAUGCCCAUCUAAGUCCUCAUCCAAGAGAUCUUUAAUCACAGCAAUACCAGGUUCAACAUUAAUUUGCUCAGGAGGUGUAUAGGUCCUAGUAUUACUCUUACAAACAACAGUCGAAGCUUUAACAUGAUCUUUUAUCCUAACAGGAAAAGGAGGUUUUUCAACAUAAGCAGUAGGAAUAAUAGCAUCACUAUAUGUGAUAGUCUUUUCUUCGACUGUAAAAGGUGCAACUACUUUCACUUCAACAGGAGGAUUAUAUUUAAACCACUUCACUUUAGGGAGAUCAACGUGAGUAGCAAAAGUUUCACAAAAAGUAGCUACUAUCUCAGAGUCAAGUCCAUACUUAGAGCUAAAUCCACAGAAAGCAUCGGUAUCCAUAAAAGAUUUAACACAAUCGAACUUAGGAGUCAUACCUGACUCCUUACCAUCGUCGGAACCCCAAUCUUUAGAGUUGCGUUUAAUUCUUUCCAAUAAGUCCCAUUUGAAAUCAAUAGUCUUCAGCAUAUAGGAACCAGCACAGGAAGUAUCGAGCAGGUUGCGAUUAUCAAGAGAAAGCCGAGCAUAAAAUUUUUGAAUAAUCAUUUCCCGAGAGAGCUCAUGAUUGGGGCAUGAAUGUAACAUUGACUUAAGCCUCCCCCCAAGCUUGAGCAAUGCUUUCUCCUUUGCGAGGCCAGAAAUUAUAUAUGUAAUUAUGAUCACGAUGAACAAGAUGCAUAGGAUAGAACUUCUGGUGAAAUUCCAACUUCAGUUGCUUAUAAUUCCAAAAUCUCGUAUCAUCACAUAGCCUAUACCAUGUAAUUGCAUCUCCCUUCAAAGAUAAAGGGAAGACCUUCCUUUUGACAACAUCAUCGGGGAUACCUGCAAGCUUAAAUAAUCCACAAACCUCAUCCACAAAGAUAAGGUGUAAGUCGGGAUGCAAUGUUCCGUCUCCUGCAAAAGGAUUAGCUAGCAGUUUUUCUAUCAUACCCAAAGGAAUCUCAAAGUGAAUAUUUUCAUAAGGUUCAGUAGGUUGAGGAGCAUCUCUUUGCUCUUCUAGUUGGGGUGAAGAUACCCCAAACAAGCCCCUCAAAGGAUUAGUUUCCAUAGUGACAAGUAACAGAAAAUUUCAGCACACUAUAUAAAUGUUUCCUUACCAAGUUCCACUCACCAAAAGCGCUACACUCCCCGGCAACGACGCCAGAAAAGAGUCUUGAUGACCCACAAGUGUAGGGGAUCUAUCGUAGUCCUUUCGAUAAGUAAGAGUGUCGAACCCAACGAGGAGCAGAAGGAAAUGAUAAGCGGUUUUCAGUAAGGUUUUCUCUGCAAGCACUGAAAUUGUAGGUGAUAGAUAGUUUUGUGAUAAGAUAAAUAGUAACGAGCAAAAAGUAAAUAAAGUAAAUAAAGUGCAGCAAGGUGGCCCAAUCCUUUAUGUAGCAAAUGAUAAGCCUGGAUAAUUCUAAUAAUUAGAAAAGAGCUCCCGAGGACACAUUGGGAAUUAUCGUCAAGCUAGUUUCAUCACGUUUGUAAGAUUCGCGUUCGGUACUUUGAUAAUUUGAUAUGUGGGUGGACCGGCACUUGGGUACUGCCCUAACUUGGACAAGCAUCCCACUUAUGAUUAACCCCUAUUGCAAGCAUACGCAACUACAAAAAGGAGUAUUAAGGUAAACCUAACCACAACAUUAAACAUAUGGGUCCAUAUCAACCCCUAACGAAGCAACACAUAAACUAGGGUUUAAGCUUCUGUCACUCUAGCAACCCAUCAUCUACUUAUUACUUCCCUAUGCCUUCCUCUAGGCCCAAAUAAUGGUGAAGUGUCAUGUAAUCGAUGUUCACAUAACACCACUAGAGUAAAGACAACAUACAUCUCAUCAAAAUAUCGAACGAAUACCAAAUUCACAUGACUACUAAUAGCAAGACUUCACCCAUGUCCUCAGGAACAAACGUAACUACUCACAAAGCAUAUUCAUGUUCAUAAUCAGAGGAGUAAUAAUAUGUAUAAAGGACCUGAACAUAUGAUCUUCCACCAAGUAAACCAAUUAGUAUCAACUACAAGGAGUAAUCAACACUACUAGCAACCCAUAGGUACCAAUUUGUGGUUUUGAUACAAGAUUGGAUACAAGAGAUGAACUAGUGUUUUGAGAGGAUAUGGUGCUGGUGAAGAUGUUGAUGGAGAUAGACCCCCUCCCGAUGAUAGGAUCGUUGGUGAUGAUUUCCCCCUCCCGAAGGGAAGUGUCCCCGGUAGAACAGCUCCGCCAGAGCCCUAGAUUGAUUCCGCCAAGGUUCCGCCUCGUGGCGGCGGAGUUUCGUCCUGUAAACUUGCCCAUGAUUUUUUCCAGGGGAAGGGUGAUGAUAUCGCAGAAGAUGGACGCGAGAAGCCCACCAGGGGGCCCAGGAGAUAGGGGCCACACCCUAUAGGGGGGGGGCUGUCUCCUGGACAGGGUGUGGGUCCCUUGGCCUAUUUCUUUCGCUCAUAAAUUCUUAAUAAAUCCAAAAAGUUGUUUCGUGGAGUUUCAGGACUUUUGGAGUUGUGCAAAAUAGGUUUCCAACGUUUGCUCCUUUUCCAGCUAGAAUUCCAGCUGCCGGCAUUCCCCCUCUUCAUGGUAAACCUUGUAAAAUAAGAGAGAAUAGCCAUAAGUAUUGAGAUAUAAUGUGUAACAACAGCCCAUAAUGCAAUAAAUAUUGAUAUAAAAGCAUUAUGCAAAAUGGACGUAUCAGCGGUCAAGUGACCAAGGUAAACCACAAGUAAGGAGUUAGGGUUAGGGAUAACCGAAGUCACAGAGACGAUGAUGUAUCUCGAUGUUCACUUCCUUGGAGGGAAGCUAGUCACCAUUAGAGAGGUGGAUGUUACCACGAAGGCACACCGAUGCCACGAAGGCUCACCCUAUUCUCCUUGAGAUAUCACCAUGAAGGUGAUUCCCAACCACUAGUGGUAGACCUUGAGGUGGCCUCCAAACCUUCACAAACUUUCCGGGGGACAAAUCACAAGUUGAUUCCUCACCGGAGCACUCCUACCGCCUAGGAGUCUCCAACCUCCAAGAGUAACAAGAUCAAGGGGGAAAUGCUCAAGACUUGCUCAAAUCACGAAUUCCUUUGGUCAAGAGAAGGAGAGGGAGUGGAUCUUCACUUGAGUGGAAUCUAUCUCAAGAACUCUCACAAAUCUCUCCGGGAUCUAAGAUUUGAGGUAGGAGAAAGGAGAGGGAGCUUUUCUUCAAGUGUGGGUCAAGAUAGUUGUGUUGCUCAACCCCUCCACGAAGUAGUGAAGGGGUAUUUAUAGUGUGGCCCCAAAUGGCCGUUGGGGCAGAAUUCUGCUAAGGAAAGUGUUGGACGUCCGGUGGCAAAACAGGCACCGGACGUCCGGUGGAACACCGGAUGUCCGACGGCUGUAGCACGCCAUCAGACGAAUGUAUCAGGAUAUUUGCGAAACAGGUUUGACAGACGUCCGACAUUUUCCGGACGUCUGGUACUUACCGGAUUUCCGUUUGUUUGAUUCUGGAUUGGCGCACCGGAUUUCCGGACGUUACCGGACGUCCGUCCAAAAUAACAGCAGGAACCCCAAAACUAAAACAUGCAUAACUUUCACAUCCGGACUCCGAUUUUGAUGAUCUCGGGCUCGUUUUGAAGCUAUGGAAAAGCUCCAAGUCCUCAGAUAGAGAACCACCCAAAAUAAACCAAAAUAGAGGGUUCAUAUUAUGCAAAUAUUAGAUCAUAUAUUUUGGGAAACUAUUUGGCUUUUGGCUUUUCUUUGGUAUAUAGGAUAUGAGUGGAAUUGUGUAUAGAAGAUGUUGACUUGAGAAAAUCCAUCACAAACCCCUUUGAUCCCCUCUUAAUAGUGUGGGAUCCCUAUAACUCAAGAAUCAUAAAAAUAGCUACACUACAUAGCUAUCAAGAAUCCAUUCUUGAGUGUAUAUGUUUCUUUGGUGGUCAUCACUCCACAACACUAACGUCAAAGGAACUAAUACCUUUGACAUGAGCCGUUCACUUGAGCUUGAUGUUGAUGUUUCUUCUUGGCUCAAGAUGAAGGCAAUACAUUGGUGAAGUCUUCAAGUCUCUCCCCCAUACACAAUGUGGGGAAGCUUUGCUUUGUAUUCAUGUUCACUUGUCCAUCAUGUGAUCAUCCACAAGCUUCAAGCAUGUAACCCUUUGGGAUGGUUAUCUUGAACUUUCCCUUGUCAACCAUGAUCACCAACACUUGAUGUCAUCCUCUCAUAGACACUUGAAAUCUCUUUCUCGAUGCGAGCCCAUGAGAAUCACCUAACCCUCAAAAACAUAGACAACACAUAGUAUGGGUUAGUACACAGAGUGCAAUUGAUAAUUUCUUAUCAUACCACAAGAUCCUAUGUGGUGCAUCAUUUGCGCUCGUGUGUUGACCAUUUAGAGUUCGAUCUUUGAGCUUCAUAUUGGUCAACCUAUAUCUCUACUCCAUGUUUAAUCUUGACGUCUUGAAGGGUAUAUUGAAUUCUUCACUUGAAUAGCUUGCUUGAAUACUUGAUCAAUCAUGACUCAACACAUGAGUCCAUUAUGAUCAUAUCUUUGAGCCACUCCUAGAGUUCAUCAUUCAAAUCAUCCUUUUAAGAUCUUGAUCCAUUAUGGCUCAAGCCAUAGCUCUAAGCAUGGCAACCCUUAAGAUACUCCAAUAAACUCCAUUUUGAUCAUCUCAAUGUAAUUGUUGCUUCAAAGGAGUUGUCUUCCAUUAUUCUUCAAUCAUAUUCCAAUGGGACUAACCGUCAAAUGUAUAUCUUAAUGCAAACAUUAGUCCAUAAGGAUUGUCAAUAAUUACCAAAACCACACAUGGGGACAACAUGUACUUUCACCUGUACAGCUGGCAAGUCCAAGUGUUUUUUUUCGUCAAUUUCAUCCACGUGCACGUGAUACGAGCCGAAACGGUAUGGGUUACCGUAUAGUGACCCGGUUCAGCAAGCCCGGUGACCGUAACUCGCGAUUUCAUGAAUACAGUGACCAAAGUGAACCCUAGAGUCAAGUUCAGUUACUGUAGAUGUAAUUUUCUCCAUUUAUGAAAAAUGGUAUGAGCGGCUGACUAAAUCAUAAGUUUCUGAACCUGUGACCGACAAAAUCCUAAGUUUUAAGUUUCAACUCGGAAAUUUGGUACGGGAGGCCGACAAUAACAUAAGUUUCAAAAUCUGCAACCAACAAAAUCAUAAGUUUCAGAAACUAAAAUGUAAAACUAGUUAUGCCCUCAUGCGGGAUCAAUGACCUGGAUUGCAAGGCAAUGGUGCGGCUGGCACGGUUGGACAGGUGUGUGCCCUUGCAAACUUCCGCUAAAAUCCUAAAAGGGUACAAAUGAGAAACAAUCACACUAUUUUUUCCAGAGAAGAUCCAAAGCUAUUAUAAAAGUUAAUGAGAAGUAAAAAGCACCUCAAACAUAAUAAAAAUUACAUCGAGAUCUCUAGAUCCCGGAUGACCACUCUCACCGUCAGAACGAGCCGCUGGCGCGCCUUUGUCGCCACAACCCUAUCGGAGCCGACUUGACGUUGUCGAUGAUAGCCAAGAAGUCUUCGUGCAAGUGCCCCUAAGGACCAGCGCCCUGGAGCCGCUGUUAUCGUCGUUAAACCUUGGAUAGAUUUGAAGCAACUGCAAUGAAUCUUGUCAUUGCGCACACACAACGAGAAACCCUAAUCUCGCCACGCCAAGGGGGGUGGUAGAAAUCUACAUUUCUACACGGAGCUCCGUCGACUACGUCCAUAUGGAAGAACUCGAGAAGGAUCAGAUCCUGAAAGACAAACUUGAAGUAGAAGCAUCAUCAUCCGCCCAAGUGCCCGAAACUACGAGGACUAAAAACCCUAACCUAAUUUACUAGCCUGAGAUUCGCCUCCCUGGCACCGGCUGCUGGUGCGGCGGAUAGGGGGGAAAUCGAAUCCAAAGGCUCUCUCGUGAAGGUUGGAGGGAAGAGUUUCCCUAACCGCCGAAGGGAAGGGGAGAAAACUCUUAGUCUCACUAUUGUCUAAGCUCUAUAUAGGCCCCAGAGUACACAAGCAGAAACUCAAGGUAAAAGAUCAUAUAAAGUUCUCCAUGAGGACUCUCAUAUUAUAUACUAGACUUCUCCUUAUUAAGAGCAUCUCCAACACCGACCCUCAAACCGUCUGCAUAUGUCUGGACCGCGUGGUCCGUACGUGUUCUUCCAUCCAAUGCGUGUAUGUAUCGAUCCGCCGAGCGGUCCGGACGCAUUUUUCCCCGCAAAGUGGAGGCAAAGUUGGGGGGGCUUUGCGGGAGUCCAGACAGCAGCCACGUAGGACUUCGACACCCCAGCCCACUAAAUACUCCCUCUCGGUCCCAUUUUCUUCCAAGCCACCCAUUUUUUCCUCUUGCUUUGCAUCUGCACCCUCCUCCUCUGCCGCCGCUGAUGUACUAUGCAGAGACAAAAUAAUGCACAUAUCCCUCCUCCGCCGCAAAAUAGCCGCUGCGCAGUCUGCCAAUACCCAGAACUACGGGCAUAGGAGGCACCAGGAACAGGAGGAUAACUGGCAUGUGCACAUGACCUAUAGAAUUCACACAUCCAGCAUGCCUCGCCACAUCACCUAUUUACCCUACACUAGUGGCUGCUUUGCGCAGAUGGGAAAAUUUCGGGUGAUACCGCGAUAUGGACUUCUCGACCGUUGGAUCUCAGAUCUGACGGGCAUCUAAAGAGCUAUUGUACCUGCGCAUAAUUUUGAGAUUCUUGGAUGGCUUUUCUGCAAAAUGUUCAGUAGCUUACCCCUGGUUCAGCCGGGCGGCACAGACUACUACAAAAUGCUACACGACAUCAAUGAUUUGCAUACCGAAUGAGGGUGUUUUUUUGAAAGAUCCAGCAUCACUGGCAUUUCAUUGAUAAUAGCAGGAAGCAGCGGAAAAUAACAAGAUGGUGAAGGUCCUAGGACCAUAUACGAAGAUCAAAGAACGAGAAAAGAAAAGAAAAGAAACAACAGCCCUAAUAGCUGAAGUACAACACUCCAUACAAUCCAUACUAGGCACCGCAGCUCCGACUCCGACGAAGAACUACUAAGGAAACAUGCAGGGGUGGCGUCACGGAGGAUCACCGAACAAGCCAUCUGUCACGCGUCAUCAUAUACUAUCGGCCCCCCACCGCGGCUUCGACUUCACAACAACAGGCGGUCGAGGCACACCCACGGACACGCCGAAGAAGAAGAGCCGACUACCACGACCAAGGCCACGCCUCCGACAUUGCUCACCGCCGUAAUCGUUGCCACAGAAGCCACCGUGCACGUCCAGCCAUAGGAAGCACUAAUGGGAUCGAGGUCUUCAAGACGGAGCCCUAAAGAGGGGAACCACGUUGAAGACGCGCCAUCGCCCGACCCUACAGCAGUAUCUAGGCUUUCACCCGAAGAACUUGAUCUGGGAGUAGAGGCUGUGAAGUUUCCCGACGACGCCUCCAAGGAGGAUAGCGACGCCCAUGAGCGCCAUCGCCGCCGGCCGGCUAGCACUGGCCAGGCUAUUCGCCUGGGGCAGCCACUCCCAUGCAGCCAGCCGAGGCCGACCCGUACCUCCAUUGGACCAUGCACCCCCACACAGCGAGCACGCCAACGCCGUGCAGGGCCACCAGCAAGCCUCCUCGUCGAAGGGCCUGCAGGAAACUAGAUCUGGUCCUGCACCACGCGUCCAAACCACAGACGAAGCCUUCCUGCUCCAGCAAUCGCCAAUGGGCACCACCAGCCGUCGGCAGAACCCCGUCCGGGCCGCCAGCCCACGGCAGACAUGCCAGAUCCAGGUCCCCCGCCGAACACCACCCGCAGCCGCCUAGCCAAGCAGCCACAUCGCGGACACCACGGCGACCACCGUUGCUCAGGCGAGCCUCCGCGGUCACCACGCGCGCCCGUGAACCGGCCGCGACCACCACGGGCCACGCCAGCGCCAGAUCCCCGCGCUCGCGAACCGGCCGCGGCCAGCCCGCGCCGCUCCUCGCCAGAUCCGCGCGCCCCGAAGCCCCAUGCGCCUCCGUGCGCGGCCUCGACGGCCAGAAGCGCCGCCCCGAGUGUGCGCUGCCGCUCGAGCUCCCCCCGACGCCACCGGCCCGCGCCAGCCAGCCCCGGGCGGAGGAGGAAAAGGGCCCCGCCGCCGCCAAGCCAGAGUCCUUCCCACAGCAAGGGAUCCGCCGUGACCAGCUUCAUCCUGCGCCGGCGCCGCCCCUCCAGCCACAACCCACAGGUUAUGGUUUCCUCAGUGCUGCAAUACACGCCUGCCCAGCGAAGUUAGCAAGCGAGGCAACACGUUAGCAACGCGACACGAAACCUUUCACCCGGCCAGUAACAUAAACCUUAACUGGUCACCUAUGAUUGAUCAAAAAGAAAUCCGAUAAAGAGUUGUGAUUGAUCAUGGUAUGGUAGUUGCUAUCCUACAAGGCUGCAGCUUGCACAAGAAGCGUGUUUGAAUUAACCAAGGAAUUUCGAAAUGGUGCGUCUUUGCCAGGUGUGACUGGCUUACAAUGUGGAGCAACAAGAACUGCCAGGUGCUAAGCAAUGAAGGGAUAGACUGACGUUAAUCAACAGAAACAA
rnacentral:lncRNA from 1 species